rnacentral:lncRNA from 1 species
CCUGGAUCAGCCCCAAGUACUGUAAUCUGAGAAUGGGCAUCCAUUGUUUCUGGGCAUUGUUUUUGGCCUUGGCUUUGGCCUUUGCCAUCAUCGGCAAAGCUCAGGACACCACUCUUGUUCCAUCCAUCGUAACUUUUGGAGACUCUGCUGUAGAUGUUGGGAAUAAUGAGUAUCUCCCCACCAUUUUCAAGUCCAAUUACCCUCCUUAUGGAAGGGACUUCAUCAACCAUCAGCCUACAGGGAGGUUCUGCAAUGGAAAACUAGCAACAGACAUUACUGGUAAUCAGCUUAAAGCAUUGAUCCAAUCCCACUGAAUUUGGUACCUUAUCAAAUUUAUGUACUAACCAUGAUUGUAAUUCCAUUUACAGCUGACAUUUUUGGCUUCAAGACUUACCCCCCAGCAUACCUUAUCACCAAGGCAUCAGGGGGAACCUUCUGAUUGGAGCCAACUUUGCCUCUGCUGGCUCUAUUUAUGAUGACAAAACAGCCAUCUUAAGUGUAAGAAAAUUCCCUCAUUCUCUAGUUUUGUUUCCAAGAAAACCUAAGAAAACAAAUUUUCCAAUCAUCAAACAUUGUUCCAAUACACUUUCAACAUAGAAAAUCUUCAUAUUAGCAUUGUGAUCACAAGCUAAUCACUCCUAGAUUUGGGUUAAGUAUAAAUAGGUUUAGAUGAAAUUCAUGUCAACUUGCAUAACAUGUUCAAUAAAUAGAUAAUUUUUGGGUUAACUUGCAUAGCACGAAUUUAAUCCAAAUUGACUUAUUUAAUAAUCCUGCUAAUUAACAUCAUUAUAAUUUUAGGUUAUUUAACCUGAUUAUUAAAUAUGAAAACUUAAUUAUUAAAUAAGUUAAAUGGGUUAUACAACGAGUGCUACCUGUUUAAUAAUUAGAUAAUAUUCAGAUUUAUGUUUUUAACAUGAUUUUCAUAUUGGUUUUGGGUUAACCUAUGUAGCAAAAUACCUUUAACAUGACACGAACACAAACACAAUCCACCAAUAUAAACUGUCAUCCCUAAAUAUUAUUAAUCUUUUUCUAAUAAAUUACACAAAGGAUUUACUAAUAUAGGCCACUCUGCCUGGCAAGCAGGAACCUCUCAUCCAGCAAUUUGGCCGGGAAUAUACUCACAUCAUUUUUGAGUCUCAAAUCAUUACAAAAUCUGUAAGUAUUAGUGGCCUUAUGAAUAUCUUCUCUAUAAUCUGAUGGAGGCUUUUGCUCAAAAUGCAUGCAACUCAAACUAUAAUUUCAGGGAUUUAUCAUACAACUUGACUGGAUCAGUACCAGAAUUUUUUGCAGACUAACAAUCCUGUAAGUAAUUAAAUUUUAGCUUUCGGAUGUCUGAAUUCUUUAGGAUAUAUGUGAAGGAAGUCUCAGUAUUUGAAGUUGUCUUUGCAGUAAUUUAACGGGGAACAACCUAACAGGUUCGGUUCCACAGGCUGUUAUCAAUAAGUUCGAGGAAGGAACUCUGAGGUUUGCUUAAUUAUCUUUUCUAGUACUUGUUCUCAAUUUUUGUUUAUAGAAUUCUUGACUUCAAUAUCCAUAUAUUUUUAUCAUAAAGUUUAUUGAUUAGUGGACGUACCUUGUUCUAUUUUAUGCAAGUCUUGGCGAAAAUCCAAAUCUUUGUCUGUCAGUCUCGUGCCAAGGAAAGAAGAAGAAGAAGUUCCUUGUUCCUCUUCUCAUAGCCAUUCCGACUGUAAUUGUGAUCCUGAUACUCAUAACUGCCCUUGCAAUCAUCCGGAAGUUGAUCAAAAGGAGAGGAACCAAAGGUAUUUUCUUCUUCCAUUUUCAUUUUUUUCCUUAUUUAGUGAGGAUUUAACAUUUUAUUGCUCCUUUUUAUUAUGAUUUCCUUAUCUACAACCAUAGAGACAGUCACUGAAUGCCCCAAAGAGGGGCCAUUGAAGUCAGGGAAUUCCGAGUUCACUUUCUCUGAUGUUGCAAGUAUCACCAAUAACUUUAGUCGGACCAUCAGUAGGGGAGGAUUCUCAUAGCCAUUGAAGUCACUAAAUAUAUGUAUAUAUAUAUAUAUAUAUAUAUAUAUAUGUAGUGACCACUCUUGAUCACAGGUAUAUAACUGUCAAGGGAAGCUACUUGUGGGCUUUAAUGUUUAUGCAUUUGCUGCAGGGAGAGAAGCUGCAGAUGUUUUGAAUUGGAAACAGAGACUUCAAAUUGCAGUAGAUGCAGCACAAGGUCAGAAAUUAAGCGGAUCUUCCACAUCAUAAUUAAUUUGCAUUCAAAUAUUUCUUUAAUUUGUGAGUCUUUUCUUGCUUAAUUGUGUAGGAUUGGAGUAUCUACACAUUGGCUGUAAGCCACCAAUAGUCCACAGAGACAUGAAGUCUUCCAAAAUUCUAUUAACUGAAACCCAGCAAGCCAAGAUAGCUGAUUUUGGGAUGUCCAGAGAUCUUGCAACUGAAAGUGGCGCUUUCAUAUCAACUGUCCCUGCAGGCACACCUGAAUAUCUGGAUCCUGAGUAAGUGUUAAUAGCAUUCCUUAAAAUUUUUAUAAUUGCUUCCUCAUUCAUGAAAUAUAACUUCCUAUGCAUACCAGUCAAUGGGAAAUUUGAAUAAGAAGAGCCAUAUUUACAGCUUUGGGGUUGUUUUGUUGGAGCUGAUCACCGGCCACCCUGCAAUAAAGAACCCUGGCAGCAUUCAUAUAGUUGGAUGGGUUAGUCCUAUGAUUGAAUGAGGGGAUAUUCGAAGCAUUGUUGGUCCAAGGUUACAAGGAGAUUUCAACACCAUUUCUGCCUGGAAAGCCCUAGAGAUAACCUUAGCAUGUGUAGCAUCAACAGGAAUGCAAAGGCCAGAUAUGAGUCAUGUAUUGGCAGACUUGAAGGAAUGUUUGGGGAUAGAGGUGGCUUCCAGGAGAAUUCAAAGUGUAGAUAGCCUCAGCUUCGGAUCAGGCAAUUUCCUGGAAGAUAGUCCCUUGAUUCUUGGCACUCAAUCGGCUCCCCAUGCUAGGUAGUUGUUGGAUGCUCCAUUAUAUUGCGAUAAAUUUGCUUAAUGUUAGCAUGUGGGAAUAUGGAUUAUGGUGCACUCUAUAUUUUGAAUUGUGUUCAUGAAAAAUUCUGUAUUGGGUAAUUGUACCAACUUUCUCUCAUAGACAUGCAGGAUUUCACUUAUGUGGUGUUUGGUAUAUGGGAAUAGGGAGUGAGAAUAGACAUUUCAUUCAUUUUCUUCCUUAUUCCUAUAUUUGAAUAAAUGUUAAAAAGGUAGAAAUUGAAUAAAAAAUUAUUCUGACAAAAAUCAAAUCCAACUUAUAAGUCGAAUUUAAAUUCAUUAAAAGUAUGUGGUAUUCUAAUUCAUUGAACCCAUUUGAUAAUAUAAAAUAACAUAAAUUUACUAUUUUAUCUUCUUAUCUCAUUCUUCAAGCCCGGUGUUUAUCUUCUUUGCAAAGUUAAAGACCCAUUCAUCAUCCACUUCUCUGCAACAAGUGAAUCUCCCAAACUGAAUCAAUCAAACCUUCCACGACAUUUAGAAAAAAAAAUUUCAAUUUCUAAUUUCUAGAGUUUUGGAUGUUCAAUUUCUAAUUUCUAGGGUUUUUUUAUGUUCAUUUAAAUAUUAUAUAUAUAUAUAUAUAUUUGGUAAAAUAUAAUUUUAUAACUACUUAAGCAUGACAAAUUAUUCAAAUUUUUAAUAAAAAUAAUAAUUGAAUAUUUGUACAUUAGGGUUAUAUGAUUUUUUAUGGUUAAUUUUUUAUUUAUUGAGUAUAUAUAUAUAUUUAUUUAUUUAGUUUUAUUAUUUAAUAACAAAACAACUCUCAAAUUUUAUUUUUUUUUAAAAAAAAAAAAAAUUUUAAAUUAUAUGUAAGGUUAUUAUUGUAAAUUUAUUUCCUUUUCAUUUUCAUUCCUAUUAUUAUCAAACAUUGGAAUGGAAACAAAUAAUCAUUCCAAUCUUGCAUUCCUAAGAUCAUCCAAAUGCUAAAAAUGGAAUCAUUAAAUUUAUUUCUAUCCACUAAGAAAUAGAAAUGGAAACAAAAUAUUUAUUUUCAUUCCCUAUUCCGACGUACCAAACACCCCCUUUAGAGAGCACUUUAACUAUUGUGUGAUAAUCUUAAUGCUCUUCAUAUGACUGUAAAUCCAUUUCAUGCUCGAACCAAGCACAUUGAACUUUUUUUACAAUAAAGUGUUGCUACGAGAAAUCUUGUUCUACAUUAUGUUUUUUGUUCAACACAAUUUGCACACAUCCUCACCAAGCCUCUAUUCAUUUGGAGAGCCUUGAUUCAAUUAAGCUAGUAUUAUCUUGGGCUAUUAAGAAAUCAAUUAAAAAUGGAGAAGGCAUACAAACUUUUAAGGUAAAAAGUGAAUUCAUCUAUUUCAAUAUGAGUUCAAUCAAAAUAAAACAAGUGAUGAAAAGUAUUGUUUUUUUAUUAAUAUUUUAAUAUUUAUUUUUUAAUACUAUUUUUCUUUUUAGAAAAAAAAUAAAAUAAAAUCCCCUUAGCCCUCACAGUCCAAUAGUUUGGUGCAUCAUACAAUUCGUUGUUGUUGUGAUGUUGACUAGUCAAUAAAAUUCUAAAACUUUUUGAAAAAUAAAAAUUGUAGGGUUGGUUGAUUUCUUCUUUACAUAAUUACGCAAAGUUUUAUCAAAUGCAAGUGGAUGUUUGCUUUUUAUUUAAAAUUUGAAUUGAUUUGAAUUUAUUUAAAAUAUGAAUAGAAAUAAAUAUAAAAUAAUUAUUAUACUCCAACUUUACAUAAAAAACUAAAUAAGAUUUCUAUUUUUUUAUAUUGACAUAAAUUUUAAUUAAUUAUUUUUCUUUUGGUGUAAAAAGAUUACUCGAUAUAUUAAUAGAGAAAAGAAACAAGACAGUUUUUGUAAAUUAGUACAUACACAUAUAAGCUUCCAAAUUGGCUUGAUCAAGUUUGCAUUGUCUUAUCUCCUACAACUGUCACUUUUAAUAAAUACAACAAUUAAUUAUUUUGUAUGGGAUUAAGAAACUUCCUGUUAAGAACAGUAGAUGGGACAAAUUAAGUCAGUGAUGUUUAAACUCAUGAAUUUCUAUGUCCAUAUUGGAUGUGAAAAUCUUAAAUUUUAUACCUUACUAAUUAAGGCCACUUAAUAAUCUUUUUUUUUUCUUUAAAAAAUAUGCUAAUCAACUUAUAACAACAAAAAAAAACCAUAAAGAUUUAUUAUAAGGAUGAUAAAAUUUGAUACAUUUUCUCAAGACAACUAAAUUCUAAUAUGUUUUUUUAUGGAUUUGAAUUAAGUAUAAUUGUGUUCAAAUUCAUAGGGGCAUGCAUAACCUAUUUAAUAAAUAUAUUAUCUUUUGUCAAACUAUAUAACAUGAAUUUGAUUCAAAUUUACUUAAUUAAUAAUCCUAUUGAAUAACUUGAUUAUAACUAUUAAAAAGUUUAACUCGUGUUUAACUUAUUUUAACUUUACUUAAUAAAUAAGUUAAUUGAAUGAUGAACAUGCCAAUAGAUUCAUCAUAAUAAUUUGUAUAAGAUCUAACUCAUAUAAGAUUAUAUAAGAUCUAACUCAAUCAUUAUUAAAUGGAUUAAAUAAGUUAACUCGACAUGUUACCUUUUAAAUAAUUAGGUAAUAUUUGGGUUUAUGUUUUUAAUUUGACUUUUACUUGUGUCAUGUUUGGAUUGACCUAUUUUAUACAAUGUUUGAGUCUUGACACAACACAACAAUCAAUACCAAUUGUCACCCCUAUUUAUUUUGGAGUUAUUUGAUUAAAGAGAUAAAAUAAUCUAUAAUUUGUAAAUCUAACCCUCCAUAUUCUUCACCAAAAAUACAUCUAUGUUAAAAAUGAAUUAUUUUUCAAGUUGAAAUAUGGGAGGCUUAGAUUUAGUAAUUUGGUUUCAUUUCUAACCCUUUUUUUAUUCAUCUUUCUCUCCUUUGUCCUAUAACAAUAGUUUCUGAAGUACAAAUUUCAUAGUAACAUUCAAUGAUAAAUGUCAUUGGCCAAACCCUAACCCAAUGCAUGCAUAUGUUAUAAGUCAAUAGUCUCCCAAUACUCACAUUGUAAGUCAAUGACUCAAUACUAAUAGUCUAAUACCAUGUCCCGAAGGGCCAACCCUCUGGGACAUGAUAUAACUAUAAAAAUUAUUUACUAUAAACAAUGAGUUGUAAACGUAGAGUCAUAGUUGUAAAAUAUGUUCUUAUUAAAUAUGAGUAAAUGAAGUAAAAAAAAAAAUUAAAUUAAGAUUAGAAUAAGUUAACUGAUUUGACUUAAUACUUAAAAUUAUUUUUGACUUUAAGUUAUAUUAUUAAAUUAUUUUACUAAACUUGUUAAUCUACUUAACCCAUUUUCUUUUAGACUUUAAUAUUUGAAAAUCAACUCUUGUAGGGAACUCUUUAACUCUUUUGGUCUUGACUACAUCUUUUAGAGUUCUACAAAGCAACCCAUGACACCCUUUAGGAUUGAAGCUAAGUAAAGCUCCAUGGCUUCUACAAUUACUGAAAUUACAUAGUUCUCAUCCAUAUUAUGAAAUGUUAGAAUUCUACUUAAGAUGGUACUUCGAUUAUUUUGUGAUAAUCUUAGUGCUCUUCAGAUGAUUGUAAAUUAUAUUUUUCAUGCUCAAACCAAGCACAUCAAACUUAAUUAUCAUUUUGUACGAAAAAGUGUUGUAAUGAGCAUUUUUGUUACAUGUUAUAUUUCUUGUUCAAGACAACCUACACACAUCCUCUCUAACCCUCUAUCUAGAGUCAUUUGGAGAGCCUUGUUUCAAGCUAAUAUUAUCUUGACUCUCGAGUAUGUUAAGAAAUCAAUUAAAACAAAGGAAAAAAGGCAAGUUAAUAACUAGCUCCUACAAUCAUGUAACUACAAGCAAGAGUUCCCAUAAUAAAACGUCAACAACAAUUGCUUAAGCAAGAGUUCUCAUAACUUUGUUCAAAAUGAAUUAUGAAGUAAAAAUAGUGUCCUUCAUUCUAUUUUGAAAGUUUGUUAAUUUAUUUUAGGAAAAAGUGGGUUUUGACUCACUAAUUUAAAAAUAUAUAGAAAAAAUAACCCUAGUUUUAUAUUCAUUUAUUUAAAAAUAUUUUAAAAUAUAUGCACUUUUUCAUAAAUAAGAUAUUUAUUUCCUAAAGUACCCUUUUACUUAAUAAUAUGAAAUAAAAUUAUCAAAAAAACCAAUUUAUCAUUUUAAUUUGAUAAAAAUAUCUUAUAAAUAAAUACAUUAUAUUUUUAUUACAUAAUAUUAUAUACAAAUCAUUUUAAAAAAAUUCUCUAGAUCCUCAAGUAAUAAAUAAAAUCUUUCUAAUUCUCUAAUUAAUAAUGAUUUUAUAUAUUAUAUUAUAUAAAUCAAUUCAUCUUCUCAUUAAUUUUUUUUAAUAAAAUUGAAUAAAAAAUUUAUUACUUGACAUCAACAAUAAAAUAAGAAAUUUUAAAAAAUAAAAAUUCAAUUCAAAAUAAAAUACUAAAAAAUUAAAUACAAUUUAAAAAGAAAAAGAAAUCAAAUACAAUUAAAACCAAAAAGCACUUAAAAAUUUUAAAAAUAAAAUAUUGACUUUCAUUGUAUUUCCAACUCUUUCUUGAUAUCUAUAUUUUCUACUAGUAUUAUUUAACAAAGUGAAAGUUAAUAUUUGAUUUUCAUAUUUUUGGCUUUAAAAUUUUUUAAAUUUUAAUUAUAUUUUUUAAAUUUUUUAUUUGAAUCAAUUUAAAAAAUUCGUCAAUUUGUGACAUUAUCCUAAUAAGUAAUAGGUCACUUCAGGAAAUAAAUAUGUGACUUAUGACAUAAUAUAUGUAUUUUAAGAUAUUUUUAAAUAGAUGAAAAAAUUGAUUUAUAAAAAUUGAAGUUUUUUUGUCCUAUACUUUUUAAAUAAGUGAAUGGAAACUCACUUUUCCCUUUAUUUUAAACUAACUUUUUAUUCAAAUUAAGUGAUUUAUAUGUUCUGGGGUUCUUUUUAAGUUAAAGUUGAUAAGAAAAUCUUAUAUACAAAGUUUAUUGGAAAACAAAAGAAAAUGGAUAAAAACAAAACAUAUUUAAGUAAUAAUCAGUUUUUGUUCACCACGACAAUUUUUCUAAUUUAUAGUAAAUUGAUUUCAGUAUAAAAUUGAAGUAGUUUAAAUUUUUAAAUAAGAAUUAUCCAAAAAUUUUAUAAUCAAUUUAGUUUUAUUUUGUACUAGAAAUUAGAUUUAAGUAUUAUAACAAAGUAAAAAAAUUGAAAAAUAAAAUUUUAAAAAAAGUGACGUUUUUCAUUAACAUAAAAGUAAAAGAAUUUAUUUUUUUUCAUUAAGACAAAAUUAUCUUCAAAAAAAAAAAAAGUGAUAAAUUAAAAAUAAGUUAAGAUUUAAAUUGUUUUUAAAACUUCUUAAUCUUGAAAGCAACUUGGGAUGUUGAUCACUAUUAUGCUCCUAUACACAUAUCCCACAUUUUCUUGCAAUGUUCCCAUGCUCUCAACCAGACCAUGCUGGCCCUCACAGCUGUUGGUUUGGUGUAUCAGUCAAUUUGUUGUUAUUGUGAUAUUGACUGGUUUUUGUUUACUAAUUCAUAUAACCUUCCAAAUUGACUUCCUCAUGUUUGCAUUGACUUGGUCAAGUCUGCAUUGACUUGUCUACUACAACCAUCACCAUUAAUAAUUUCCCCUGUAUAUCUUGUCUCCAAAUAAAUACAACUGUUAAUAAUUUUCUACACAUUAGGGACCGAGAAACUUCCUAUGGACUAUUGAGAACAGUUUUAUACAUAUUGAAUAAUUUAGGUCACUGAUUAGUCUUUUUUUAAAACAACACUAAUCAAUUUAUAACAACAAAAGAAACCAGCAAAGUUUUGUUUAUAGGGGUGACAAAUAUUGAUAUGAUUUGUCAAGCUACUUCUAACAUACACUAAUUAAUUUAUAACAACAAAAGAAAUCAACAAAGUUUUGUUUAUAAGGUAGACAAAUAUUGAUAUGAUUUUUCAAUGCUACUCACUACUAACACACUUUCUGUAAAUUUGAAUUAAGUAUAAUCAUAUUUAAGUCAAAUUCCUAUUGACUUGUAUAACCCAUUUAAUAAAUAUAUUAUUGUUUUAUCAACCCACAUAAUAUGAAUUUGACUUGAAAUAUUUAUAAACUCGUAUUUGAUUCAUUUUAACUUUAAUUAAAAAAUACUUUCAUUGAAUUAUGAACAUGUCAAGUUAAAAAAUUAAUCAUAUAAAUAUGUACAAAAUCUAACUCAUAUAAAUUUAUACAAGAUUUAACUCAAUUUAACUAUUAAACGGGUUAAAAAAGUUAUCAUGUUACUUUUUUAAUAAUUAAAUAAUAUUUGAAUUUAUAUUUUGAAUCCGACUUUUAUUUAUACCAUAUUUGGAUUGACUUAAUAGAAUAUCUAAGUCUUGACAUGACAUGAUGACCAACAUCAAUUGUCACCCUUAUUUAUUUGAGUUAUUUGAUUAAAAGGGAUAAAAUAAUCCCUAAUUAAUUUGUAAAUUUAACUCAUUACAUUUUUUUCAGCAUAAAAAUUAUCUAUUUUUUCUCAUAAAAAAAAGAAGAAUUAAUUGGCAAAAAGGAAUAAAAUAAUCUUCAUAGUUGUAAAUUUAACAUCUUCCAUAUUUUUUUAAAGAAUAACUCAUUUUUUACAUAAAUGUUUUUAACUAUUUCAAGUAUUUACAUGUAAAUUUAAAAAAAAAAUGUUUAUUUUUAUUAAAAAAAAAAUGGAGGCAUUUUUGUUAUGGUAAAAAAAAAAAAAAGACGAUGGGUUAGAUUUGCAAAAUAAAGUUUAAAUAAAUAAAAUUUAAAAAUUGAAAAAAAAAUUGUAUAUAAACAAUUGAAAAUAUUGAACGAUAUGAAGCAUGAAAAUGGAUUAUUUUUCAAGUUCGGAGCAUUCAUUUCAUCCAUUUUACUAUUCAACAACCCUAACCCAAACCAUACGUUGCAAGUCAGCCAAUGCCGUUCCCAAUACUCACGUUGUAAGUGUCGAUGGGCCAUCCCCGAAUUCCUAGUACACGAGGAUUUGAAUUUAAAGCUUGUCUCAGCUAUAUAUUAUGCAUACACCCCCUUCUUCGUUAGUGUCUUCACAGACUUCACUUUCGUACAUCCAGCUCCGAAACAACAUGGAUGGUAGACCAACAUUGAUCUGGCUGCUCAUUAUUUCCUUGCACGGCUUGGGAUGGGUUUCAGGUCCCUUCCAUGGAAUCCAGCCUGGUCGGCGAGAGCUCACGGCCAGGGAAGGUAGGCAUUCAGUACUUUUGUACAAUUUAGCACCAUCAUGGCAAAUGAGGUAACUUUAACUCCCAAGUUCUAUUAUUGCGUGCACCUCAUUUAUGGUUUUUGAAGCACAUUAAAAUUAGGGGUGGCAAAAUCUAUGACUAGUCAGUUUUUUUGAAAUUCUGUAGAUUCUAUUAUGAAUGAUCAGUUUGAAACUUAAUUUGUAGGUUUCAUUAGCAUCGAUUGUGGAAUAGCUCCAGGCUCCCAUUACAUGGACGACAAGUUCCAGAUACUUUACGUUUCAGAUGAAGAUUUUAUAGAUACUGGAAUCAAUUAUAAUGUCUCCGAGGAAUACAUUGACGAUGAUCCACUGAAACAGUUCAUGAAUAUUAGAAGCUUCCCGGAAGGAAACAAAAAUUGUUACACCCUACGACCAGAAGGAGGCAAUAAGUAUUUGAUCAGAGCUCGGUUCAGGUAUGGGAAUUAUGAUUCCAAGAAUAAACUUCCGCCGUGCUGAUGAAUGGGUCAUAGUGGAUAUAAAAGAUGCAUCUGAUUAUAUCAAAGUAGAAAUCAUACAUGUCCCAACAACAGAUGACAUAUACGUUUGUCUAGUAAACAUUGGUUCUGGGACACCUAUCAUAUCCACAUUAGAGCUCAGACCCCUCAAUAAUUCCAUUUACGAUAAAUCCGAACCGGGUCGCUGCUACUCUUCAACGGGUGGGAUUUUAGUGUCACAUACGGUGGUUACGGUACAUACAGGUGAGGAUCAUUGUUUAGGUCCUUAACAAGAAUUCUUUUGUUCUAGAUCACUUCUGGUUGGAGAAAUUUACUAGUUUCUCAUCUUUCAGCUAAUUAAGUUUGUGCAAUCUUAGGGCGGAUGAUGUUUUCGACCGCAUUUGGAACAUAUUGGCCUGGUCGGAUGAAUGGGAUACCCGCAAAGCACCAUAUGAAAGUUCUUCCCUUAGUUACAGUGAGUAUAAACUUCCAAUGUCGGUCAUGAUGGAUGCUGUCAUACCCGUAGAUAUAAGUGAGCCCUGGAUCUUCUCUCUGGAUCUUGAUGAUGAUCCUUCACAAAAUUUAUACAUAUACAUGCACUUUGCCGAGGUUCAGGAACUUGGAGAAGGCGAUAUUAGAGAAUUUACUGUCUCAUUAAAUGAGGACGAUUCAUGGGGUGGUGGCGAGCCAGUGAUUCCCAAUUACAUGGUUCCGAACACCUUACAUCACCCCUUAUCAAUGCAAUGGAAGUUUACAAAAUAAAAGAUUUCCCACAGUCAUCAACUAAACAAGGGGAUGGUAUCUUCUUUUCUUAUCCAUAUAUAUCUCCAUAUAAUUUAGUUAUUCGCGAGCAGGGCUUAAAGAUGAUCCAGCUUUUCCCUUGUUUGUUUCCUUGGAAUUAAAUACUAGUUCUCGCUGUCAAGAACAUCCGGUCAGCUUACCGACUGACAAGACACUGGCAAGGAGAUCCAUGUCUCCCCUUGGAUUUCCCAUGGGAUGGCCUGCAGUGCAGUUACAGCAGUGACUCCCCCACUUGAUAGAGAUAUACUAUUAACCAUGCAUAAGCGUGAAUUUAAUAGAAUGUUAUUAUGAUGUCAUUCUAUAAACAAUUAUUUCUUUGUAUUUAAUUGGAGAUUUGCAUUAGAUAAAUUAAUCUUUCAGCAUAAUUUAAUAAUAAUUGUGUUAAUAUAUUUUAUAUAUAACUAACUGGACCAAGUAGAGAAUGGAUGUUUUGUACUGACUGUUAAAACAUAUUCUCUAGGACAUUAGAAAUAAGAUUUAUGUUUUUAAUCAUGAUUUAAUUAAUAUGAGCAAAUAUAAAAUGUCUUGUGUUUUGAUUCAUUAAAGAGUGAGUUUCAUUUAUUGGAGCGAUAAGACUCGAUGAGUUGGACAAAGACGCUUUAUGUUUGCGAUGUAUUAAAUAAUGAUUGAAUCCACGUCUCGGUAUAGAGAUUGAUGAUGCACUUUAAGUAAGCUUAUAAGGUUUCAUAGUGUAAACCCUGCAGGUGGAUUUUAAUCCGACACAUGAAUUAAGUUAAGCGACAAUCUUGAAGAUCUAUUGUUACUCAAAUAAAUUGUCAGUAAUUUGUUUGAUGUAAAUAGCAUCUGUAAUCUUAACGUGGGAAACAUAAAUUAUUAUGUAAUGGAAUUGUAAGAUUAAUAAGGAGUUCAAUCAUGAAUUUUUAGUGGUAUAAUUUGUGAUUAAUUAUAAUGAGAAUAUACUGGUUCUGUAUGAAUUCUUAUUAUAAUUAGUAGCCUUGUUAAUUUUAUUCCUGUGGUCCCUGCUGUGCCUUAAUUGUUUGGACUAUACAUGAAUUAUAUGUUUUAAAUAAAUGAUGGAUUAGUUUUUAAUUAAAUUUUAUUUAAUUAAAAAUAGAUAAUCUAAUUUAUUUAAAAUGAGCAUUUUAAGGGAAAGAGAGUCACGCUUAUAUCGGUUUUCUUGAAGCAAAUUAUACGCUUAAGAGUUUCUAAGAAAGCGGUCUUCUUCCCAUCGAAAAGAGGUAUAUUAGAAACAGAAAAGAGAGUGACAAAACCCUAGCUAUUGUUUUUUUUGCCCACUCAGAAAUCAUAGUCCGAAAAUUGAUAAGGUAAACAGCAGAAGAUUGUAGGAGAUUGUGGGCGUUUUUAGCAGAGAAAAAGGUCAGUCUUUUACAUAUGGUUUUGGCUUGCCUCCAUGCUUGUUUCAUCAUGAUUUGUUUCCGCUGCGUAAAUCAUGGUUUCUAUCAAUUGGUAUCAGAUCCAGGUUUGAAAUUCGUUUGGAGGUAUUAUUCGUACUGUCGUUUCUGAUUUAUUAUGAAAACAGAGUUAUAUGCGUUGGAUUAAAGAGACUCAUUUUUGAAAACGCAAGAGAUAAUGGCUGCAGUUGUUAUAUGAAUAUGCAUAUGUUCAUUGAUGUUAACACGCAGAUUGGGUGUUUUAUAUUAUAAUAUUAUAUUGCAUAUAAGGAUGUUAAUGGCUGCCGUUUUCAUCAAAUGCUUCAAUUAUAAUAUUGUAUUGUUGAAUGCUUCUAAUUAUCGCAAAUCAGAACAUGCUUGCUGCAGUUUUGUUUUUGAUAACAUGAAUGUUUUAGUAAACCAGCAGCUCGUUUAUUUCCAUUAAUUUGUGAGUAUUUCAAGAGUUGCUAGUUGUGAUUACUUACAUUUUCUUCCUCAUCGGCAGAUGAUUGAUUACUACUCAAAAAGUGCUAUUUGAUAGCCUAUAAUUAAUCCUUUUAAACACUUUUGAGUAGUAGUUUAGGCCUUUUAACUCAAUUGACAUGUUAAGGAUCCUUUAAAGCAAUUUUGAUCACUUUGUGUAAGUUUUGGUGUUUUUGUUAGUAUUUUAAUCACCAAAGCAAGUCAAGACUGAGGAGAGCUAUGAGGAAUCUUGGGCAAAGCUUAGAAUUCAUUUGCCAAGAGUGAAUCCGGAUUGCAAGGAGAAAAAGCAAAGAGAAUCUGCCAUAAAGCAUAUUCUUGAUGACAGUCGUAGCAGCCACUUUUGGAGCACUUUCUGAAGUUAAAAUGAUGCAUGCUAUAUACCAUUUCAAAUCUCAGGAAGUCAACAAUCCAAUGCUUCAAACGGUGUGCAAUUCGGAGUUGAAACGAAGAAGUUGCAGCCAUUACAAGCCAGUCACUCCGAGCUGAAGGAAGCAUUUUGCAAAGUGCUGCGAAAUCACCCUUUUGUUGCGAAGUGAUUUCAAAGCAUUUUUGUACAGUAAAGUGUUUCUCCUUCUGACGAUGCAUGAUUUAUGCCGCGAGAAGGAAGCUUGGAACCUCAAGGUGGAAGCCAACUUCGCAGCCCUGUGAAGAUAGCUCGGUGUUGCGAAAUAAUUUCGCAGCCCUCUUGGGUGUCGCGAAAUCUCGCAGACACCAUUUUUCUCCUGCGAAAUGGUUCCUGAAGCCUCCCGAAGUUUGCUACCGACAUUGGGAGAUAUUUUCCAUUAGAUUUUUGUUGUCUAAAUCCCAAAAUACUCCUUGUAAACCACCAAUUACAUGAUUCCUUAGUUUUUAAGUUAGUAAAAAGACUAAAUAUCUUUGUAACAAUUAGUUUUAUAUUAUGUUGAUAUAUAUACCUCUCGGGAGCCUGUUCUCAAGGAGGAGUUCCUUCUGUAACCGUUUGGGUAAGCAAGUAAAGUCUAUUUUCUUUCUACUGCCUUACCUUCUCACUUUGUAUUUUCAUUUUAUUUCUAAGUUAUGAAUUCUCUGAGGAGUUUUCCCCAGAGAAUGAGUAACUAAACCUCUAAUUCCUUGGAGCUAAGGUUGCCGAGGAAGGUUCCAAAUGCAAGAAUGCAAAGCUCUGUGGUUUUAGCUAGUAAUGAAGAGAAAGUGAAAUCCUUUAGUGAUUUCUAUGUUUUUAGUUAACUUAAAACACCUUGGAAUCACCUAGGCCAACACUUGGUAAGGCAAGUGAUUUCCAACCAUGGAAAUGCACUAGUUUACCCCUUGCGAGCCUCUGGUAGGUGACUUCAGGGUAGGAUUUUCUAGAAUAGCCAACACUUGAUAAGCUUUUGGACUCCUAGGAGACAUCCAUUAGUUAUCUCUUGCGAGCUUUUGACGGGUAAUCCAAGGUUAAAGAUCACCUUGAAUGGCUAAGGCUUAGUGAGAGGCUUAAACCAUUACAAGUUGCAUCAGUGAGAGAAUUAAAGUGAAAUCUAAUUGAAGGAGUCUCUAUACAUCACCGGUUAGAGAAUUGACUGUAUGUUGAAUCUCUAACGCGAGGAAAUGAACCAUCUGACCAGAGCCGUGUCUUUUGCAUGAGGAACCACCCCAGUGAACCUAAAACUCCAAGGAAUGUUUUUCUUCCUAAAUUAUUCCAAACUUCUGUUAUGUUAGUUAGUUUAAGUCUAAACCUUUACCAAUCAAAGUUUGUGUUUUACUUCUUAAGCUAACCUUGAAAUGAAACAAGACCAAUUCACUUGGAAUUGGUAUCAUUGAUUGCUUGUUAGUCAUUCCCAGUGAACGACCCUAGAGCCACUAUACUAUAGUAGCUUUUUCUUUGCUACCCUAGUGUAUGGUGUUAUAGGUAAUAAAUUUUGUUGAUUACUCCCUCAAUCAAGGAGCACCAGCUGAACACAAAUCAGCUGAGACACCAAUUGGGCAUGAAUCAAUGAUAUGUUUUGAUGUAAUCACUGUAACUCUUCUAGUAUUGUCUAUAUUUAUUUAUCUCUCUAUCUGAGUAAAUUAAUUAGGGACAGACUAGAAGUUAUAAUUUCACAUUUAUAUUUAAGAGGCAUGUUUUCUCCCAUCGAGUGGUACAUGUUGAUCUUAUGUUGCUUUUAUAAGCAUAACAUAUGUUUAGUUUAAUUCUCCCAUCGAGAUUACUGUCCAUGGAUGUUAUGAUGCAGGCCAAGAUAGUUGAUUUUAGGUUCUCAAGAUUUUCCUUAAUUGAAAGUGAAAUUCAUAUCACAACUCUUGUUGUUGGUACUAUUGGUUACAUUAAUGCGGAAUAAGUCCAUGUUGCUUUGCGAUUACGCAAUUCAUAACUCUAUUUCUUUGAAGAGAUUACCUUACGAACUAAGAACCCUAUUUUCUACUUUAGGGGCCAUUCUAGGCAUGUGGGUGGUGUUAAAACUAAGAAAAAAAAUAGUAUACUAGAUUUAGUCAUCAAGUGCCUCUCUGUAAGGGUGGUAAAGUUUAAUAUAAUUCAUCAAUAGGACUUAAAUCCAACAUGUACAUUUUUGCAAGUUUGAGUUGAAUAUAAUUGCGGGUUAAAUUCAUGUCAUAACUUGUUUAAUAAAUAAAUAGUUUUUGAGUCAAUCGACAUAAAACAAAUUUGACCCAAAUUAACUCAUUUAAUAAUUUUUUUUAUUAACCUAAUUAUGACUUUAAACUAUUUAACUCAUAUUUUACUCAUUUUAAAUUUAUUUUUAAAUAAAUAGGUCAAUUGAAUUAUAAACAUGUUUAUAUAGUUGAGAUAUUAAUCAUAUAUUUGAUUAUUAAACAAAAGGACCUGAUUAUUAAAGGGGUUACACGACAUGCUACUUGUUUAGUAAUUAGGUAAUAUUUAUGUUUAUAUUUUUAAUACAAUUAUUAUUCGUAACAAUUUCAAGUUUGGGUUUGAGUUGACCUAUGUAGUUAAAUGUUUAGACUUUGACAUAACACGAACAUGACCCACUUACACAAAUUGCCAUUGCUACUUUAAUGCAAGUACUACAUAUCCAAUAGUUUAACUGAGAAAAGUGAAAUUUAUAGCUUUGGAAUUGUUCUGCUGGAGCUGACCACUGAAAAACCUGCAAUCAUAUAAGAUGAAGACAACAUUCAUAUAGUUCAAUGGGUAAAGUCCUUUGUGGAAAGAGAGAACAUUGGAAGCAUUGUUAGUCUUGGGCUACAAGGAAAUUUCAAUAGAAAUUCAGUUUGGAGAGUUUGGGAGACAACAUGCCUACCAUCAAUUUCCAUCCAAAGGGUGACCAUGAGUCAUGUAGUGAUGGAAUUGAAGAAGUGUGUGGAAGCAGAGAAUGCUCAUGAUUAAAUUGGAAGGAUGGAGAAACAAGCGAGGGAAUCAAGCAAUUUGAUUGACUUAUAUAGUCUAGUUUCUUAAAAAGUAAUUUUUUGCUUUUGAGAAUCAAAAAUUGUUUUUGUAUUUUCUAUUAUCAAACAUGUUUUUCUGUUUUAUUUUAAAAAAUAGUUUUCAUUUACUAAAACAAUUAACAAACAGGCCUUUAGGAUGUAUUUGGUAUAUGAGAAUAUGAAUCAUAUUAAGAUAAGAAUGAAGAUCAAUUAUAAUCCCAUGUGGAAAAUAUCAUUGUGAUUUGAUAAAUUGGAUAUACAAUGGAUCCUUCUUACUCAUAUUGGAUUUGUCUUCAUUUGGCAUUAAUGGUCCUCAAAGUUCUAAAAUACAAUUACAAUUUGCUAUAUUAAUUCACAUUCUUUAACUUGACUUUGCUCCUUUGAAACUUCAAUGCCCAUUUUCUUCUUUUUCCGUAAGCCAAAAUACAAUGAAUUGACUCAAUUUUCAUACGAUGCUAGUCUUCUUCCACACAACAUGACCCCACAGCUCUUAGCAUUCCCACUUAUUUUGCCCACUGAAUAUGAUGGGAAAGACAAACUUGGAUAGGAAAAAAAACAAAACAUCACUGGUUUUGGCUCUGAUAGGUUCCAUUGCAACAACUCAGAGCUAGGCCCAAGAACAUUUUAUUGAUCAAAACCCUGGUGGGAGGAAGCUUGGCACAAUUAACACAUUAAGUAAACAUGAAUAUUAAUCUUAGUACUUUUUUUUUUUUUUUUGCACAUGUGUCAUAUUUAUGAAAAAUGCUAAGAUAUUGUAAUAAUACCUAUCAAAAUCCAAAUUUGGAUCAUUAAAUAUAUAUGAUAAAAUCUUAAUCAUUGAAUGAGAAUACAAACAAAUGAUACUAAGGUAUAAAAGUACAAGCAAAUGAGACUAAAAUAUGAAUAAUGGAAUUUGAAAAUAUAUAUUUGAUAUCACCUUAUUAGUGUUGUCUUUUUAUACCAAAUAUAUAUAUAUCGUUUUAUAAUGUACAUGGACCCUACAUUUACUUGCUAUGUUCCUACUUCAUCCUCGAAUGUUCCUAUAACAAUAAUCCUUAUAUUUUAACCACAUGCUUUGCUGGCACCACUCACAGCCAUUAGUUUUCGGGCAUUAUUUAAUUUUGUUGUUAGUGUGAUAUUGACAAGUCAAUAAAAUUCUAAAAUUUUGUAAAAAAAUGAAAAAAUUUAAAAUUUUGUUAAAAAAAUUCAUAUUUGAAACAAAAUUUUGAAGGUGAGAGAAGGAAAUAUGAAGGAAAUUAGGAUCAUGCUAAGAUACCAAAGACUUGCUUUUCAAUGUCUAUUUUCAUUCAAUGGGCAAACUUUUUCCAAUUAUUAAUAGUGAUACUUGUGGGAGAUAAGAUGAUCUAGACUUGACCAAGUCAAUUUGGAAGGUUAUAUGUAGUAGUACUAUCCGUCUAUUGUAACUUGAUAAAGAAAAAAAAUUAAUAACUUAAUUUUUUUUUAUGUCAGUACACAAAACUAAAAAUUCUAAUUUUUAUCUAAAAUUGAAGUAUAGUUAUUAUUUCAUGUUAAUUUCUAUUCAUAUUUGAAACAAAUUCAAACAUCUCCAUUCAAGUUGUAGAUAAAAACCAAAUACCCACUUAAAGUAUUAUGAUUCUUUGUAAUUUUGAAAUGAAGUAAUCAACCAACCCUACAAUUUUAGUUUUCAUUUUAUUCUUAUUUCCUUCUCUUACCUUCAAAAUUUUGUUUCAAAUAUGAAUAUAAAUUAAUAUAAAAUAAUAAUUAUACUUCAAAUUUAGACAAAAUUUAAAUUUUUUUAGUUUUUUGUAUUGACAUAAAAUUUAAAUAAUUAAUUUUUUCUUUAUCAAGUCACAAUGGAUGAAUAGUGUUAUAUAUAACCUUCCAAAUUGAUUUGGUUAAGUAUACAUUAUCUUGUCUCCUUCAACUAUCACUAUUAAAAUUUUCUAUAGGCAUUGAAAAGUAAGUUUUUGGUACCUUAGCAUGACAUUAAUUUUCUCUAUAUUUCCUUCUCUUACCUUCAAAAUUUUUUUUCAAAUAUGAAUAGAAAUUAAUAUAAAAUAAUAAUUAUACUUCAAUUUUAGGGAAAAUUUAAAUUUUCUAAGUUUUUUGUAUUGACACAAAAAUUAAAUAAUUAAUUUUUUCUUUAUCAAGUCACAAUGGGUGAGUAGUACCACAUAUAGCCUUCCAAAUUGACUUGGUUAAGUCUACACUAUCUUGUCUCCCUCAACUAUCACUAUUAAACUUUUCCAUAGACAUUGAGAAACAAGUUUUUGGCAUCUUAGCAUGACCCUAAUUUCCCCUAUAUUUCCUUCUCUUACCUUCAAAAAUUUGUUUCAAAUAUGAAUAUAAAUUAAUAUAAAAUAUUAAUUAUACUUCAAAUUUAGACAAAAUUUAAAUUUUUUUAGUUUUUUGUAUUGACAUAAAAUUUAAAUAAUUAAUUUUUUUUUAUCAAGUCACAAUGGAUGAGUAGUGUUAUAUAUAACCUUCCAAAUUGGCUUGGUUAAGUAUACAUCAUCUUGUCUCCUUCAACUAUCACUAUUAAAAUUUUCUAUAGGCAUUGAAAAGUAAGUUUUUGGUACCUUAGCAUGAGAUUAAUUUUCUCUAUAUUUCCUUCUCUUACCUUCAAAAUUUUGUUUCAAAUAUGAAUAGAAAUUAAUAUAAAAUAAUAAUUAUACUUCAAUUUUAGCGAAAAAUUAAAAUUUUCUAGUUUUUUGUAUUGACAAAAAAAUUAAAUAAUUAAUUUUUUCUUUAUCAAGUCACAAUGGGUGAAUAGUACCACAUAUAGCCUUCCAAAUUGACUUGGUUAAGUCUACACUAUCUUGUCUCCCUCCACUAUCACUAUUAAACUUUUCCAUAGGCAUUGAGAAACAAGUUUUUGGCAUCUUAGCAUGACCCUAAUUUCCCCUAUAUUUCCUUCUCUUACCUUCAAAAAUUUGUUUCAAAUAUGAAUAUAAAUUAAUAUAAAAUAAUAAUUAUACUUCAAAUUUAGACAAAAUUUAAAUUUUUUUAGUUUUUUGUAUUGACAUAAAAAUUAAAUAAUUAAUUUUUUCUUUAUCAAGUCACAAUGGAUGAAUAGUGUUAUAUAUAACCUUCCAAAUUGACUUGGUUAAGUUUAUAUUAUCUUGUCUCCUUCAACUAUCACUAUUAAAAUUUUCUAUAGGCAUUGAAAAGUAAGUUUUUGGUACCUUAGCAUGACAUUAAUUUUCUCUAUAUUUCCUUCUCUUACAUUCAAAAUUUUGUUUCAAAUAUGAAUCGAAAUUAAUAUAAAAUAAUAAUUAUACUUCAAUUUUAGGGAAAAUUUAAAUUUUUUUAGUUUUUUGUAUUGACACAAAAAUUAAAUAAUUAAUUUUUUCUUUAUCAAGUCACAGUGGGUGAGUAGUACCACAUAUAUCCUUCCAAAUUGACUUGGUUAAGUCUACACUAUCUUGUCUCCCUCAACUAUCACUAUUAAACUUUUCCAUAGGCAUUGAGAAACAAGUUUUUGGCAUCUUAGCAUGACCCUAAUUUCCCCUAUAUUUCCUUCUCUUACCUUCAAAAUUUGGUUUCAAAUAUGAAUAUAUAUUAAUAUAAAAUAAUAAUUACUUCAAAUUUAGACAAAAUUUAAAUUUUUUUAGUUUUUUGUAUUGACAUAAAAUUUAAAUAAUUAAUUUUUUUCUUUAUCAAGUCACAAUGGAUGAGUAGUGUUAUAUAUAACCUUCCAAAUUGGCUUGGUUAAGUAUACAUUAUCUUGUCUCCUUUAACUAUCACUAUUAAAAUUUUCUAUAGGCAUUGAAAAGUAAGUUUUUGGUACCUUAGCAUGACAUUAAUUUUCUCUAUAUUUCCUUCUCUUACCUUCAAUUUUUUUUUUCAAAUAUGAAUAGAAAUUAAUAUAAAAUAAUAAUUAUACUUCAAUUUUAGGGAAAAAUUAAAUUUUUUUAGUUUUUUGUAUUGACACAAAAAUUAAAUAAUUAAUUUUUUCUUUAUCAAGUCACAAUGGGUGAGUAGUACCACAUACAGCCUUCCAAAUUGACUUGGUUAAGUCUACACUAUCUUGUCUCCCUCAACUAUCACCACUAUUAAACUUUUCCAUAGGCAUUGAGAAACAAGUUUUUGGCAUCUUAGCAUGACCCUAAUUUCCCCUAUAUUUCCUUCUCUUACCUUCAAAAAUUUGUUUCAAAUAUGAAUAGAAAUAAAUAUAAAAUAAUAAUUACACUUCAAUUUUAAACAAAAUUUAAAUUUUUUUAGUUUUUGUAUUGACAUAAAAUUUAAAUAAUUAAUAUUUUCUUUAUCAAGUCACAAUGGAUGAGUAGUGUUAUAUAUAACCUUCCAAAUUGGCUUGGUUAAGUAUACAUUAUCUUGUCUCCUUCAACUAUCACUAUUAAAAUUUUCUAUAGGCAUUGAAAAGUAAGUUUUUGGUACCUUAGCAUGACAUUAAUUUUCUCUAUAUUUCCUUCUCUUACCUUCAAAAUUUUGUUUCAAAUAUGAAUAGAAAUUAAUAUAAAAUAAUAAUUAUACUUCAAUUUUAGGGAAAAAUUAAAUUUUUUUAGUUUUUUGUAUUGACACAAAAAUUAAAUAAUUAAUUUUUUCUUUAUCAAGUCACAAUGGGUGAAUAGUACCACAUAUAGCUUUCCAAAUUGACUGGGUUAAGUCUAUACUAUCUUGUCUCCCUCAACUAUCACUAUUAAACUUUUCCAUAGGCAUUGAGAAACAAGUUUUUGGCAUCUUAGCAUGACCCUUAUUUCCUUUAUAUAUAUUUCCUUCUCUUAUCUUCAAAAAUUUGUUUCAAAUAUGAAUAGAAAUUAAUAUAAAAUAAUAAUUAUACUUCAAAUUUAGAUAAAAAUUUAAAAAUGUCAAUUUUUGUAUUGACAUAAAAAUUAAAUAAUUAAUUUUUUCUUUAUCAAGUCACAAUGAGUGAAUAGUACUACAUAUAACCUUCCAAAUUGACUGGGUAAGUCUACAUUGUCUUAUCUCCUACAACCAUCACUAUUAAACUUUUUCAUAAGCAUUGAAAAGCAAGUUUUUUCUCUUGCAUCAGAUAGAGUUUGUUUUGGUUCAGACAGAUCAUUUGUUUACCUUGGACAGAUUAAGAGUUUUUAUUUGGGGGAGGACACCUGGAGGGAAACCCCCCACAAGCAUGACCUUAAUUUCCUCUAUAUUUCCUUUUCUAACCUUAAAACUUGUUUCAAAUAUGAAUAAUAGAAAUUAAUAUAAAAUAAUAACUAUUCUUCAAUUUUAGAUAAAAAUUAAAUUUUUUAGUUUUUUGUAUGACAUAAAAAUAAAAUAAUUAAUGUUUUUCUUUAUACAUAACCUUUCAAAUUGACUUGGUAAAGCCUGCAUUGUCUUUGUCAUCUUUUUCAACUAUAUUUGUUAAUAAUUAGAAAUUGUUUUCCUAUUGAAUGAAGCUUUUCAAUAGGUACCUAAAAGAAAGACUUUGGUUUCUUGCCUUACCCUAAUUUCCUCUGUGUUUCCUUCUCUUACCUUCAAAUAAAUACAACUAUUAAUAUUUUUUUUAUACAUUAAGCUUCUUGUUGAGUACACUUGAUGGGAAAGAUCAAGUCAAUGUUACUCAUGAAUUUCUAAUGAGUUUUCAAUGUCCAUAUUGGUUUUGACUUGUGAAAUAUUAAAUUUUAUUUUGGACAUUCAGAAUAAUUUAGGCCACUAUUUAAUAUAUUUUUUAAAAGCACUAAUCAAUUCAUAACAAUAAAGGGAAACCAAUGUAGUUUUGUUUAUUCACCUUUAAUUAUUUCUCUUCUAUUCAAAGUUGUUAGUUUGUAUUUAAUUUAUCAUAUGUCGGUUGCUUUAUAAAUUAAAAUACCACUUUGUCCAAUGUUGAAGGCUUGGUUGAUUUCUAUAAAUUAGAGUUUUUUUAUUUAUUUAUUUUUAAGUUAUAAAACACUACUCCCAACCUUCCAACUUGUAAUUCCGGUGGAAAUUUUGAAAAACUUGAAAGUUUAGAUUUUUUUUUUUAUUAUUAUUGUUUAAUCAAUCUCUAUAUUGCAUGGAAUAAGAAUAUUCCGUCAAUGCAUGAUGAAAGAGAGACUUUAAAUAACACUAGAUGCAGCACAUGGUCAAUAAAUUGAUAUUCCAUAUUAUAAUUUGCAUUUUCUAAUGACUCCUUUUUAAUUGUGUAAAUAUUAUCCAUUUUAAAUCUAAUAUAUAGGUUCUCACGGUUUUAAAAUGCUUAACACACAAUUAAAAGGAGAAUUUGGAUUAUGUAAUAAUUCGCUCUCAACAUUUUAUGUAGAUAUUAUCCACUUUGAACCUUUACGAUUUUAAAAUGCAUCUGCACAAUUAAAAGAAACUCAUACACAUAUAGCUCUAUGAAUUUUUUCCCUUAUCCCCUAUAAACACGACAUCCUCAUACAUAUAUAACUUUCAACUGUAUAGAUAUUAUUCAUUCUAAAUCCAAUGGAUUCACAGUACUUUAAAAUGAAUCUACAAAGUUAAAAUUAGUUUGUAUAUGUAGUUUUAGGAUUAUUAUUUUUCCCCUCUAACCAAUAUGAGAUGUCACAUAUUCAAGUAUUGGAUUUGUGAUUCUUUUCUUGCUUACUUGAGUAAGAUUGGAGUAUCAAGAUAAUGGUUGUAAGCCACCAAUAGUCCACAGAGACAUGAAAUCUUCCAACAUUCUAUUAAAUGAAAUGCAGCAAGCCAACAUUCCUAAGAAUAUUUUCCAUAAUUGCUUCCUUAUUCAUGAAAUAUUAAUUACUUCCUAUAUAUGAAGAUACCAAUCAUGUAGUGGUAGACUUGAAGGAAUGUUUGGAGACAGAGGUGGCUUCCAGGAGAAUUCGAAGUGCAGGUAGCCACAGCAUCGGAUCAGGCAAUUUCCUAGAAGCCACAUCGGAAGUGCAGGAAUGUUUGGUGUAAAAAGCUUAGCCGGUCUAUUAAGAGAGAAGAAACAAGACAGUUUUUGUUCAUUAAUUCAUAUAAUAUUUCCAAUUGACUUGGUCAAGUCUGCAUUGCCUUAUCAACUACAACCAUCACUAUUAAUAAUCUACCCUAUAUAUCUUGUCUCCAAAUAAAUACAACUGUUAAUCAUUUUCUACACAUUAGGGACUGAGAAACUCCCUAUUGAGAACAGUUUUAUACAUUCUGAAUAAUUUAGAUCACUGGUUAAUCUUUUUUAAAACAACCCUAAUCAAUUUAUGGCAACAAAAGAAAACUGGCAAAAUUUUGUUUAUAGGGGUGGCAAAUAUUGAUAUGAUUUGUCAAUGCAACUCGUAGAUUUGAAUUGAGUAUAAUCAUAUUUAGGUCAAAUUCCUAUUGACUUACAUAGCCUAUUUAAUAAAUAGAUUAUUCUUUAUUCAACCUACAUAAUAUGAAUUUAACUUGAAAUAUUUAACUCGUAUUUGACUCAUUUUAACUUAAUAUAUCAAUUAAAUCAUAAAUAUAUCAAGUAGAAAUAUUAAUCAUAUAAACAUGUACAAAAUCUAACUCAUAUAAACUUAUACUAGAUUUAACUCAACUUGACUAUUAAAUAGGUUAAAUAAGUUAUCGUGUUAAGAUAAGAAUGAAGAUCAAUUAUAAUCCCAUGUAGAAAAUAUCACUAUGAUUUGAUAAAUUGGAUAUACAAUGGAUCCAUCUUCCUCAUAUUGAAUUUGUCUUCAUUUGGCAUGAAUGAUCCCCAAAGUUCUAAAAUGCAAUUACAAUUCGCUAUAUUGAUUCACAUUCUUUAACUUGACUUUGCUCCAUUCAAACUUCUAAAAAAAUAAAAGCUAAUCUUAAAUAGGAAAACAACCAAGAAGAGGGGUGAAUUGGGUUUUAAAAAAUCUGUUUCAAACACAAUAAAUUCAAGCAAAAUAAGCAUAAAUCUAAAAAGAUCAGGUUAAAUAAGUUAUCGUGUUACAUUUUUAAUAAGUAGAUAAUAUUUGAGUUUAUAUUUUUAACAUGACUUUUAUUUGUAUUGUAUUUGGAUUGACUUAAUUGAAUGUCUAUGACAUGAGACGAUGAUCAACACCACUUAUAGCCCUUAUUUAUUUAUGAAUUAUAUGAUUAAAAGGAAUAAAAUAAUCCCUACUUUGUAAAUUUAACUCAUCAAGAUUUUUCAGCAUAAAAAUUAUCUAUUUUUUCUCAUAAAAAUAACCUUUCUUUUUUUAAACUUAUAUAUAAACAAUCGAAAAUAUUGAAAGAUAUUAAGCAUAAAAAUGGAUUAUUUUUCAAGUUCAAACACGGAAUGGGAGCAUUCGUUUCAUCCAUUUUACUAUUCAACAACCCUAACCCAAAGCAUACGUUGCGAGUCCCGAUGGGCCAUCCCCGAAUUCCUAGUGUACGAGGAUUUGAAUUUAAAGCUUGUCUCAGCUCUAUAUUAUGCAUACACCCUCUUCUUCGUUAAGACUUCACUUUCGUACAUCCAGCUCCGAAACAACAUGGAUGGUAGACCAACAUUGAUCUGGCUGCUCAUUAUUUCCUUGCACAGCCCGGGAUGGGUUUCAGGUACCUUCCAUGGAAUCCAGUCUGGUCGGCGAGAGCUCACGGCAGGGAAAGGUAGGCAUUCAGUACUUUUAUACAACUUAGCGCCAUCUUGGCAAAUGAGGUAGCUUUAACUCCUAAGUUCUAUUAUUGCGUGGACCUCAUUUAUGCUUUUUGAAGCACAUUAAAAUUAGGGGUGGCAAAAUCUAUGACUAGUCGGUUUAUUUCAAAUUUUGUAGACUAUAUAUUUUGAAUGAUCAGUUUGAAACUUAAUUUGUAGGUUUCAUAAGCAUCGAUUGUGGAAUAGCUCCAGGCUCCAAUUACAUAGAUGAUAAGCUCCAGAUACCUUACAUUUCGGAUGAAGAAUUUAUAGAUACUGGAGUCAAUUAUAAAGUCUCCAAGGAUUACAGUGACGAGGAUGCAUUGAAACAGUUCAUGAAUGUUAGAAGCUUCCCGGAAGGUAACAAGAAUUGUUACACCCUACGACCAGAAGGAGGCAAAGGUAAUAAGUAUUUGAUCAGAGCUCGGUUCAUGUAUGGGAAUUAUGAUUCCAAUAAUCAUCUUCCGAAGUUCAAACUAUAUCUGGGUACUGAUGAAUGGGUCACAGUGAAUAUAGAAGAUGCAUCUGCUUAUAUCAGAGAAGAAAUCAUACAUGUCCCAACAACAGAUGACAUAUACGUUUGUCUAGUAAACAUUGGUGGUGGGACACCUUUCAUAUCCACAUUAGAGCUCAGACCGCUCAAUAAUUCCAUUUACGAUCAAUCCGAACAGGGGUCGCUACUACUCUUCAACAGGUGGGAUUUUUGCAAACCAGAGAAUGCGCUACACAGGUGAGGUUCAUUGUUUAGGUCCUUAACAAGAAUUCUUUUGUUCUAGAUCACUUCUGGUUGGAGAGAUUCACUAGUUUCUCAUCUUUCAGCUAACUAAGUUUGUGCAAUCUUAGGCCGGAUGAUGUUUUCGACCACAUUUGGAACCUAUCGGCCUGGUCGAAUGAAUGGGAUACCCUCGAAGCAGCAUAUGAAAUUUCUUCCCUUAGUCACAGUGAGUAUAAACUUCCGAUGUCGGUCAUGAUGGAUGCUGUCAUACCCGUAGAUAUAAGUGAGCCCUGGAACUUCUCUCUGGAUCUUGAUGAUGAUCCUUCACAAAAUUUAUACAUAUACAUGCACUUUGCCGAGGUUCAGAAACUUCGAGAAGGGGAUAUUAGAGAAUUUACUGUCUCACUAAAUGAGGACGAUUCAUGGGGUGGUGGCGAGCCAGUGAUUCCCAACUACAUGGUUUCGAACACCUUACACCACCCAUCUGCGGUGAGUGGAAGUACCACAAACGAAUUGUCAUUUGCACUAAAAAAGACUAAUAGAUCCACGCUUCCACCCCUUAUCAAUGCAAUGGAAGUUUACAAAAUAAAAGAUUUUGCACAGUCAUCAACUAAACAAGGGGAUGGUAUCUUCUUAUCUUAUCCAUAUAUAUCUCCUUAUAAUUUAGUUAUUCACGAGCAGGGCUUAAAGAUGAUUCAGCUUUUCCCUUGUUUGUUUCCUUGGAAAUUAAAUACUAGUUCUCGCUGUCAAGAACAUCCGGUCAGCGUACCGACUGACAAGACACUGGCAAGGAGAUCCAUGUCUCCCCUUGGAUUUCCCAUGGGAUGGCCUGCAGUGCAGCUACAGCAGUGACUCCCCCACUAUAAUCUCACUGUGAGUUUUAUAUAUAUAUAUAUUUGCAGGGACUUGGUGAAAGCUAAUCUUUCCUUGAUAAAUCACACGAAUUAACGAUUUACUAAUUACCCUAGCUGGCAAGCAGGAACCUUUCAUCGAGCAACUUGACUGGGAAUAUCCAUCCUUCAUUUUCCCAGCUCAAAUCAUUAGCAAAUCUGUAAGUAUUAGUGGCUAUCAUGAGUGCUACACAGUGCCAGCAGGCACAUAUAUCUUCUCUGUAAUCUGAUCGAGCUCUUUACCCCAAAAAUUAUACUUAUUUCAGGGAUUUAUCAUACAACAACUUGACUGGAACGGUACCAGAAUUUUUUGCAGACUUGCCAUUGUUAAUGGUCCUGUAAGUUGUUAUAUAUUGAAGUUAAAAGUAAUACGAUGUUUGAUUGCUUGGUAGGAUAUGCAGGUAAUCUAGUAUUUGAUAUUCUGUGUUUGCAGUAAUUUGACGGGGAACCAGCUAACAGGUUCAGUUCCCCAAACUAUUAUGGAAAUGUUCAAGGAUAAGGAUAGAACACUGAGGUAUCUUCCAUUAUAAUUUUCCACUACUCUUUUCUUAGUGUUUGGUUUGAUGGAACUCUUGACUUCAAUUACAUUCUGUUUUGUGCAAGUCUUGGCGCAAAUCCAAAUCUUUGCCCGUCAGUCUCUUGCCAAGGAAAGGAGAAGAAGAAGAAGAACAGGUUCCUUGUUCCUGUUCUCAUAGCCAUUCUGACUGUAACUGUGAUCCUCGUCCUCAUAACUGCCCUUGCAAUGAUCAUCCGAAAGUUCAAAAGGAGAGAAACCAAAGGUAUUUUCUUUCUUUCAUUCUCAUUUUUUUUUUUUCCCUUUUAAAUGAGGAUUUAACAUUUUAUUGUGAUUUCCUUAGCGACAACCAUAGAGACGGUCAGUGAACGCCCCAAAGAGGGGUCAUUGAAGUCAGGGAACUCUGAGUUCACUUUCUCUGACGUUGCAAGUAUCACCAAUAACUUUAGUCGUACCAUCGGUAGAGGAGAAUUCGGACAAGUUUAUCUAGGCACUUUGGCAGAUGGCACCCAGGUUGCGGUCAAGAUGCGUUCUGAAUCAUCAAUGCAAGGCCCCAAGGCAUUACGAGCCGAGGUUAGACAAAUCAAUCCAUCCAUGGUUCUAGAGUACGAAAAUUUCUCCAUCUGAUGUCUGACACUGAAAGAUUUUGAGAUAUUGCAGGUGAAACUCUUGACGAGAGUUCAUCAUAAAAACUUGGUUCGUCUGAUUGGGUAUUGCAAUGACGGUACAAACAUCGCUCUCGUUUAUGAAUACAUGUCCAACGGAAACCUGCAACAGAAGUUAUCAGGUAUAUAUAUGUAGUGACCACUCUUGAUUACAGGUAUAUAACUGUCAAUGGAAGCUACUUGUGGACUUUAAUAUUUAUGCAUUUGCUGCAGGGAGAGCAGCGGCAGAUGUUUUGAAUUGGAAACAGAGACUUCAAAUUGCAGUAGAUGCAGCACAUGGUAAGUAAUUAAGCCGAGAUCUUCCAUAUUAUAGUUAAUUUGCAUUCAAAUGUUUCUUUAAUUUGUGAUUCUUUUCUUGCUUAAUUGUGUAGGAUUGGAGUAUCUACACAAUGGCUGUAAGCCACCAAUAGUCCACAGAGACAUGAAAUCUUCCAACACUCUAUUAACUGAAACACUGGAAGCCAAGAUAGCUGAUUUUGGGAUGUCCAGAGAUCUUGAAAGUGGUGCUCUCUUAUCAACUGACCCAGUAGGCACACCUGGAUAUCUUGAUCCUGAGUAAGUGUUAACAACAUUCCUUACAAUAUUUACAUAAUUGCUUCCUUAUUCAUGAAACACAACUUCCUAUGCAGAUACCAGUUGACGGGAAAUUUGAAUAAGAAGAGCGAUGUUUACAGCUUUGGGAUUGUUUUGUUGGAGCUUAUCACCGGUCAGCCUGCAAUAAAGAACCCUGGGAGCAUUCAUAUAGUUGGAUGGGUUAGUCCUAUGAUUGAAAGAGGGGAUAUUCAAAGCAUUGUUGAUCCAAGGUUACAAGGAGAUUUCCACACCAAUUCUGCCUGGAAAGCCCUAGAGAUAGCCUUAGCAUGUGUAGCAUUAACAGGAAUGCAAAGGCCAGAUAUGAGUCAUGUAUUGGCAGACUUGAAGGAAUGUUUGGAGAUAGAGAUGGCUUCCAGGAGAACUCAAAGUGUUAGCCACAGCAUCGGAUCAGGCAAUUUCCUGGAAGAUAGUCCCUUGACUCUUGGCACUCAAUCGGCUCCCCGUGCUACGUAGUUGUGGGAAGCUCCAUUAUAAUGUGAUAAAUUUGCUUAAUGUUAGCAUGUGGGAAUAUGGAUUAUGGUGCACUUCUCUAUAUUUUGAAUUGUGUUCAUGAAAAAUUCUAUAUUGGGUAAUUGUACCAACUUUCUCUCAGACUUUGAUAUUUGAAAAUCAAAACUUUGUAGGAUUUCACUGGUCAGAGCACUUUAACUAUUGUGUGACAAUCUUAAUGUUCUUCAUAGGACUGUAAGUCUGAUAUUUCAUGCUUGAACCAAGCAUAUCCAACUUUUUUUUACAAUAAAGUGUUGCAACAAGCAAGCUUGUUCUGAAUUAUGUUUUUUGUUCUACACAACGUGCACACAUCCUCACCAAGCCUCUAUUCAUUUGGAGAGCCUUGUUUCAAGCUAGUAUUAUCUUGGGCAAUUAAGAAAUCAAUAAAAACAAAGGAAGAAGAUACAAAAAAUUUUAAGGUAAAAAGUGAAUUCAUCUAUUGAAAAUAUGAGUUCGGUCAAAAUAAAACAAGUGAUGAAAAGUAUCAUUUUUUUAUUAACUUUUUAAUAAUUAUUUUUAAUAAUAUUUUUAAAAAUAAUAUUUCUCUGUUUUUUUAAAUAAAUAAAUAAAGAAAAAGAAAAUCCCCUUAGCCCUCACAAGUCAAUAGUUUGGUGCAUCACUCAAUUUGUUGUUGUGAUGUUGACUAAUCAAUAAAAUUCUAAAAUUUUGUGAAAAAUAAAAGCGUUAGGAUCUGUUGAUUUCUUCUUUACAAAAUUAUGAAAAGUUUAUUGAAUGAUAGUGGAUGUUUGCUUUUUAUCUAAAAUUUGGAUAGAUUUGAAUUUAUUUUAAAUAUGAAUAGAAAUUAAUAUAAAAUAAUUAUUAUACUUCAACUUUACAUAAAAAAAAAAAAAAAAACCCUAAACUUUCCAAUUUUUUAUAUUGACAUAAAAUUUAACUAAUUAAUUAUUUUUCUUUUGGUGUAAAAAGCCUAGCCAGUCUAUUAAUAGAGAAAAUAAAUAAGACAAUUUUUGUUCAUUAGUUCAUAUAUGUAUAUAUAACCUUCCAAAUUGACUCGGUGAAGUCUGCAUUCAAAUUAAUUCAGGCCACUAAUUAAUCUUUUUAAAAAUCAAAAACGCUAAUCAACUUAUAACAACAAAAAAAAAAACUCUUAAAAUUUGUUACAAGGAUGAUAAAAUUUGAUACGAUUUCCCAACACGAAUAAAUUCUAACAUAUUUUUUUAUAGAUUUAAAUAAAGUAUAAUUGUAUUCAAAUUUGCAGUGGCAUGUAUAACCUAUUUAAUAAAUAUAUUACCUUUUAUCAAGCUAUAUAACAUGAAUUUGAUUUAAAUUGACUUAUUUAAUAAUCUUAUUAAUUAACCUAAUUAUAAUUAUAAAAACAUUUAACUCAUAUUUAACUUAUUUUAACUUUACUUAAUAAAUAUGUUAAUUGAAUCAAUGAAGAUGUCAAGAAAUUCAUCAUAUAAAAUUGUACAAGAUCUAACUCAUAUAGAUUUAUAUAAGAUCUAACUUAACCUGAUUAUUAAAUGGAUUAAAUAAAUUACAUGACAUGUUACCUUUUUAAUAAUUAGGUAACAUCUGGGUUUAUGUUUUUAAUUCAACUUUUAUUUGUGUCAUGUUUGGAUUAACUUAUUUUAUAGAAUGUUUGAGUCUUGACACGACACAACAAUCAAUACUAAUUGUCACAUCCCAUUUAUUUUUUAGUUAUUUGAUUAAAAGAGAUAAAAUAAUCUAUAAUUUGUAAAUCUAUCCCUUCAUAUUUUUCCCUAGAAAUACAUUUAUGUUCAAAAUGAAUUAUUUUUCAAGUUGAAAUAUGGGAGGCUUAGAUUUACCAAUUUGAUUUCAUUUCUAAUCCUUUAUUUAUUCACUUUUCUCUCCUUUUUCGGUGACAAUAAUUUCUAAGGUACAAAUUUCAAAUUACCAUUCAACAAUAAAUGUCAUUGGCCAAGCCCUAACCGAACACAUACACUCUCAGUCAAUACUAUUCCCAAUACUCGCAUUGUAAGUCAAUGAUUCAACAUUAACAGUCUAGUACCAUGUCCUAAAGGAUCAACCCUUUGGGACAUGAUAUAACUACAAAAAUCAUUUACUAUAAACAAUGAGUUGAGAGCGAAGAGUCAUAGUUGUAAAAUAUGUUUUCACUAAAUAUGGGUUAAUGAAAUUUUUAAAAAAAAUUAAAUUAAGAAUAAGUUAAUUAUUUUGACUUAACACUUAAAAUUAUUUUUUACUUUAAGUUAUAAUAUUAAACUAUUUUAUUAAAAUGCUAAUAUAUUUAAUGACUUAAAUUAAGUCCUUAAGUCAUUAAUAUAAAGUUGAUUUAUGAAACACCCACUUUCUUUUAAACUUUAAUAUUUGAAAAUCAACCCUUGUAGGCGACUCUUUAGCUCUUUUGGUCUUGACUACAUCUCUUAGGGCUUAAAAAGCAACCCAAGAUAGCACACUUUAGCAUUGAAGCUGAGUAAAGCUCCAUGGCUUCUACAAUUACUCAAAUUACAUAGUUUUCAUCAUAUUAUGAAAAGUUAGAAUUCUACUUAAGAUGGCACUUCAACUAUUUUGUAAUGAUCUUACUGCUCUUCAGAUGAUUGUAAAUUAUAUGUUCCAUGCUCAAACCAAGCACAUCAAACUUAAUUAUCAUUUUGUACAAAAAAAAAGUGUUGUAAUGACCAUUUUUGUUGCAUGUCAAGAUGCUCUCCCAAUCAUCAAAACAAGGAAUGGAGUUUCGCCCUGAGGCAUGCUUCUUGAUACAUAAAUUCAUUUUCUUUUGAUUUUGCAACAAGCCCUGAUUAUCUAGUAAUUUUUGUGAUAUCCCAUAUCAGAUAAGGGAAAUAAUUUCUCACUACUAUAUAUGUAUAGAAUCUUCUUAACCUUUUGGAUGUAUUUUAAAAUCAUGAGGUCUCUUUGGACACAAAGCACACAAGAGUCAAUCCUCGAUUAAGAUGUCUAUCUAGUUGGCCUUAUAAUAAUAGGAUACAACGAGAACAUUAUGUUUGUAUAGGAGUGAUUGUGAUAGCCCAUAUUGGAUAGGGAAAAAAAAGUUUAGACCUUAUAUAUGUGUGAGUCCUCUUUCAUGUAAAAAUGUUUCUCAUUUGACUUUAUUUAUGGUUUUUAAGUUGUAGGCUUAGCUCUUCAUAAGAGUUCACCAUAGAAACUUGGCUUCUCUGGUUGGGUACUCCCAUGAAGGUACAAACAUGGGGCUCAUCUAUGAGUACAUGGCUAGUGGGAACUUACAAAAUUAUCUAUUAGGUAAAUUCUCAUUUUCUUUUAUGAAUCUUACCCCACUGAGAAAACCAUUUUGCUAAAAGUAAAAUUAAGAUGUAAGGAUUGGGUUCUCAUGUUGAAGAGGUAGACAUAAGCACUAAUCCUUUGAGUUGGAUAAAGAGACUUCAAAUAACAAUGGAUGCAACAUAAGGUGAGCAAGCCAAUUGAUCGCGAUUGAUACUAAUAAAGUUCAAAUCUCUUGAACCAAACUAACAUGUCUUCAAAUUUUAGGGUGUAGACUAGAAUACAUGCACCGUGGUUGCAAGCCGCUUAUAAUCCACAGAGAUUUGAAAAUGGCUAACAUUUUAUUGAAUGAAAAAUUGCAGGCUAAGAUAGCUGAUUUUGGGUUCUCAAGAUUUUCCUCAAUUGAAAGUUAAAUUCAUAUCACAACUAUUGUUGUUGGUACUAUCGGUUACAUUGAUGCAGAAUAAGUCCAUAUUGCUUUGCGAUUACGCAAUUCAUAACUCUAUUUCUUUGAAGAGAUUACCUUAUGAACUAAGAACCUUAUUUUCUACUUUAAGGGCCAUUCUAGGCAUGUUGGUGGUGUUAAUACUAAGAAAAAAAAUAGUAUACUAGAUUUAGUCAUCAAGUGCCUCUCUAUAAGGGUGGUAAAGUUUAAUAUAAUUCAUCAAUAGGACUUAAAUCCAACAUGUACAUUUUUUGCAAGUUUGAGUUGAAUAUAAUUGGGUUUAGGUUAAAUUCAUGUCAUAACUUGUUUAAUAAAUAAAUAGUUUUUCAGUCAACCGACAUAAAACGAAUUUGACCCAAAUUAACUCAUUUAAUAAUCUUUUUUAUUAACCUAAUUAUGACUUUAAAUUAUUUAACUCAUAUUUUACUCAUUUUAAAUUUAUUUUUAAAUAAAUAGGUCAAUUGAGUCAUAAACAUGUUUAUAUAAUUGAGAUAUUAAUCAUAUAUCUGAUUAUUAAAUAGAAAGACUUGACUAUUAAAGGGGUUACACGACGUGCUACUUGUUUAGUAAUUAGGUAAUAUUUAUAUUUAUAUUUUUAAUACAAUUAUUAUUCAUAAUGAUUUCAAGUUUGGGUUUGAGUUGACCUAUGUAGUUAGAAGUUUAGACUUUGACAUAACAUGAACAUAAUCCACUUACACAAAUUGUCAUCGCUACUUUAAUGCAGGUACUACAUAUCCAACAGGUCAAUUGAGAAUAGUGAAAUUUAUAGAUUUGGAAUUGUUCUGCUGGAGCUGAUCACUGAAAAACCUGCAAUCAUAAAAGAUGAAGACAACAUUCAUAUAGUUCAAUGGGUAAGGUCCUUUGUGGAAAGAGGGGACAUUGGAAGCAUUGUUGGUCCUAGGCUACAAGGAAAUAUCAAUACAAAUCUGUUUGGAGGGUUUUGGAGACAGCAAUGGCAUGCUUACCAUCAAUUUCCAUCCAAAGGGUGACCAUGAGUCAUGUAGUGAUGGAACUGAAGAAGUGUGUGGAAGCAGAGAAUGCUCAUGAUUAAAUUGGAAGGAUGGAGAAACAAGCGAGGGAAUCAAGCAAUUUGAUUGACUUGUAUAGUCUGAAUCCUGAACCUAAAAUGGGUUUUCCUAAGGCGAGAUAAUAGUUAGGCUCUAUUUCAUAAGUGUUUUUAAGUUUUGAAGAAUAGCUUUUGAGAUAUUUUUUUUAAAUAAAAAUUAUUUUUCUCAUGUUUUCAUACGAUGCUAGUCUUCUUCCACACAACAUGACCCCACAGCUCUUAGCAUUUCCACUUAUUUUGCCCACUGAAUAUGAUGGGAAAGACAAACUUGGAUAGGAAAACAACAUGCUCUGGGUUUUGGUUCUGAUAGGUUCCAUUGCAACAAGUUAGAGCUAGGCCCAAGAACAUUUCAUUGAUCAAAACCCUGGUGGGAGGAAGCUUGGCAGGAUUAACACAUUAAGUAAACAUGAAUAUUAUUAAUCUAGUACUUUUUUUUAUAUACACAUGUUCCAUAUUUUUAGAAAAUGCGAAGAUAUUGUAGUGAUACCUAUUGAAAUCCAAAUCUAGAUCAUUAAAUAUAUAUGAUGAAAUCUUAACCAUUGAAUGAGGAUACAAACAAAUGAGAUUAAGGUAUAAAAAUAUAAGCAAAUGAAACUAAAAUAUGAAUAAUGAAAUCUAAAAAUGUAUAUUUGAUAUUACCUUAUUAAUGAUGUCUUUUUACUGCCCACAAAAGUAAUAAGGUUUUGUAGGGUACAUGGACACUACAUUUACUAGCUUUGUUCAUACUUCUUCCUCCAAGAAUGUUCCAAUUGCAAUAAUCCUUAGAUUUCGAUUACAUGCUUUGUUGGCCCCAUUCACAACCAUUAGUUUUGGGGCAUUAUUUAAUUCUGUUGUUAGUGUGAUAUUGACAUGUCAAUAAAAUUCUAAAAUUAUAUUAAAAAAUAAAAAUUAAAACAAAAAAAAUUAAUCUUGUAAAAGAAAUAAAAAAAAAAUAACAAAUUUAGGUUGGUUUAUUUAUUCAUUUCAUAAUUACAAAGAAUCGUAUUACUUGAAGUGGGUAUUUGGUUUCCCUCUACAAUUUGAAUGGAGAUGUUUGAACUUGUUUCGAAUAUGAAUAGAAAUUAAAAGGAAAUAAUAACUAAUUUAAAAAAAAAUUAGUUUUUUUGUAUUAACAUAAAAAUUAAAUUACUUAUUUGUUUCUUUAUCAAAUUACAAUGGACAUAUAACCUUCCAAAUUGACUUGGUUCAGUCUGCAUGGUCUUAUCUCCCACAAGUAUCAUUAUUAAUAAUUGGAAAAUGCUUUUCUAAUGAAUGAAACUUUUCGAUAGGAAUUGAAAAGCAAGCCUUUGGUACCAUAGCAUGACCGUCAUCUCCUCUAUAUUUCCUUUUCUUACAUUCAAUUAUUUGUUUCAAAUAUCAAUAGAAAUUAAUAUAAAAUAAUAAUUAUUCAACAAUUUUAGAUAAAAAUUAAAAAAAAUUCUUUUUGUAUUGACAUAAUAAUUAAAUAACUUAUUUGUUUCUUCAUCAAGUUACAAUGGGCAUAUAACCUUCCAAAUUGACUUGAUUAAGUCCGCAUGGUCCUAUCUCCCACAACUAUCAUUAUUAAUAACUGGAAAAUGCUUUUCUAUUAUAUGAAACUUUUUGAUAGGUAUUUAAAAACACGACCAUGAUACCUUAGCAUUACCGUAAUCUCCUCUAUAUUUCCUUUUCUUACCUUCAAAAAUUUGUUUCAAAUAUCAAUUGAAAUUAAUAUAAAAUAAUAAUUAUUCUUCAGUUUUAGAGAAAAACUAAAAUUUUUAGUUUUUUGUGUUCACAUAAAAAUCAAAUUACUUAUUUGUUUCUCUAUCAAGUUACAAUGGGCAUAUAACCUUCCAAAAUGACUUGGUUAAGUCUGCAUGGUCUUAUCUCCCACAAGUAUCAUUAUUAAUAAUUGGAAAAUGCUUUUCUAUUGUAUGAAACUUUUAGAUAGGUAUUGAAAAGCAAGUCUUUGGCACCUUAGCAUGACCAUAAUCUCAUCUAUAUUCCCUUUUCUGUGAUAGACAAGCACCCGCACCAGCAGCUGAUUCUUCUCCUCUCUAACAGAUGCUAUUAUGAUUAGUUAGAAGAUGGUUAGGUGGUUCAAUAGAUGGUUAGAUGGUUAGAUUAGUUACACUAUAAUAUAUAUAGCCAUUGGUCUACUGUAAAAUAUGAAAAAAUAGAAAUAGAUUCUUCAUUCUUGCUAAUCUGUGCUUGAGAAUUUUCAUUCUGGCUUCAAAAAUGUGUUUCAAAUGUGAAUAGAAAUUAAUAUAAAAUAAUAACAAUUCUUCAAUUUUAGAUAAAAAAUAAAAUUUUUAGUUUUUUGUAUUGACAUAAAAAUUAAAUUACUUAUUUGUUUCUUUAUCAAGUUACAAUGGGCAUAUAACCUCCCAAAUUGACUUGGUUAAGUCUGCAUGGUCUUAUGUCCCACAAGUAUCAUUAUUCAUAAUUGAAAAUGCAUUUUUAUUCAAUGAAACUUUUCGAUAAGUAUUGACAAGCAAGUCUUUGGUACCUCAGCAUGACUGUAAUCUCCUAUAUAUUUUAUUUUCUUACCAUCAAAAAUUUGUUUCAAAUAUCAAUAGAAAUUAAUAUAAAAUAAUAAUUAUUCUUCAAUUUUAGAUAAAAAUAAAAAAUUUUAGUUUUGGUAUUGACAUAAAAUUUAAAUUACUUAUUUGUUUCUUUAUCAAAUUACAAUGGGCAUAUAACCUUCCAAAUUAACUUGGUUAAGUCUGCAUGGUCUUAUCUUCCACAAGUGUCAAUAUUAAUAAUUGGAAAUUGUUUUCUAUUGAAUGAAACUUUUCGAUAGUUAUUGAAAAGCAAGUCUUUGGUACCUUAGUAUGUUCGUAAUCUCCUCUAUAUUUCCUUUUCUGACCUCCAAAUAUUUGUUUCAAAUAUCAAUAGAAAUUAAUAUAAAAUAAUAAUUAUUCAUCAAUUUUAGAUAAAAAUUAAAAAUUUUAGUUCUUGUAUUGACAUAAAAAUUAAAUAACUUAUUUGUUUCUUCAUCAAGUAAUAAUGGUCACAUAACCUUCCAAAUUGACUUGGUUAAGUCUGCGUGGUCUUAUCUCCAAAAAGUAUCAUUAUUAAUAAAUGGAAAAUGCUUUUCUAUAGAAUGAAACUUUUCGAUAGGUAUUGUUUCCUUCCUCAACUUUUCGAUAGUAAUAAUGGUCACAUAAAAAUGCUUUUCUUCAUCAACUUUUCGUUUUCUUUCCUUCAAAAAUUUGUUUCAAAUGUCAAUAGAAAUUAAUAUAAAAUAAUAAUUAUUCUUCAAUUUUAGAUAAAAACUAAAAUUUUUAGUUUUUUUUAUUGACAUAAAAAUUAAAUUACUUAUUUUUUUCUUUAUCAAGUUACAAUGGGCAUGUAACCUUCCAAAUUGACUUGGUUAAGUCUGCAUGGUCUUAUCUCCCACAAGUAUCAUUAUUAAUAAUUGGAAAAUUCUUUUUUAUUGAAUGAAACUUUUCUAUAGGUAUUGAAAAGAAAGUCUUUGGUACCUUAGCAUGACCGUCAUCUCCUCUAUAUUUCCUUUUCUUACCUUCAAUUAUUUGUUCCAAAUAUCAAUAGAAGUUAAUGUAAAAUAAUAAUUAUUCGUCACUUUUAGAUAAAAAUUAAAAAUUUUAGUGUUUGUAUUCACAUAAAAAUUAAGGUACUUAUUUGUUUCUUCAUCAAGUUACAAUGGUCAUAUAACCUUCCGAAUUGACUUGGUUAAGUCUACAUGGUCUUAUCUCCCACAAGUAUCAUUAUUAAUAAUUGGAAAAUGCUUUUCUAUUGAAUGAAACUUUUCGAUAGGUAUUGAAAAGCACGUCUAUGGUACCUUAGCAUGACCGUAAUCUCCUCUAUAAUUCCUUUUCUUACCAUCAAUAAUUUGUUUUAAAUAUCAAUAGAAAUAAUUAUAAAAUAAUAAUUAUUCUUCAAUUUCUGAUAAAAAUUAAAAAAUUUAGUAUUUUAAUUUUAUUGACAUAAAAAUUAAAUUACUUAUUUGUUUCUUUAUCAUGUUACAAUGGGCAUAUAACCUUCCAAAUUGACUUGGUUAAGUCUGCAUGGUCUUAUCUCCCACAAGUAUCAUUAUUAAUAAUUGGAAAAUGCUUUUCUAUUUAAUGAAACUUUUUGAUAGGUAUAGAAAAGCAAGUCUUUAGUACCAUAGCAUGACUGUAAUCUCCUUUAUAUUUCAUUUUCUUUCCUUCAAAAAUUUGUUUAAAAUGUCAAUAGAAAUUAAUAUAAAAUAAUAAUUAUUCUUCAAUUUUAGAUAAAAACUAAAAUUUUUAGAUUAUAGUAUUGACUUAAAAUCAAAUUACUUAUUUUUUUUCUUUAUCAAGUUACAAGGGGCAUGUAACCUUCCAAAUUGACUUGGUUCAGUCUGCAUGGUCUUAUCUCCCACAAGUAUCAUUAUUAAUAAUUGGAAAAUUCUUUUUUAUUGAUUGAAACUUUUUUAUAGGUAUUGAAAAGAAAGUCUUUGGUACCUUAGCAUGACCGUCAUCUCCUCUAUAUUUCCUUUUCUUACCUUCAAUUAUUUGUUCCAAAUAUCAAUAGAAGUUAAUGUAAAAUAAUAAGUAUUAGUCACUUUUAGAUAAAAAUUAAAAAUUUUAGUGUUUGUAUUCACAUAAAAAUUAAGGUACUUAUUUGUUUCUUCAUCAAGUUACAAUGGUCAUAUAACCUUCCGAAUUGACUUGGUUAAGUCUACAUGGUCUUAUCUCCCACAAGUAUCAUUAUUAAUAAUUGGAAAAUGCUUUUCUAUUGAAUGAAACUUUUCGAUAGGUAUUGAAAAGCACGUCUAUGGUACCUUAGCAUGACCGUAAUCUCCUCUAUAAUUCCUUUUCUUACCAUCAAUAAUUUGUUUUAAAUAUCAAUAGAAAUAAUUAUAAAAUAAUAAUUAUUCUUCAAUUUCUGAUAAAAAUUAAAAAAUUUAGUAUUUUAAUUUUAUUGACAUAAAAAUUAAAUUACUUAUUUGUUUCUUUAUCAUGUUACAAUGGGCAUAUAACCUUCCAAAUUGACUUGGUUAAGUCUGCAUGGUCUUAUCUCCCACAAGUAUCAUUAUUAAUAAUUGGAAAAUUCUUUUUUAUUAAAUGAAACUUUUCUAUAGGUAUUGAAAAGAAAGUCUUUGGUACCUUAGCAUGACCGUCAUCUCCUUUAUAUUUCCUUUUCUUACCUUCUAUUAUUUGUUCCAAAUAUCAAUAGAAGUUAAUGUAAAAUAAUAAUUAUUCGUCAAUUUUAGAUAAAAAUUAAAAAUUUUAGGUUUUGUAUUCACAUAAAAAUUAAGGUACUUAUUUGUUUCUUCAUCAAGUUACAAUGGGCAUAUAACCUUCCGAAUUGGCUUGGUUAAGUCUACAUGGUCUUAUCUCCCACAAGUAUCAUUUUUAAUAAUUGGAAAAUGCUUUUCUAUUGAAUGAAACUUUUCGAUAGGUAUUGAAAAGUACGUGUAUGGUACCUUAGCAUGACCGUAAUCUCCUCUAUAAUUCCCUUUCUGACCUUCAAUAAUUUGUUUUAAAUAUCAAUAGAAAUUAUUAUAAAAUAAUAAAUAUUCUUCAAUUUUUGAUAAAAAUUAAAAAAUUUAGUAUUUUUAUUGACAUAAAAAUUAAAUUACUUAUUUGUUUCUUUAUCAAGUUACAAUGGGCAUAUAACCUUCCAAAUUGACUUGGUUAAGUCUGCAUGGUCUUAUUUCCCACAAGUAUCAUUAUUAAUAAUUGGAAAAUGCUUUUCUAUUGAAUGAAACUUUUCAAUAGGUAUCGAAAAGCAAGUCUUUGGUACCUUAGCAUGACCGUAAUCUCCCCCAUAUUUCCUUUUCUUACCAUCAAAAAUUUGUUUCAAAUAUCAAUAGAAUUAAUAUAAAAUAAUAAUUAUUCUUCAAUUUUAGAUAAAAACUAAAAUUUUUAGUUUUCUGUAUUGACAUAAAAAUUAAAUUACUUAUUUGUUUAUUUAUCAAGUUACAAUGGGCAUGUAACCUUCGGAAUUGACUUGGUUAAGUCUGCAUGGUCUUAUCUCCCACAAGUAUAUUUAUUAAUAAUUGGAAAAUGCUUUUCAAUUCAAUGAAACUUUUAGAUAGGUAUUUGUGAAACCAAGGUUUGGUUAAUCUUUAUUUUGAUGAUAACAAAACAAGGUUUAGAACUAAUGAUCAUAUUUCAAGUGUGAUUAGGCAAGACGAUUUCCAAAGUGGCAGUCACAAAGACAAAUCAUGCCAAGGAGAAAUCAUGAAGAAGAAGACCACCUCAAAGAGAAGAGUUUUUCAAGACCAAAGCUUCUUAAGAUCUCUUUGUAAGGUUGUUGGUGCACUAGGACUUUCAUGCAUUUCAUUCUUUAGUUAUGCACCAAAAUCAUCCAAGAGUAAUAUUGUUUUAAAUAUCUUAAGAAUUGGAUGAUUUCAUGUUUUCAACUAAAACCUUGUGUUAAAUGAUUUUCAAACUUGUGUUAAAAGGUUUUAAGUUGAAAAAGGUUGAGUGUUGAGCCAAAAAAAAAUGGCUCAAUCGGUUCAACCGAUCGAUCGGUUGUGCUCGUCCGGUCGAGGACCUGUUGAAGGAGGCCAAAAAGUUUCUCUCUCUCCCAGUGGCCUUCUCUUCCCGGUCAAGGUUGAACCUCAACCGGUUGAUGUCCGAUCGAGGUCUGGUUGAGGCCCAACGGUCACUUUUCCUAACGGCUAGUCAACCAGUUGACCCCUAGCUCGACCGAUCAAACCCCCAACGGCUAGUUUUACUUUUUUCUUCUAUAAAAAUGCUCCAAUCUUCAUUAUUUCAUAAGUUUAACCUUCCCAAAUCAUUCUUGAUUAUAUUUGAGCCUUGGAAGAGUGUUUUUUAGUGCACCAUUGUUUCAUAACUUGCAUAUCUUUAGUGCACCAUUCAAUCCUAGUUUUUCUUGUAUCUUUGAACCUAAAGUUCUAUUACUAGGAUUUUUGUGAGAUCAUUAUUUGUAUAUCUUUGUGAGGAAUUUUCUCAUGUGAGGGUAUCACUUGAAUGGUUGUUCAAGAGAGGGAUAUCUCUUGAAGAAGUGAAAAGGGUGCUUGGAGCCAAAAGUCCAAGAAGGUGAAUUGGAACCAUAAUCCAAUUGUAAAGAGAUUGAAAGCUUGGUUGAAGCUUCAAGAUAGUGGAACCCUCACUCGGUUAGGAGGUUGAGGAGAGUGGACAUAGGCCGGGUUGCACCGAACCACUAUAAAUCUUGUGUUUGCAUUCUCUCUUCCCUACUCUUUAAUUUAUAUGCAAUUGUCUUUAUAUUGCUUAUUAUAUACUUGCAUAUAAACUGUCUCUUACAUUCACUUGUUUAAAUUUGCAAAAAGAGACCAUCACCCUAUUCACCCCCCCCCCCCCCCUCUAAGGUGAUUACCAUAGGUUGGAUUAGCCUAAUAUUCCUAACAGUAUUGAAAAGCUGGUCUUUGGCACCUAACCAUGACUGUAAUCUCCUCUAUAUUUCAUUUUCGUGCCUUCAAAGAUUUGUUUCAAAUAUGAAUAGAAAUUAAUAUACAAUAAUAAUUAUUCUUCAAUUAUAGAUAAAAAUUUAAAUUUUUAGUUUUUUGUAUUGACAUAAAAAUUAAAUUACUUAUUUGUUUCUUUACAAAGUUACAAUGGGCAUGUAACCUUCCAAAUUUACUUGGUUAAGUCUGCAUGGUCUUAUAUCCCACAAGUAUAUUUAUUAAUAAUUGUAUAAUUAUUAAUAAUUGGAAAAUGCUUUCCAAUUGAAUGAAACUUUUAGAUAGGUAUUCAAAAGCUGGUCUUUGGCACCUGAGCAUGACUGUAAUCUCCUCUAUAUUUCAUUUUAUUGCCUUCAAAGAUUUGUUUCAAAUAUGAAUAGAAAUUAAUAUAAAAUAAUAAUUAUUCUUCAAUUAUAGAUAAAAAUUUAAAUUUUUAGUUUUUUGUAUUGACAUAAAAAUUAAAUUACCUAUUUGUUUCUUUACCAAGUUACAAUGAGCAUAAAACCUCCCAAAUUGACUUGGUUAAGUCUCCAUGGUCUUGUCUCCCACAAGUAUCAUUAUUAAUAAUUACACAAUGUUUUUCUAUUGAAUGAGACUUUUCAAUAACUAUUGAAAAGCAAGCCUUUGGUACCUUAGCAUGACUGUAAUCUCUUCUAUAUUUCCUUUUCUUAGCUUCAAAAUUUUGUUUCAAAUAUCAAUAGAAAUUAAUAUAAAAUAAUAAUUAUUCUUCAAUUUUUGAUAAAAACUAAAAUUUUUGGUUUUUAGUAUUGACAUAAAAAUUAAAUUACUUAUUUGUUUCUUUAUCAAGUUACAAUGGGCGAAUGCGACAUCUAACCUUCCAAAAUGAUUUGGUUAAGUCCACAUGGUCUUAUCUACCACAAGUAUCUUUAUUAAUAGUUGGAAAAUGCUUUUCUAUUGAAUGAAACUUUUCGAUAGGUAUAGAAAUGUAAGUCUUUGGUAGCUUAGCAUGACCAUUAUCUUCUCUAUAUUUCAUUUUCUUACCUUCAAAAAAUUGAUUCAAAUAUAAAUAAAAAUUAAUAUAAAAUAAUAAUUAUUCCUUAAUUUUAGAUAAAAAUUAAAAUUUUGAGUUUUUAUAUUGACAUAAAAAUUAAAUUACUUAUUUUUUUUUUUAUCAAGUUACAAUGGGCAUAUAACCUUCCAAAUUGACUUGAUUAAGUCUGCAUGGUCUUGUCUCCCACAAGUAUCAUUAUUUAUAAUUGGAAAAUGUUUUUCUAUUGAAUGAAACUUUUAGAUAGGUAUUGAAAGGCAGGUCUUUGGCACUUGAGCAUGACCAUAAUCUCCUCUGUAUUUCAUUUUUCUUGCCUUCACAAAUUUGUUUCAAAUAUGAAUAGAAAUGAAGAUAAAAUAAUCAUUAUUCUUCAUCUUUAGAUUAAAAAAUUAAAAUUUUUCGUUAUUUGUAUAUACAUAAAAAUUAAAUUACUUAUUUGUUUCUUUAUCAAGUCACAAUGGGCAUAUAACCUCGCAAGUUGACUUGUUUAAGUCUGCAUGGUCUUAUCUUCCACAAGUAUCAUUAUUCAUAAUUGGAAAAUGUUUUUCUAUUGAAUGAAACUUGUUGAUAGGUAUUGAAAAGCAUGUCUUUGGUACCUUAACACAACCGUAAUCUACUCUAUAUUUCCUUUUCUUACCUCUAAAUAUUUGUUUCCAAUAUCAAUAGAAAUUAAUAUAAAAUAAUAAUCAUUCGUCAAUUUUAUAUAAAAAUUAAAAAUUUUAGUUUGUGUAUUGACAUAAAAGUUAAAUUGCUCAUUUGUUUCUUCAUCAAGUUACAAUGGGCAUAUAACCUUCCAAAUUGACUUGGUUAAGUCUACAUGGUCUUAUCUCCCACAAGUAUCAUUAUUAAUAAUUGGAAAAUGAUUUUCUACUGAAUGAAACUUUUCAAUAGGUAUUGAAAAGCACGUGUACGGUACCUUAGCAUGACCGUAAUCUCCUCUAUAAUUCCCUUUCUUACCUUCAAUAAUUUGUUUUAAAUAUCAAUAGAAAUUAUUAUAAAAUAAUAAUUAUUCUUCAAUUUUUGCUAAAUAUUUAAAAAUUUAGUAUUUUUAUUGACAUAAAAAUUAAAUUACUUAUUUGUUUCUUUAUCAAGUUACAAUGGUCAUAUAACCUUCCAAAUUGACUUGGUUAAGUCUGCAUGGUCUUAUCUCCCACAAGUAUCAUUAUUAAUAAUUGGAAAAUGCUUUUCUAUUGAAUGAAACUUUUCAAUAGGUAUUGAAAAGCAUGUCUUUGGUACCUUAGCAUGACCGUAAUCUCCCCCAUAUUUCCUUUUCUUACCAUCAAAAAUUUGUUUCAAAUAUCAAUAGAAUUAAUAUAAAAUAAGAAUUAUUCUUCAAUUUUAGAUAAAAACUAAAAUUUUUAGUUUUCUGUAUUGACAUAAAAAUUAAAUUACUUAUUUGUUUCUUUAUCAAGUUACAAUGGGCAUGUAACCUUCGGAAUUGACUUGGUUAAGUCUGCAUGGUCUUAUAUCCCACAAGUAUAUUUAUUAAUAAUUAUAAAAUGCUUUUCAAUUGAAUGAAACUUUUAGAUAUGUAUUGAAAAGCUGGUCUUUGGCACCUGAGCAUGACUGUAAUCUCCUCUAUAUUUCAUUUUCUUGCCUUCAAAGAUUUGUUUCAAAUAUGAAUAGAAAUUAAUAUAAAAUAAUAAUUAUUCUUCAAUUAUAGAUAAAAAUUUAAAUUUUUAGUUUUUUGUAUUGACAUAAAAAUUAAAUUACUUAUUUGUUUCUUUGCCAAGUUACAAUGAGCAUAUAACCUCCCAAAUUGACUUGGUUAAGUCUCCAUGGUCUUGUCUCCCACAAGUAUCAUUAUUAAUAAUUACACAAUGUUUUUCUAUUGAAUGAGACUUUUCGAUAACUAUUGAAAAGCAAGUCUUUGGUACCUUAGCAUGACUAUAAUCUCUUCUAUAUUUCCUUUUCUUAGCUUCAAAAUUUUGUUUCAAAUAUCAAUAGAAAUUAAUAUAAAAUAAUAAUUAUUCUUCAAUUUUUGAUAAAAACUAAAAUUUUUGGUUUUUUGUAUUGACAUAAAUAUUAAAUUACUUAUUUGUUUCUUUAUCAAGUUACAAUGGGUGAAUGCGACAUCUAACCUUCCAAAAUGAUUUGGUUAAGUUUGCAUGGUCUUAUCUACCACAAGUAUAUUUAUUAAUAAUUGGAAAAUGCUUUUCUAUUGAAUGAAACUUUUAGAUAGGUAUUGAAAGGUAGGUCUUUGGCACUUGAGCAUGACCGUAAUCUCCUCUGUAUUUCAUUUUCUUGCCUUCAAAGAUUUGUUUCAAAUAUGAAUAGAAAUUAAUAUAAAAGAAUAAUUAUUCUUUAUCUUUAGAUCAAAAAUUAAAAUUUUUCAUUAUUUGUAUUGAUCUAAAAAUUAAAUUACUUAUUUGUUUCUUUAUCAAGUUACAAUAGGCAUAUAACCUCACAAAUUAACUGGUUAAGUCUGCAUGGUCUUAUCUACCACAAGUAUCUUUAUUAAUAGUUGGAAAAUGCUUUUCUAUUGAAUGAAACUUUUCGAUAGGUAUAGAAAAGUAAGUCUUUGCUAGCUGAGCAUGACCAUUAUCUUCUCUAUAUUUCAUUUUCUUACCUUCAAAAAAAAAUUUCAAAUAUAAAUAGAAAUUAAUAUAAAAUAAUAAUUAUUCCUUAAUUUUAGAUAAAAAUUAAAAUUUUUAGUUUUUAUAUUGACAUAAAAAUUAAAUUACUUAUUUGUUUUCUUUAUCAAGUUACAAUGGGCAUAUAACCUUCCAAAUUUACUUGGUUAAGUCUGCAUGGUCUUAUCUCCCACAAGUAUCAUUAUUUAUAAUUGGAAAAUGUUUUUCUAUUGAAUGAAACUUUUAGAUAGGUAUUGAAAGGCAAGUCUUUGGCACUUGAGCAUGACCGUAAUCUCCUCUAUAUUUCAUUUUCUUGCCUUCAAAGAUUUGUUUCAAAUAUGAAUAAAAAUUAAUAUAAAAUAAUCAUUAUUCUUCAUCUUUAGAUUAAAAAUUAAAAUUUUUCGUUAUUUGUAUUGACAUAAAAAUUAAAUUACUUAUUUGUUUCUUUAUCAGGUUACAAUGGGCAUAUAACCUCACAAAUCGACUUGGUUAAGUCUGCAUGGUCUUAUCUUCCACAAGUAUCAUUAUUAAUAAUUGGAAAAUGCUUUUCUAUUGAAUGAAUCUUUUUUAUAAGUAUUGAAAAGCAAGUCUUUGGUACCUUAGUAUAACUGUAAUGUCCUUUAUAUUUCCUUUUCUUACCUUCAAAAAUUUGUUUCAAAUAUCAAUAUAAAAUAAUAAUUAUUCUUCAUCUUUAGAUAAAAAUUAAAAUUUUUAGGUUUUGUAUUCACAUAAAAAUUAAAUUACUUAUUUGUUUCUUUAUCAAAUUACAAUGGGCAUAUAACCUUCCAAAUUGACUUGGUUAAGUCUGCAUGGUCUUAUCUCCCACAAGUAUCAUUAUUAAUAAUUGGAAAAUGCUUUUCUAUUCAAUGAAACUUGUUGAUAGGUAUUGAAAAGCAAGUCUUUGGUACCUUAGCAUGACCGUAAUCUCCCCUAUAUUUUCUUUUCUUUCUUUCAAAAAUUUGUUUCAAAUAUCAAUAGAAAUUAAUAUAAAAUAAUAAUUAUUCUUCUAUGUUAGAUAAAAAUUAAGAUUUUUAGUUUUUUGUAUUGACAUAAAAAUUAAAGUACUUUUUUGUUUCUUUAUCAAGUUACAAUGGGCAAAUGCUACAUCUAACCUUCCAAAUUGACCUAGUUAAGUUUGCAUGGUCUUAUCUCCCACAAGUAUCUUUAUUAAUAAUUGGAAAAUGUUUUACUAUUGAAUGAAACUUGUUGAUAGGUAAUGAAAAGCAUGUCUUUGGUACCUUAGCAUGACUAUAAUCUCCUCUAUAUUUCCUUUUCUUCCCUUCAAAAAUUUGUUUCAAAUAUCAAUAUAAAUUAAUAUAAAAUAAUAAUUAUUCUUCAAUUUUAGAUAAAAAUUAAAAUUUUUAGUUUUUUGUAUUGACAUAAAAAUUAAAUUACUUAUUUGUUUCUUUAUCAAGUUACAAUGGGUAUAUAACCUUCCAAAUUGACUUGGUUAAGUCUGCAUGGUCUAAUCUCCCACAAGUAUCAUUAUUAAUAAUUGGAAAAUGUUUUUCUAUUGAAUGAAACUUUUCAAUAGGUAUUGAGAAGCAAGUCUUUGGUACCUGAGUAUGAUCGUAAUCUCCCCCAUAUUUCCUUUUCUUACCAUCAAAAAUUUGUUUCAAAUAUCAAUAUAAAUUAAUAUAAAAUAAUAAUUAUUCUUCAAUUUUAGAUUAAAACUAAAAUUUUUAGUUUUCUGUAUUGACAUAAAAAUUAAAUUACUUAUUUUUUUUCUUUAUCAAGUUACAAUGGGCAUGUAACCUUUCGAAUUUACUUGGUUAAGUCUGCAUGGUCUUAUAUCCCACAAGUAUAUUUAUUAAUAAUUGUAUAUUUAUUAAUAAUUGGAAAAUGCUUUCCAAUUGAAUGAAACUUUUAGAUAGGUAUUCAAAAGUUGGUCUUUGGCACCUGAGCAUGACUGUAAUCUCCUCUAUAUUUCAUUUUAUUGCCUUCAAAGAUUUGUUUCAAAUGUGAAUAGAAAUUAAUAUAAAAUAAUUAUUAUUCUUCAAUUAUAGAUAAAAAGUUUAAAUUUUUAGUUUUUUGUAUUGACAUAAAAAUUAAAUUACUUAUUUGUUUCUUUACCAAGUUACAAUGAGCAUAUAACCUCCCAAAUUGACUUGGUCAAGUCUCCAUGGUCUUGUCUCCCACAAGUAUCAUUUUUAAUAAUUACAAAAUGUUUUUCUAUUGAAUGAGACUUUUCGAUAACUAUUGUAAAGCAAGUCUUUGGUACCUUAGCAUGACAGUAAUCUCUUCUAUAUUUCCUUUUCUUAGCUUUAAAAUUUUGUUUUAAAUAUCAAUAGAAAUUAAUAUAAAAUAAUAAUUAUUCUUCAAUUUUAGAUCAAAACUAAAAUUUUUAGUUUUUUGUAUUGACAUAAAUAUUAAAUUACUUAUUUGUUUCUUUAUCAAGUUACAAUGGGUGAAUGCGACAUCUAACCUUCCAAAAUGAUUUGGUUAAGUCUGCAUGGUCUUAUCUACCACAAGUAUCUUUAUUAAUAGUUGGAAAAUGCUUUUCUAUUGAAUGAAACUUUUCGAUAGGUAUAGAAAAGUAAGUCUUUGCUAGCUUAGCAUGACCAUUAUCUUCUCUAUAUUUCAUUUUCUUACCUUCAAAAAUUUGUUUCAAAUAUAAAUAGAAAUUAAUAUAAAAUAAUAAUUAUUGUUCAAUUUGAGAUAAAAAUUAAAAUUUUUAGUUUUUGUAUUGCCAUAAAAAUUAAAUUACUUAUUUGUUUCUUUAUCAACUUACAAUGGGCAUAUAACCUUCCAAAUUGACUUGGUUAAGUCUACAUGGUCUUAUCUCUCAUAAGUAUCAUUAUUAAUAAUUAGAAAAUGCUUUUCUAUUGAAUGAAACUUUUCUAUAGGUAUAGAAAAGCAAGCCUUUGGUACCUUGGCAUGACCGUAAUCUCCUCUAUAUUCCCUUUUCUUACCUUCAAAAAUUUGUUUAAAAUAUCAAUAGAUAUUAAUAUAAAAUAAUAAUUAUUCUUCAAUUUUAGAUAAAAACCAAUAUUUUUAGUUUUUUGUAUUGACAUAAAAGUUAAAUUACUUAUUUGUUUCUUUAUCAAGUUGCAAUGGGCAUAUAACCUUCCAAAUUGACUUGUUUAAGUCUACAUGGUCUUAUAUCCAAUAAGUAUCAUUAUUAAUAAUUGGAAAAUGGUUUUCUAUUGAAUGAAACUUUUCGAUAGGUAUUGAAAAGCAAGUAUUUGGUACCUUUGCGUGACCAUAAUCUCCUUUAUAUUUCUUUUUCGUACCAUCAAAAAUUUAUUUCAAAUAUCAAUAGAAAUUAAUAUAAAAUAAUAAUUAUCCUUCAAUUUUAGAAAAAAUAUUAAAAUUUUUAGUUUUUUGUAUUGACAUAAAAAUUAAAUUACUAAUUUGUUUCUUUAUCAAGUUACAAUGGGCAUAUAACCUUCCAAAUUGACUUGGUCAAGUCUCUAAUGUCUUAUCUCCCACAUGUAUCACUUUUAAUAAUUGAAAAACGUUGUCCUAUUGAAUGAAACUUUUCGAUAGGUAUUGAAAAGCAAGUCUUUGGUACCUUAGCAUGAUCGUAAUCUCCUCUAUAUUUCCUUUUCUUACCUUCAUAAAUUUGUUUCAAAUAUGAAUAGAAAUUAAUAUAAAAUAAUAAUUAUUCUGCAAUUUUAGAUAAAAAUUAAAAUUUGUAGGUUUUUGUGUUGACAUAAAAAUUAAAUUAAUUCUUUGUUUUUUUAUCAAAUUACUAUGGCAAACACGGCAUAUAACCUUCCGAAUUGACUUGGUCAAGUCUUAAUGUCCUGAUGGGCCAUCCCUCCUAGUAAUCGUGGAUUUGGAUUUAAAACUUGUCUCAGCUCUAUAUUAUGCAAACACCUUCAGAGACUUCACUUUCGUACAUCCAGCUCCGAAUUAAACAACAUGGAUGGCAGACCAACAUUAAUCUGGCUGCUCAUAUUUUCCUUGCACACCUCGGGAUGGGUUUCAGGUACCUUCCAUGGAAUCUACUCUUGUCGCCGAGAGCUCACAGCCACGAAAGGUAGGCAUUCAGUAUUUUUAUACAUUUUAGCACCAUCUUGGCUAAUGUGGUAGCUUUAACUCCCAAAUUCUAUUAUUGCGUGCACCUCACUUAUGGUUUUUGAAGCACAUUAAAAUUAGGGGUGGCAACAUCUAUAUAUGACAAGUCAGUUUAUUUGAAAUUCUGUAGAUUCUAUUUUGAAUGAUCAGUUUGAAACUUAAAUUUGUAGGUUUCAUAAGUAUCGAUUGUGGAAUAGCUCCAGACUCCCAUUACAUAGAUGAUGGGUUGCAGAUACUUUACAUUUCGGAUGAAGAUUUUAUAGAUACUGGAAUCAAUUAUAAUGUCUCCAUGGAAUACAUUGACAAUAAUGCAUCGAAACAGUACAUGAAUGUUAGAAGCUUCCCGGAAGGAAACAAGAAUUGUUACACCCUACGACCAGAAGGAGGCAAAGGUAAUAAGUAUUUUAUCAGAGCUUGGUUCAAGUAUGGGAAUUAUGAUUCCAAGAAUCAACUUCCGAAAUUCAAACUAUAUCUGGGUGCUGAUGAAUGGGCAACAGUGAAUAUAGAUAAUCCGUCUAAUACUAUCAGAAAAGAAAUCAUGAAUGUCCCAACAACAGAUGACCUGUACGUUUAUCUAGUAAACAUUGGUUCUGGGACACCUUUCAUAUCCACAUUAGAGCUCAGACCGCUCAAUAAUUCCAUUUACGAUAAAUCAGAACCGGGAUCGCUGCUACUCUUCAACAGGUGGGAUUUUGGUAAGGAAGAAGAUGAUUACCUAAUCAGGUGAAAUUCUUUUGUUCUAGAUCACUGCCGGUUGGAGAAAUUUAAUAGUUUUUGAUCUUUCAGCUUAAGUUUGUGCAAAAUCUUGUAUAAGAUGAACUGAGAAGUUAUAUAAAAAUAUGUUGGGAUUUAGUGACGUGGAUGAUGUUUUGGACCGCGUAAGGGAAACAUUCAUGGAGUCUCAAUGGGCAACCGUCAAAGCACCAUAUUAAAGUUCUUCCCUUAGUGACAGUGAGUAUAAACUUCCAGUGGACGUCAUGAUGGAUGCUGCCACACCCGCAGAUAUAAGUUAGCCCUUGAGCGUCUCGCUGGAUCUUGAUGACGAUCCUUCACAAAAUUUAUACAUAUACAUGCACUUUGCCGAGGUUGAGGAACUUGGAGAAGGCGAGAUUAGAGAAUUUACUGUCUCACUAAAUGAUGACGAUUCAUGGGGUGGUCGCGAGCCAGUGAUUCCUGAGUACAUGGUUUCAAACACCUUACAUCACCCAUCUGCGGUGAGUGGAAGUACCACAAACGAAUUGUCAUUUGCACUAAAAAGGACUAAGAGAUCCACGCUUCCACCCCUUAUCAAUGCAAUGGAAGUUUACAGGAUAAAAGAUUUCUCACAAUCAUCAACUGACCAAGACGAUGGUAUGUUCUUAUCUUUUAUAUAUAUCAGUAUGUCCUUACAAUUUAGUCAUUGAGCAGGGCUCAAAUAAAAUCCAUCUUUUCCUUUUUUUCUCCUUGGAAAAUACUGUUGACGAGAAAGGAAAUAAUUUGUAUAUUUGGAAUCUGUAUACACAAUUGUUGUAUUAAAAAGAUUACAAAGAAGCUCAAUAUAUAGCCCAUUUACGAUCUAAAUUUGUCUAGAAAACUAUUUAAGGAAAGUUGACUAAUCUGAUCCCUUCAAUUAUGCCCAAUCUGAUCCCUUCAGUUAUGCCUGUAACGGAUCAUACAACCCAUGUCCACACUCCCCCUCAAGUUGGUGCAUAGAUGUCGUUGAUGCCCAACUUGUCAAGUGAGUUGUGAAAGACUUUACUGCAUACCGCCUUAGUGAGGAUGUCUGCUAGUUGGUCUUCUGAUUUGACAAAUGGGAAUCGAAUUAUCUUAGCUUCUAAGUUCUGCUUGAUAAAAUGUCGAUCUACUUCCACAUGCUUAGUUCAAUCAUGUUGGACUGGGUUAUGAGCAAUCUCAAUGGUUGCCUUAGCCAUUCCUCGAAACUCCGCCUCUGCACUAGAUAGUGCUACUACUUUCUUAUGCCCAACUUGUCAAGUGAGUUGUGAAAGACUUUAUUGCAUACCACCUUAGUGAGGAUGUCUGCUAGUUGGUCUUCUGAUUUGACAAAUGGGAAUCGGAUUAUCUUAGCUUCUAAGUUCUGCUUGAUAAAAUGUUGAUCUACUUCCACAUGCUUAGUUCGAUCAUAUUGGACUGGGUUAUGAGCAAUAUCAAUGGUUGACUUGUUAUCACAAAGCAAGUUCAUCUCGCAACUAAGAGGAAAGCCAAUUUCUGUCAAUAAUCUUCUCAACCAGAGUAACUCACACAACCCCUUAGCCAUUCCUCGAAACUCCACCUUUGUACUAUAUAGUGCUACUACUUUCUAUUUUUUACUUCUCCAUGUUACUAGGUUUCCUCCAAUAAAUGUGAAGUAACCUGAUGUGGAUUUCCUAUCGGAGAUAUUUCCUGCCCAAUCAGCGUUGGUAUACCCCGUAAUUUCCAAGUGGCCAUUCUUUGAGAACAUAAUUCCCUUCCCUGGGGUUCCCUUAAGGUAUCUCAAAAUUUGAGUCACUGCAUUCAUGUGAUCUUCACUAGGGCAAUGCAUGAACUGACUCACUACACUGACCACAUAGGUAAUAUCAGGCCGAGUAUGUGAAAGAUAAAUUAGUUUUCCAACCAAUCUCUGAUAUCUGCCUUUAUCAGUGGGGAUCUAGUCAGGGUAUUCUCCAAGCUUGUGAUUCUAUUGUAUUGGAACAUCUGCCGAUUUACAGUCUAGCAAUCCAACUUCUAAUAAUAGAUCAAGAGUAUACUUUCGUUGGGAAAGAAAAAUACCUCGUUUAGAUUGAGCCAUCUCAAUUCCUAGAAAAUAUUUCAACCUACCCAAACUCUUCAUUUCAAACUUUGCUACCAACUGUUUUUGAAGUUUCGCAACUUCCUCAGUAUCAUUUCCUGUGAUGAUCAUAUCAUCUACAUACACUAUUAGUGGUGUUACCUUGCCUUGUCAACGCUUUAGAAAUAGAGUGUGAUCAGAAUUGCUCUAUUGAAACCCAUACUUUCUCAUUACUAGGCUGAGGUGUCCAAACCAAGCUCGUGGAGAUUGUUUCAAGCCAUACAGGGUGUGAUACAAUUUACACAUUGUCUUGCCAGACGUUUCAAUGUACCCAGGGGGAAUAUCCAUAUAAUUUCUUCCUCGAGGUCACCAUGAAGGAACACAUUCUUUACAUCAAAUUGGAGUAGCAGCCAAUCAAGGUUCGCUGCAUAGGAUAGAAGGACUCUUACAGUAUUCAACUUGGCUAUAGGUGAGAAGGUCUCCACAUAGUCAACUCCGUAAGUCUAUGUAUAUCCUUUCUCUACAUGUCUCACUUUGUAGCGCUCAAUCGACCCAUCCGCCUUGUAUUUGAUGGAGAAUACCCAUUUGCACCCCACUAUCUUAUGGCCUUUUGGUAAAGAGACAAGAAUCCAUUUCUUGUUUUUCAACAAUGCUUCCAUUUCUUCCUUCAUCGCUUGGACCCACUUAAGGUCUUGUAAAGCCUCUUCUACGCUUGUAAGAAUGUGAUGCGUGGAUAAUGCAUUAGAAAAGCUCUUUAAGGAUUCUGAGAGCUUCUCUGUUGAGACAUAAUUGGCAAUCGGGUACUUUGAUUUGUGUGUCUCAAUAUUUGGAGAGUAGCGUUCUAGUGGUUUGCCACGAUUGCGCCUGGGAGGUAAUUGAUAACCAUCGUCAAUUAAAUGUUUUGUGACAAGAGGAGAACGUACCUCAAGAAUCUCUUCAAGAAUAUUCUCAGAAGUUGGGUCAUGAGGUACUGUAGAAUGAGGGGGUGUCUCAGUGAUCAAAGUCGGUGUUUCAAUAGUCGGCAUUGGAAGCUCUGUACUCUGUUCCAUACCCAUCGGCAUUGGUGACUUUGUAGUCUGUUCCGAUCCAUACCCAUGGUAGUUGGUAGCUUUAUAGUUGGUGGGAUGUCCUUGAACCAAUUCAACCCUUCAUCGUGUGUCUUCCCCUGAAAAGAAGAAUUGGAUGGAUGAUGGAACAUCUCGGACUUGAGGAAGGUGACAUCCAUAGUAACAUAGAGUCGCCUGUUUGUUGGAUCAUAGCACCGGUAACCUUUCUAAUUAGUGGUUAGCCUAGAAAGAGACAAUGACGAGCACAAGGGUUGAGUUUGGUGCACUGGUUGCGGUGAAGAUGAACGUAGACAACACAUCUAAAGGUUCAGGGAGGAAGCAUCGUAGCCGGAAGUACUGAUAUACUCGCGGCUAAGGCUUGUAGAGGUGUUUUGAAACCUUGAAUCCGAGAUGGCAUUCGAUUGAUGAAAUGCACAGCAGUUGUAACCGCAUCAAGCCAAUGAGAACUAGGUACAUGUGCACCUAAUAGGAGGGCACGUGUGGUCUCGAGAAUAUGGCGAUUCUUACAUUCAUCUCCAUCUUUUUUCUCUAGAGUAUGAGGACACAAGGUUUGAUGUAUCAACCCAUGUUGGUGGAAGUAUUCCUAGAAUUGUCUAUUCAUGUAUUCACCGCUAUUAUCAGAGCGAAGGACUCUGAGUUUGGCAUAAAAUUGGGUCUAAAUCAUUGUGUGAAAAGAGUAGAAGAUAGUAAAAACCUCAUCUUUGUUUUUCAGUAGGUAGAGCCACGUCAUUCGAGUGCAAUCAUCAACAAAGAGAACAAACCAGCGAUAACCAUAUAGAGUAGAUUUUGGGGAUGGUCCCCACACAUCAGAAUGAAUUAAGCUAAAAGGUAUAUCACUCUUAUUGUUAUGUAAAGGAUAGAUUGCCCGGUGACUUUUAGCCAAAAUACAAGUUUCACAUUAAAAUCUAAGAUGGAGAAAUCAGAAAAUAAACUAGGUAGUAAAUGAUUUAAAUAUCCAAAUGACGGAUGGUCGAGUCGUCGAUGCCAAAACCAGAUCUGUUCUAUUUUGGAAUUACCUGACUGUCCCGCAUGAUGUGUCUAUCCCAUUUUGAAGUCAUCCAUAUAGUAGAGUCCCCUCUUCUUAAUACCACGCCCAAUAAUUUCCUUCAUGAGAAUAUCCUGGAUAAGGCAAAAAUCAGGGCACAUCGUGUUGUACAAUUUAAGUCCUUAGUAAGUUGACUUAUAGAAAGCAGUUUAUGAGAUAUGGAUGGCACAAAUAAUGUAUUGGAGAGUGACAGGGCUAGUGAUAGCAUCACAGUUCCAGCCCCUUGUACCAAUAAAAUAGUGUCAUUAACAUUCGCAAUGCUAAUUCGCCUAGGAGCGGUAUGCUAACAAAAGUCCUGUACAUCAAAUGUUAUAUGAUCCAUGGCUCUAGAAUCUAGGAUCCACAAGUUGCAUUCACUGCUUCUAAUAGAUCUAAGAGAUGUUAUACCUGGUGUGUUGCUGGUAGAGUUAGUAGGAAUUAGAGACAAUUGGGGUUCUAUUGCUGCUACUGUCUUUUUACUAAUAUUGGGCUCAAUAUUGGUGCCAUUACGUUUCUUUUUAGCCUGGAGCUCGUGCCACCAGUCUGGGUAUCCAUGGAGCUUAAAGCAAGUGUCCCGUGUGUGUUUGGAAUUUCCACAAUGGGAGCACUUUAAGCCUUUUGUCCAUUACUUUGAAUUUGGACUAGUGGGAUUAGAUUUAUUGAGUACUAGAACUCCGUCUUUGUCAAAUGGGUUAUGACCCAUUUUCAACCCCUUGGAAGCCAGCCCAAUUCCCAUCCUUUCAUCAGAAACAUUCCCCAUCAUUGUCUAUCGCACAAUUUCCCAUCGAACGCACGCGUAGGCUUGAUAAAUAGUCGAAAAUGGUUGCAUCUGUAGCACGAUGUUCCUGACUUGGUCGAGUCAAUCAUCAAGGUCGUCGAGGAACACAUAGACCCUCUCCUCCUAGAGAAUUGCGGUGUAUCGUUGCACAUCCUUAGGGCACUCCAUGGGGUUUGGUCGCCAAAAAUCUAUUUCCCUCCACAAGCCUUGCAACUCAUUAUAAAAUUUCUUUAGAGAUCCACCAUUUUGGCGUAGCCUACUCACCCGUCACUGGAGCUCAUACACCUGAGCAGUGUCACUCCCAUCGAAGAAAGUAACAGCAAUGGCGUCCCAAACCUCUGUCGUAGUGGGAUACCGAAUGAACAUGCUAACAAGGGAUGAAUCCAUGGUGUUGAUGAGCCAACCUUUAACAACGGCGUUUUCGGCUCUCCAUCUUCGAAAUAAUGGGUCAGUCAGAGCAGGUUAGGGUAAAUCACCAUUAAUGUACCCUAAUUUGUCUCUCCCAUAGAUAAACAUCUCCACAACUUGGGACCAUAGUGCAUUAUUCGAUCCAUCAAGUUUUAUGCUGAUCGAGGCAGUAUCCGCCACUGCAGUUGGAUCCGGGGCCUUGUUCAGCAUCUCGACCAUCUUCAUGGUGAGUUCUGAUAAAAUAGAGGUUGUCGUUGGUGGAGACCCUCUUGUCUGAGAGUCUGAUUCAAACAUUUUUCUGGGUCGUUGUUAGGUUGUUGGGGUUGGGUAGAAUCAAAGAGUUGAUACCAAAGAGCAUAAACAAACCUGCUCUAAUACCAUGUUGACGAGAAAGGGAAUAAUUUGUAUAUUUGGAAUCCAUAUACACAAUUGCUGCAUUAAAAAGGUUACCAAGAAGCUCAAUAUAUAGCCCAUUUACAAUCUAAAUUUGUCUAGAAAAAUGUCUAAGGAAAGUUGACUAAUUUGAUCCCUUCAGUUACGCUUAAUCUGAUCCCUUCAGUUAUGCCUGUAACGGAUUAUACAACUCAUGUCCACAAAUACUAGUUGUCCCUAUCAAGAACAUCCUAUCAGAGUACGGACUGACAAGGCACUGGCAAGGAGAUCCAUGUCUCCCCUUGGGUUACCCAUGGGAUGGCCUGCAGUGCAGUGACAGCAGUGACUCCCCCACUGUAAUAUAUAUAUAUAUAUAUAUAUAUAUAUAUAUAUAUAGAUAGAUAGAUAUGUUUGUAGGGACUUGGUGAAAGCUAAUCUUUCGUUACUAAAUCACACGAAUUAACGAUUUACUAAUGACUCUAACUGGCAAGCAGGAACCUUUCAUCGAGCAACUUGAUUGGGAAUAUCCAUCCUUCAUUUUCCCAGCUCAAAUCAUUAGAAAAUCUGUAAGUAUUAGUGGCUAUGAUGAGUGCUACACAGUGCCAGCUGUAGGAACAUAUAUCUUCUCUGUAAUCUGAUGGAGGUCUUUACCCCAAAAAUUAUACUUAAAUUAUUUCAUGGAUUUAUCAUACAACAACUUGACUAGAACAGUACCAGAAUUUUUUGCAGACUUGCCAUUGUUAAUGGUCCUGUAAGUUGUCAUAUAUUAAAGUUAUAAGUAAUACAAUAUUUGAUUGCUUGGUAGGAUAUGCAGGUAAUCUAGUAUUUGAUAUGCUGUGUUUGCAGUAAUUUGACGGGGAACCAGCUAACAGGUUCAGUUCCCCAAACUGUUAUGGAAAGGUUUAAGCAUAGAACACUAAGGUAUCUUUCAUUAUAAUUUUCCACUACUCUUGUUCUUCGUGUUUGGUUUGAUGGAACUCUUGACUUCAAUUACAUUCUGUUUUGUGCAAGUCUUGGCGCAAAUCCAAAUCUUUGCCCGUCAGUCUCAUGCCAAGGAAAGAAGAAGAAGAAGAAGAACAGGUUCCUUGUUCCUGUUCUCAUAGCCAUUCUGACUAUAACUAUGAUCCUCGUCCUCAUAACUGCCCUUGCAAUGAUCAUCCGCAAGUUCAAAAGGAGAGAAACCAAAGGUAUUUUCUUUCUUUCAUUCUCUUUUUUUUUUCCUUUUAAAUGAGGAUUUAACAUUUUAUUGCUCCAUUUAUUGUGAUUUCCUUAGUGACAACCAUAGAGACGGUCAGUGAACGCCCCAAAAAGGGGUCAUUGAAGUCAGGGAAUUCUGAGUUCACUUUCUCUAACGUUGCAAGUAUCACCAAUAACUUUAGUCAUAUCAUCGGUAGAGGAGGAUUCGGACAAGUUUAUCUAGGCACUUUGGCAGAUGGCACUCAGGUUGCCGUCAAGAUGCGUUUUGAAUCAUCAAUGCAAGGCCCCAAGGCAUUACGAGCCGAGGUUAGACAAAUCAAUCCAUCCAUGGUUCUACAGUACUAGAAGUUCUCCAUCUGAUGUCAGGCACUAAAAAAUUUUGAAAUAUUGCAGGUGAAACUCUUGACGAGGGUUCAUCAUAAAAACUUGGUCCGUCUAAUUGGGUACUGCAAGGAUGGUACAAAUAUAGCUCUCAUUUAUGCAAUGUUUUAAAAAUCAGACCGGUCAUUGAACCGAAAAAGUUACCGGUUCACGGUUCACUGGCCGAACCAACGAUCGAACCGGUGACGUCAUAAAUAUAUAUUUUAUUAUUUUCUAUAUUAUUUAAAAAUAAAAAAUUAAUAAAUCUUAAAGAAAUUAGUCAACCUACCAAGCUAAUUGAACCCCCAAAAAGAAAAAUAUCAGACUAGAAAGGUAGAGUGUUUUAUUUUUUUAAAAAAACUACCAAAUUGAUUGCAUGAAUAAUGGAAAAAAAAAAUUAUUUUUUUGUUUCUUUCCCUCUCCCUCUAAUGUUUUAUUUGAAAAAAAAACUACCAAAUUGAUUGCAUUAUUGAUUGCAUGAAUAAUGGGAAAAAAAAUUAUUUUUACGUUUCUUUCAUUUUCCCUCUCUUUUCUCUGAAAUGUCAGGGGGUGGGGGGUUUACAGGCGAUUAGGGGGUGUGGGAUCACUGGGAUGUUUACAACCGGGAGAGGUGGGUGUACCAGGCGGUCGAGGUGGUUUCCAAGCUUACAACGGCAAGGAGGGGUUUCCGAUGCCGCCUUCCAACGUCGUGGCGAGGAGCUGGGAAGACUGGAAAAGGCGACGACAAGGAGGGUUUCCGACUUGUAACGGAUGCCGGCGGGAGUUGACUGGGUGUUGCGGACCGCGGCGCAUCAGCGACGGGUGGAGCGGCAGCUACUGUGGGGGAGGAGGGAGGGUUUAAACUUUGGGGGUUGCAGGUUUAAGCCUCCAAAACGGCGUCAUUUUGAUGCCAGAAGCAUCAAAACGACGUCGUUUUGAUGCUAUUUUUUAAAAUAAAUAAAUAAAAUCAAUUGAACCGGCUGGUUUGCAGAGAACCGGCCGAUUCAUCUGGUUCACCGGUUGGACCUCUGAUUCAAGCGGUCCAACCUCAGUUCGACCCCAAUCCGGUCCAAUUGACCGGACCGGAUCGGAAUGGUGACUGGCCGACAGUCAGACCGAUCGGACUGGCCAGUCCAUUUCGGAUUUUAAAACAUUGCAUUUAUGAAUACAUGUCCAAUGGAAACUUGCAAAAUAAGUUAUUAGGUGUAUAUCCACCUCUCUUGAUAUAAGUGUAACUAUCAUUGAAAGCUACUGGUGGACUUCAAUGUUUAUGCAUUUGCUGCAGGGAGAGAAGCUGCAGAUGUUUUGAAUUGGAAAGAGAGACUUUAAGUUGCAGUAGAUGCAGCACAUGGUCAGAAAUUAAGCGGAUCUUCCACAUUAUAAUUAACUUGCAUUCAAAUAUUUCUUUAAUUUGUGAUUCUUUUCUUGCUUAAUUGUGUAGGAUUGGAGUAUCUACAUAGGCUGUAAGCCACCAAUAGUCCACAGAGACAUGAAAUCUUCAAACAUUCUAUUAAAUGAAACACUGCAAGCCAAGAUAGCUGAUUUUGGGAUGUCCAGAGAUCUUGCAACUGAAAGUGGCUCUUUGAUAUCAAUUGUCCCUGCAGGCACACCUGGAUAUCUGGAUCCUGAGUAAGUGUUAACAACAUUCCUUACAACUUUUACAUAAUUGCUUCCUUACUCAUGAAAUAUAACUUCCUAUGCAGAUACCAACCGACGGGAAAUUUGAAUAAGAAAAGUGAUGUUUACAGCUUUGGGAUUGUUUUGUUGGAGCUUAUCACCGGUCAGCCUGCAAUAAAGAACCCUAGGAGCAUUCAUAUAGUUGGAUGGGUUAGUCCUAUGAUUGAAAGAGGGGAUAUUCAAAGCAUUGUUGAUCCAAGGUUACAAGGAGAUUUACACACCAAUUCUGCCUAGAAAGCCUUAGAGAUAGCCUUAGAAUGUGUAGCAUUAACAGGAAUGCAAAGGACAGAUAUGAGUCAUGUAUUGGCAGACUUGAAGGAAUGUUUGGAGAUAAGAGGUGGCUUCCAAGAGAAUUCAAAGUGGUAGCCACAACAUCGGAUCAGGCAAUUUCCUGGAAGAUAGUCCUUUGGUUCUUAGCACUCAAUCGGCUCCCCAUGCUAGGUAGUUGUGGGAAGCUCCAUUAUAAUGUAUAAAUUUGCUUAAUGUUAGCAUGUGGGAAUGUGGAUUAUGGUGCACUUCUCUAUAUUUUGAAUCGUGUUCAUGAAAAAUUAUGUACUGGGUAAUUGUACCAACUUUCUCUCAGACUUUAAUAUUUGAUAAUCAGACCCUUGUAGGAUUUCACUCAAGAGAGCAAUUCAAUUAUUGUGUGACAAUCUUAAUGCUCUUCGUAGGACUAUAAAUCCUUUAUUCCAUGCUCUAACCAAGCACAUCGAACUUUUUUUUUAGAAAGAGUUGCAACGAGUUCUCAUGAUAAGUAAGAGUUCUCAUUAUCUCAUUUAAAAUUGAAAGAAUUAUGAAGUAAAAAUAGUAACCGAAGAAAUUUGAAUUGUAAGUUUUGAAAUUUUGUAAAUUAUUUUAAACUAAUUUUUUUCAAAUUAUGUGAUUUAUGUGUUUCAAUUUCCUUUUUAAGUCAAAAUUUAUGAGAAAAAUUGAUAUAUAUAUAUAUAUAUUUCUUGAGAAAAAAAAAUAGAUAAAAACAUAAUACGUUUAACUUAUCUUUAGUUCUUUUUUAUGACAAUUUUACUAAUUUAUGGUAAAUUGAUUGUAGAAUAAAAUUGAAAUAGUUUAAUUUUUUUAAACAAGAAUUAUCCAAAAUGUUUAAAAUCAAAUUGAGUUUAUUUUGUAUCAAAAAUUAGAUUUAAGUAUUUAACAAAGUUAAAAUUUGAAAAAUAAAAAUGAAAAAAUAAAGUGACAUUUUUCUCUUUAAGAUAAAAGCAAAAAAUAAUUAAUUAAUUAAUUAAUUUUCUUUUAAAAAUAAGUUAGAAAGGAAAUUGUUUUUAAAAUGACUUCAUUUUUAGAGCAACUUGGGAUCUCGAUUAACAGUAUGUUCCUGUACACAUGUCCCACGUUUACUUGCUAUGUCUUGCAUUUACCUCUCGAUUUUCCAACGGUAAUAUUUCUAGAUUUCAACCACACCUUGCUGGUGGGAUUUUUGCACAAAUAGUAUAAUUUAUUAAAUUAUUUUAAAAAAAAUUAUACAAUUAAAAAAAUAAAUAAAUUAUAAUUCAAUGUAAAAGUAAAUUCAUCUUUUAAAAAAGAUAAAUUCAAUAUAAAAAAACAAAUUUAACAUAUAAAAUUUUAAUGUAAAAAGUGACUUGAUACUUUAAAAAUAUAAGUUUAUCGUAAAAAUAAAACAAGUGAUGAAGAAUGUCAUUUUAUUAUUAUUUUUUCUUUGGUGUAAAAAGCUUAGCCAGUUUAUUAAUAGAGAAAAGAAACAAAACAAUUUUUGUUCAUUACUUUAUAUGCAUAUAACCUUUCAAAUUGACUUGGUCAAAUCCGCCUUGUGGUAUCUCCUACCACUGUCACUUUCAAGGGUCUCCAACGGGCGGGCCGGGCCGUAAAUAGGAGGCCCGCGGCCCAGCUCGGGCCGGGCCUAUGGGCCCGUUGACUGGUCAAUGGGCGGGGCCAUUCUAAAAUGCUAGGCCCGCGGCCCGGCCUAUGAGCCAGCGGGCUAGCGGGCUGGGGGGCGGGCUGGGCGGGCCGGGCCGCGGGCUUUUUUAAAUAAGCCAAAAUGGAAGGGAAGGGAGAGGGGGGGAUUCGAAUCCCUCUCCUCAUGCUUAAAUUUCAAGGGUCUAACCAACUGAGCUACAUUCCUUUUGUGCUUAUUAAUUGAGUUAAUUAUAUAUAUAUAAAAAUAAAGUAUAUUAUUUUAAAAAAAAAAAUUAAAGGCUCCAACGGUCAUGUGACCGUUGGAGCCUUGCUCCAACCCAUGUGGGUCAUGUGACCAUUGGAGCUAAGCCUCCAACGGUCACAUGGCCAAUUUUUAUUUUUUUUUUUAAACCUUCCUAUAAAUACAUUUUCUUCCUUUUCAUUUUUUCAUCAAAUUCUCUCCAUUUCUCUCUCUAUUUCUCUCACAUUCUACAAUAUUUCAAAUUCUUUUAUUUUUCCCUCAAAUUAUACAAUAUUGUUGGUGGUGCAAAACAAGCAUUGGUGGCUCCAAGAGUUCAAAUUUGCUAGGAAUUUCUGCAUUGGUUCUCUAAUUGAGUAACAUACUUCACCCCUACUACUUUAUUUUUUGUUAUAUUUUUUUUUAUAUUUAUUACUUUAUUAUUUUUGGCAUAAUAUUUUAUCAAUAAUUAUAAUAUGACAAGUGCUUCUUCAUCUAGUCCAUGUGAUGAAAUAUCAUCAAACAAAAAAUUUACUUCAAAUAUAUGGAAUUUUUUUGAUAGAAUAGAAAUAAUUUUAGAAAAUAAUAAAAAAGAAAUAAAAGCAAAAUGUAAAAUUUGUAAUAAAUUUCUUACUGGUAGUUCAAAUGCAGGCACAAGUCAGUUAAAAAGACAUCACGAAAAUUGUAAAACUAAAAAUAAUGUAGAUAUUGGAAAUUAUAUGCAAUUAGGUAAAAAUGAAAGUGGAAAUUUAAAAACAUUUUCUUAUGAUGAAUCUAACUGUCGUGAAGAAAUGGUUGAUUAUAUAAUAAGAGCAGAACAACCUUUCAACAUGAAGGAAACUCAUGAUUUUGCAGGAACAAUUCAACAAGGUAUUAAUCCUCAAUUUAAAGGUUGGUCUGGAAAUACAGUUAAAAGAGAUAUUAUGAAAAAAAUUUAUACACAAAAAGGAAUUUAAAAAAUUUUUUUUGCAAAUUUUGAAGGAAAUAUUUGUUUAACAUCUGAUAUUUGGACAUCUUUAACUCACACUGGUUUUUUAUGUAUAACUGCUCACUACAUUGAUAAUGAAUGGAAAUUAAAUAAAAGAAUAAUUUCAUUUAAAUUAAUAAAUGCUCCACAUAGUGGUAAAAAUAUAGCAUCUUUAAUAAAUGAUGAAAUUAUAGAUUUAGGCAUUCGUGAUAAAAUAUUGACAAUAACAUUAGAUAAUGCUGCUAAUAAUGAUGCAGCAAUACAUAGACUAAAAUGAUAUUGGCAAGUAAAAGAAGAUCAUGCUAAAAUAUUUCAUGUGCGUUGUUGUGCACAUAUUUUAAAUUUAAUUGUAAAGGAUGGAUUAAAAAAUGUUGAUAGUACAUUGGAAAAAAUUAGAGGCAUUGCAUAUAGUAUUAAUAGUUCUCAAGCAAAACAUGAAUUAUUUUUUUAUUGUUGCAAAAUGUUAAAUAUGAAAAGAAAAAAUAUAAAUUUGGAUAUGGCCAUUAGAUGGAAUUCCACAUAUAAACUUUUACAAAAUAUUACAAAAUAUAAAAAAGUAGUCGAAUUAUAUGAAAUACAAUUAAUUAACAAUGAUUGUGAAGCAGAUAUUUAUGCAUUAAAUGAUUAUGAUUGGCAUAUUGCGGAUCUUUUAAGAGAUCUUUUUGAAAUUUUUGAUACUUCAACAAACAUUUUUUGUGGUGUAUAUUAUCCAACUUCAAAUCGAGUUAUUAUGCAAAUAACUAAUAUUUUUAUUGUACUUCAAAAAUAUUUAAGUUUUGAAAUGUUUAAUGAUACAAUAUUUGCAAUGAUAGAAAAAUUUAGAAAAUAUUGGGGAGAAAUACAUUUAAUUUUUUAUAUUGCUUUAAUUGUGGACCCUAGAUUGAAAUUUGAAGCUUUGGAUGAAUGGUUAACAAUUAUUUAUUUUAAUGACCAAAUAAAAAUUGAAGAAAUUAAAAAUGAAAUAAAUUCAUUAUUAUAUAAUUUAUAUAACUAUUAUAAAGAAAAAUAUGGUAAUGAUAUUAAUACUAUUAAAUUACCACCUACAUCUACAAACUCCUCAUCUUUUUAUAAAGGAGCUUUAGAAAUGUUGAAAAGUCGAAAAAAGACAACAAAUAGUUCUCCAAAUAAUACAUCUGAUUUAGAUAAAUAUCUUAAUACUGAUAUAAUUUCAUUUGAAGAUCAAGAAGAUUUUGAUAUUUUAAUAUGGUGGAAAUCACAUCAACACAAAUAUCCUAUGCUUUCUAUAAUUGCUCGUGAUGUACUAACAGUUCCUGUGAGUACAGUUACAUCAGAAGCUGCUUUUAGUGCAGGUGGAAGAGUAGUUAGUAAAAAACGAUGCAACUUAGUGCCAGAUGUUAUUGAAGCAGGGAUAUGUGUGAAAGAUUGGGAAAUAGCAGAUAAAAGGAUGUACGAUUCCAUUUGAGAAACAGAGAUGCUUGCCGAUAUGGAAUCUUUAAAAUUAUCAAGAUCUUCAUGGAUGCAUGAUAGUUCGCCAUCACCGCCAGAAAAUAAUGACUAAAUGUAUAUUAUAUUUUUAUUUUUAUUUUUUGUGGUUGAAAAAUACAGAUGAUUGACAAAUAAAUAGGUGUCAACAUAGUUGGGAUGUAUUUAUUUUGUAGUGAUGUAAACUUUUCCCACAUUUUUAAAUGUAAUUAUACAUUCAAUGAAUAAAAUUUUGAAAUGAAUAUUUUUUUUAAUACUUUUUAUUUUUGUAGUUUUUUUUUAAAGGGACGGGCCUAUGAGCCUACGGGCCGGGCCUAAAGCGGGCCGCGGGCCGCGGGCUUUUUGGAGACCCUUAGUCACUUUUAGUAAUUUCCCCUCUAUAUUUGAUCUCUGAAUUAAUACAACAAUUAAUAAUUUUGUAUGGGAUUGAUAAAUGGGAAACUCCCGGUUGAGAACAAUGGAUGGGACAGUCAAUGAUGUGUCAACUCAAGAAUUUUAUCGGAUGUGAAAAUCUUAAAUUUUAUACCUUCAAACUAAUUUAGGCCACUAAUUAAUCUUUUUUUUUUAAAUAAAUGCUAAUUAACUUAUACCAACAAAAGAAUCCAUAAAGAUUUAUUUACAUGGAUAACAAAAUUUGAUAUAAUUUUUUAAUAUGACUAAAUUCUAACAUGUUUUUUAUGGGUUUGAAUAAAGUAUACGUGUAUUUAAAUUUAUAGUAACAUGCAUAACCUAUUAAAUAAAUGACAUGCAUUUCAUUCAAAAUGACUUAUUUAAUAAUAUGAUUGAGUAACCUAAUUAUAAUUAUAAAAACAUUUUAACUUAUUUUAACUUUACUUAAUAAAUAUGUUAAUUGAAUCAAUGAACAUGUCGAGAGAUUCAUUAUAUAAAGUUGUAAAAGAUCUAACUCAUAUAAGUUUAUAUAAAAUCUAACUUAAUUUAAUUAUUAAAUGGGUUAAAUAAGCUAACAACAUGUUAUAUUUUUAAUAAUUAGGUAAUAUUUGGGUUUAUGUUUUUAAUUCGAUUUUUAUUUGUGUUGUGCUUGGAUUGACCUAUUUUAUAGAAUCUUCGAGUCUUGACACGAUACAACAAUCAAUACCGAUUGUCACCUCUAUUUAUUUUGGAGUUAUUUGAUUAAUCUAACCCUCUAUUUUUUUUUUACCAAAAAUACAUUUAUGUUAAAAAUGAAUUAUUUUUCAAGUUAAAAUAUGGGUGGCUUAGAGUUACCAAUUUAGUUUCAUUUAUAAUCCUUUAUUUAUUCACCUUUCUCUCCUUUUUCCAAUGACAAUAAUCUCCAAAGUACAAAAAUUAUUUAUUAUAAACAAUGAGUUGUGAAUGUAGAAUCAGGAUUCUAAAAUAUGUUUUCAUUAAAUAUGGGUAAAUAAAGUAAAAAAACAAAUUAAAAUUAAGAAUAAAUUAAUUAUUUUGACUUAAUACUUAAAAUUAUUUUUUACUUUAAGUUAUAAUAUUCAAUUAUUUUAUUGAAUAUGUUUAAUUUACUUAAUGACUUAAAUUAAGUCAUUAAGUUAUUAAGUUGAUUUACUAAAUACUUACUUUAUGUCCAACUUCAAUAUUUGAAAAUCAACCCUUAUAAGGGACUCUUUAGCUCUUUUCGUCUUGACUACAUCUCUUAGGGUUCUACAAAGCAACCCAAGAUGGCACCCUCUAGCACUAAAGGCUUCUACAACUACCGAAAUUACAUAGUUCUCAUCCAUAUCAUGAAAUGUUAGAAUUCUAUUCAAGAUGGCAUUUCAAUUAUUUUGUGAUAAUCUUAGUGCUCUUCAUAUGAUUGUAAAUCAUAUGUUCCAUACUCUAACCAAGCACAUCAAACUUAAUUAUCAUUUUAUACAAAAAAAAAGUGUUGCAAUGAACAUUUUUGUUACAUGUUUGUAGACCCCCAUUUAGGCAUGGGUCACUUUUUCACUAUUUGUUUCAGCAGAUCACAUGUUUAGCCAGGUGUCGCUAUCCCAGCGGGCCACGUGUCGCGUCCUUAGUGGCCAUAAGGAAUCGACCUCGCUUUUUGUGGCUGCAGAAGGAUUGGACAGAAAAAGGGGCUGCAGAAGAAAAGGUGGCUACAGAAGGGGUGGCCGAAAAGGUGGCAGAAAAGGGGGGCUGCAGCAAAGAUCAUUGCGGAGGCAAAUCCGAGAUACGAAAAAAAGAAAGGGGGAGAGGAGAUAUUGGAGGAGCGGUAGAGAGAGUGAGGGUUUUUUUGGAGGAUCGUUUGAGAAGGAUUUGUGGGCAGAGCACCUACGAAAGAGAAAAGAGUGAGUUGGAAGCCUGAAAUAUUCAGCAGAGAAAGGAAUUUCCAGGUACGUUUAUCAAUCCUCUAUAUCUUUUAUUGACAUUUGAAUGCUCAGUGAUUUGUUUGGGAUGGAUGUUAAAGGCCACUUGUUUGUUUGUUGGGAUAUAACCAUGUGUUUGUGCUUGCUAUUAUGAAUAUAAAUUUGGUUUGCCUCUAUUGUGACUAUGAAAUGCCCGGGAAUCAUGCCCAGGGUAGCUUUUGAUUCGAUUUUCCCACCUGCUCAGAGGACUCACUGAUGAUUCAUGAAGUGAAGUCUCCGCAGUUUUAUCUAUUCAUUCGUUUUCUUUGGUGCUCUGUUUUUUCCAUCUUCCUCUGUUUCUGGCGCCUGUUCAUGGAACGGGUUGUUUCUCUGGUCCCUGCUUGAAGGAAAUCCUAGAAAAUUUGGAGUAGUUGUCGUGGCAGCAAAACUCAUCUCAUUAGCAUCCCCAUACCCGUCGUUCGUCUAUCCACCUCUCUCUCUAGGUCGUCAUACCCAUUUCCUCGCUCAAGCUUGCAGGAAUCAAGCAUCCUCCACCACACCCAUCUUCCUCUCAUCCAUUCUCCAUCCCACUCCCUCGCUCACAUGGAGUCUCACGGGUGCAUGCUAUCCCUCACUCUUUCUCAUACCCAUUGAAACCACUCUCUUACCCCCAUAUCUCUUCAUACCCGUAUCAUUUUCUCUCUCUACCAUGCCAUCAAUCCCAUGCAAAUCACCAUUCACAUAUGCCUGCCUAUAUUUUCCUCUUUACACCACCAUGCAUAUACUCAUUUCUCUCUCUAGAUUUCCACACUAUUCUCACCACCACAUCCAUCCUAACUUUCGUGCGACUUAGUUGCUUUGUACCCACUAACCUAUUCACACCCGUACGUGCUCUGCUGUCAACCUCGUUACCGAAGAUGAAGUCCCUUUGGACACGCAAAAGGUCCCCCUUGCGGCGCGCGGCAUAGCCCAUCCCAUCCAGGUGUAUCACACCCGGAAUUCCUCUCCACCGUCAUUCCACCCAGGUGUGUCACUCCCGGAAUUCCUCUCCUCCGCCAUUCCACCCGGAUGCCUUGCAUCCGGAAUCCAAUCCACCGACGAUCCACCUUCCCCGGGUGUCUCACACCUGGAGUCCUCUCCGCCGUCAUUCCAUCCGGGUGCCUCACACCCGAAGUCCUCUCCUCCGCCAUUCUACCCGGAUGCCUUGCAUCCGGAAUCCAAUCCAUUGACGAUCCACCUUCCCGAAGUGUCUCACACCCGGAGUCCUCUCCGCCGUCAUUCCAUCCGGGUGCCUCCCCCGGAAUUCUCUCCACCGCCAUUCCACCCGGGUGUCUCACUCCCGAAAUUCCUCUCCUCCGCCAUUCCACCCGGAUGUCUUGCAUCAGGAAUCCAAUCCACCGACGUUCCACCUUCCCCGGGUGUCUCACGCCCGGAACCCUAUCCGCCGACGUUCCACCUUCUCCAGAUAUCUCACAUCCGGGAUUCUAUCCAGCCGACGAUCCGCCUUUUUCUUCAUCCUUAGAGCAUUUUCCUUAGGUUCCAAAAUCACAUUUUUGAUAAAGCUUUGCUGCCACUUUUAUUUCUGGCAAGCAAUUUUUUAUACUUCCUCUGUUUUUAAAAUGUUUUGAAAUGAGCAAGGAAUCAAGUUCUGUAAUUCCGAGCAAUGGAGUUAUCGGAAUUGAUUCAGGCAAGAUAAAACGGGCUUUGGUGGGCGCCCCAUAUACUUGAAUUCACAAUUGAUUGAUUGAUUUAUUUAUUUGUUUGUCAUGCGUGAUUGAUUUACUCUGUUCCUUGAUAUACAAAUAAUCAUUAUGUGUUUAUUCACUAACCCCAUUCCAUGAUAGCGCGUUGCAGUUUGCUGCCCAGGUACGCAUUCACUCAUUCUGAUCAUUCGCUACAUAUAUUCUGAUUCUCAUAUGUGCAUGAUAGUUCCGGGUAUUCAUUGAUUUCCUCAUCAAUGACCAUGUCAGCUUCAUUUUAUUAGUAGAGACCCGUUUUAGGGACUUAGAGGGGUGCUACGGUCUUUACCGUACCUUCCCGAUAAGUAACUUGACCCCCGAACCCGAUCCGGUUUUUCGCAGAUCACCUUUUCCAAAAUAAGGAGUCACACUUAAGGUUUUUCUUUCUUAUUUUGUUUACCCUUUAAAAAAUAAAACAAAAAUAAGUGGCGACUCCAAGUCAUUUUUCUUAAUCAACAAUUAAAUCAUUUUUCAAAAUAAAAAGCGAGUUUCGCCAUCGAGUGGGAAACGCAUUGAGCCGAAAUGCGGGGUCCACAAUGUUAUAUUUCUUUUUCAACACAAUCUACACACAUCCUCACCAACCCUCUAUCUAGAGUCAUUUGGAGAGCCUUGUUUCAAGCUAGUAUUAUUAUCUUGGGCAUGUUAAGAAAUCAAUUAAAAUAGUGGGGGCAUGCCAUAGAAAUUUGAUUUCAAUUUUAAAAUUUUGUAAAUUUAUUAUAAAUUAGCUUUUUAUUCAAAUUAAGUUAUUUCCAUAUUUGGGUUUUGUUUUGAAGGCAAAAUUCAUGAGAAAAUUUUCUAUAUCAAUUUUCUUAAGAAACAAAAGAAAAAUAGAUAAAAGCAAAACGUAUUUAAGUUGUAUUUGAUUUUCUUUCUUGAUUACAAUUUUACAAAUUUAUAAUAAAUUGAUUUCUUUAUAUAAUAGAAAUAGUUUAAUUUUUUAAAUAAUAAUUAUCCAAAAUUUUUAAAACUCGAUUUGGUUUUAUUUUGUGUGAGAAAUUAGAUUUAUGUAUUAUAACAAAGUUAAAAGUUGCAAAAUAAAAGGACAUUAAACUAAAAGUUAAAAAUUUUCAUUUUUCUAUUAAGACAAAAUUAUCUUUAAAAAAAUAAUAAGUUAAAAAAGUAAGGUUGGUUUUGUUACAACUCCUGUUUUUUUUUCUUUAAACAUAAAAAAUUUUGUAUGAAAAAAUAGAAAUUCUCAUAAAAAUUAAUAUGUAGAAUAACUUCAUAUAUGUAUUUAAAAAUUAAUUUAGAAAAUUUUGAAUUUUGAAUAAGUAAAAAAAAAUUAAUACCUUAAUUUUUUAAAACCAUUACAUUCUCAAGUCACCAAGAGUUGUUGUAUUUUUUUUAUAGAAGUUAUUAUCAUUAUUAUUUGCUUUUAAAAAAGAAAAUAGGAAAUAUCUCCAAACAAUUACUAAGGUCAUGGUUGUUUACUUUGUUUUCUGUUUUUAUUUUCAAAGAAAAAUUGAGUUCAAAAAAUGGAAAAAGUGUAUUUUUAAAAUUUUCUAAAAAAGAUGGAAAUAGUUUUAAAAAAGGUGAAAAUAAAUAAAAUCACAUAAAAGGAAUAUGAAGAUUUAUUUACUAAUAAUAUUACAAAAUUAUAAUUUUUUUCCUCUCUUUUUUAACAAUACUAAAAAUGAAAAUUUUAUAUUGCAUUAUUAAAAUAACUAAUAGAUAAAAUAGAAGAUAAAUAUAAUUCAGCUAUUUAAUUAUUUUUCAUGUAAAAAAUGAAUAACAAACAAUAAGACACAAUCCUCAAUUCCUUCAUUAAUCAUCAACAUAACUAUUUUUUUCUUAAUAUGUUAUUGAAAGGACUAUUAGCCAAAAAUAAAAAAUAAAAAAGAAUAAUCAAGAAAUGUAAUUUGAUUAUUUUCAUGUAAAAUAAGAAAAUUAGUACCAAACAAGGUUUUUGAAUAUCCAUUUUUUAAAGGCAAUUUUUUACUUUUCUAACCAAACUUAUUUUCAAAUAACAAAAACAUAGAAAAUGAAAAAAUACUUUUGAAAAAUAAAAAGUUAGAAAACUUGCUGUGUUCAUUGAUACUUGCUAUGUUCUUGCAUCUUCCUCUCAAUUUUCCCAUGGCAAUAAUUACUAGAUUUCAACACACCUUGUUGGCCCUCGCAGCUGUUAGUUUGGUGAAUCAUUCAAUUUAUUGUCAGUGUGACAUUGACUAGUCAUUAAAAUUUUAAAAUUUUGUAAAAAUAGAUAAAAUGAAAAUGUUAGUUGAUUUCUUCUUUUCAUAAUUAUAGAAAGUUAAAUUUAUUGGAAUGAGUUUGUUCACCUUCACAAAUUGUAAUAUUUUCAACCAUUAAAAUUAUAAAACUUAUUAUAGACCCCUCUGGUGGAAAAGGUUUUUUUUUUGUUUUAUUUUAUUUUAUUUUUUACCAUCCGGGAGAGUUGGCAGCGUGUUGGAAUGAGUGGGGGCCGGUUUCUUCGAGUGCUGAAGGGCUGCAUGGGGAUCACAUCUAUUCAUGGACGACCGCCUACCUCUAUGCUCAUGAUGGGAUAUUCCGAACAGAGGAUAGAGGAGUGGGGUGAGCAUAAGAGUGGGUGAAAACUGGACUGAAAAGAGGUGAGGGGGCGGCAGAAAAACGAAGGCAAUUGGGGGGAGUGCAGGUCUGCUGAUUUUUCUGGGGAAGGAAGAAAGUGGCAGGAAAAAAAAAAAAAACUGGUUCGGAAGGGGAGCAGAGAAACAGCAGGAAAAAUGGGGGUGGACGAGAGCUGAAAUGGGGCUGCUGGGGGGAGUGAGUGUCGGCUGAUUUUUCUGGAGGAGGAAACAGAGCAAAGAGAAAAAAAAAACUGGUUUUUGAAGGGGUUCAAAAAUGAGAAGAAAACAGAGAGGAGAAGAGAGGGAGCUGGGUGGAGAAGAAUGAGAGAAAAAGGGGCAGCUGGGGGGAGUGAGUUGGCUGCCUAAUUUUUGCUGGCGAUGAGCCUCUCCCAUAUCUGCAAGAGUGUGAAGCGUUAUCUGGGUAAACCCGGUAGCUGGAAACUUCGAAUGAGGCUUUACUGCCCACAAAAGGUUCAGAUAAAUUCAAGCCCUUCAUUCGUCGUCUCCUUGAGUUUAAGUUCUGGUAUGUGUUUCUUAUUUUGUUAGUUCGGUGUCUUGCAUUAUUUUGCUUUAUGUUAUGUUUGGUUCCCGGAAAAUACUAAGGAAAGAAAAAAAAAUGCAAAGGAAAAUGAUUUUUUCAUGUUUGGUUAUCCUAUGAAAAAUAUAAAAGAAAAUCAAAUAUAAUUAAAACUAAUUAAAAACUUGUGUAUUUUAAAAUUAUUUAAUCUUUAUAUUAAUGAGUUAAAAUAAAUAAAAUGAGUUUGAAGUAAAAAAUAAAAAUAACUUAACAACUUUUAAUCUAUUUUUUAUUUUCCUUCACUUUUUCUUUCCUUCUAUUUUUCCUUUGUAUUUUCUUUCCCUUGCAUUUUCCCUCAAAUUUUCUGAGAACCAAACAUAGCCUUAAGGUUUCAUUUAUCAGUUGUUUUCAUUUCAGCAUGCAAUAUCCUAUCCUAUGUACUUCAUUUCAUUAUGGGUGGUGUUAAUUUGAUUGGUGGUUUGUUUUAAGAGAGCACUUUGAUUUCAUUCAUGUUUGGAUUGUUGAUGUUGUAAGUGAUCUGUAACUUGUGCUCAGUGAUGGCAAGAUAUGGCCCAUAUCCACCGGCCGACUGCAUAUCCAAGACUUAGUGGAUCACCGAUGCAUCACCUUGGAUAUGGAUAUGUAUCUUAUGACCCAUAUCCACCAGCCGACCCUCCCCAGCUUCAACCAUUAGACAUGAUGGUCAGCUACAUGGGCCCUAGCACUACCAGUGUCCAACCCCUUGCUUUCUACCACUUCCACCUAGCAACCCAGGUCCACUCACGCAUGGCCACCUUGGGCAUGCAGUCCACCACCACACUUCAUUCUUUUUAAUUCUUCGUAUUUUGAUAUCAAAGUCUAAUUUUCCAAAUUUUCAAUUUUCAAAUUUAAUUUCUAAAAAAUCUAUUUUCAAAUAAUUAUUCUAAAUUCUGAUUUUCAAAUAAUAUUCAAAACUUCAAUUCCUUAAUUUAAUCUUCAAAACUAUAAUUUCCAAAAUUCCACUUUCUUUCAAAAUUAAUUUUCAAAAUUCCAAUUCUUAAAUUUAAUUUUUGAAACUCCAAUUUUCAAUUAAUUUUCAAUUAAUUUUCAAAACUCCGAUUUCUUUUAAAAUUAAUUUUCAAAAACUCCAAUUCUCAAUUAAUUUUCAAAACUCCAAUUUUUUUCAAAUUUAAUUUCCAAAACUCCAAUUCUCAAAUUUAAUUUUCAAAACUCCAAUUCUCAAUUAAUUUUCAAAACUCUAAUUUCUUUCAAAAUUAAUUUUCAAAACUUCAAUUUUCAAAUAAUUUUCCAAGCUUCAAUUUUCGAAUAAUUUUCACAACUCCAAUUCUCAAAUUUAAUUUUCAAAAUUCCAAUUUUCAAAUUUAUUUUUUUAAGAAAUCCAAUUCUUAAAAAUUCCAAUUUUCAAAAUUUCCUUUCUCAAAUAAUUUUUCAAAAUUCUAAUUUUCAAAUUUAAUUUUUAAGAAAUGACAUUCUCAAAUAAUUCUCCAAGAUUUAAUUUUCAAAACUUUCAUUUUCAAAUAAUUCUUCAAAAUUCCAAUUUUUAAAUUUAAUUUUCAAGAUUUCAAUUUUCAAAUAAAUUUCAAAACUCUAAUUUUCUUUCAAAUAGUUUUAAUUCCACUCCAGUUUUCAAAUAAUUUUAAGUCAUCAACUUUCAUCCUUCAUUAGUGUUUUAGGUCACCAAAAAUCCUAAUUUGAAAUAAACUUGCUACAUUUCCUUUCAGGUAAGCAUUUUCACCAAUUUUCUUUGAUUUUAAAAUAAUUUUCUAUUUCUCUUUAUUUUAAGUAAGCAUGAAUAUGAUUUUCAUAAUUUUAAAAUAAUGGAAUUUAUGAGAUUAAUUCAUGCAAAAUCAAUUGGGCUUUAGUGUGAGUCCUACAUAUGAGUUUUCUCUUCUGAUUGCCAAAUGUUAUGUUUAAUGAAUAUUACUUGAUCUUUGUCUUACUUUUUGAUAUACAUGUGAUGAUUUUAUACUUAAGCUAACCUUGUUUUCAUGAUAGCGCAUUAUUAUUUGCUAUUAAGGUACGAUUCACUACAAGAAAAAUGGGAAACAAUGACGUUUUUUAAGCGUCAAGAAAGGUAACAGAUGACGCUUCUCUAAAGCGUUCUCUUCGCCUCUGUCAUUGUAUGUCUUAAGGCAACAAUGACACUUUCAGGAAGCGCCAUCUUUGAUAAAAUAAAGGUUUUGUUUUUGGCUGAAAGAUGACUUUCCAAAACUCUAAAUCCGAUCUUCACCGUUCAAAUUUAAGAUUAAUGACUUAUAAACCUCUCCUCCAAAUUUCAGCUCAAUCAGACCAUGAAAAAAGCGGCAUCGGACCUUUGAUGAAAUAUGGGCAUGAUGUAAAAAACCACUGUUUUUCUCUCUUCUCCUCUUUCCCUCUAAUGACUGUCCGAAACUCCAAAUCCAAUCUCCACCAUUCAUAUUGAAGAUACAUGAGCCACGAACCUCUCCUUCAAAUUUCAACUCGAUCGGACCACGGACGAAGUGGGAUCGGACAUUUGAUGAAAUCUGGGCAUGAUGAGAAAAACCUACGUUUUUCUCUCUUCUCCUCUUUCUCUCUAAUGACUGUCCAAAACUCCAAAUCCGAUCUUCACCGUUCAUAUUGAAGAUACAUGAGCCACGAACCUCUCCUUCAAAUUUCAACUCGAUCGGACCACGGACAAAGCAGGAUCGGACAUUUGAUGAAAUCUGGGCAUGAUGAGAAAAACCUACGUUUUUCUCUCUUCUCCUCUUUCUUUCUAAUGACUUUCCGAAACUCCAAAUCCGAUCUUCACCGUUCAGAUUGAAGAUAAAUGAGUCACGAAACUCUCCUCCAAAUUUCAGCUCGAUCGGACCACGGACGAAGUGGGAUCAAACCUUUGAUGAAAUCUGGGCAUGAUGAGAAAAACUUGCAUUUUUUUCUCUUCUCUUCUUUCUCACUAAAAACGGUGGCUCUCUCCCUUCUUUCUUGUCUUCCAAAAGUUAGGGUUUUCAAAGGAGACUUUAUAACAAAUUCUAAAAUACCAUACAUGUCCUUUUUCAAUAAAUUAAAAUAGUAUUCUUUAUUUCAUCUUCCAAUAAUAAUUUUUAUAUAUUGAACUCAUAAUGAAUUUAUAUUGUUUAAUUAUUUGAUAUUUUAGGUUGAUGUUGGUUUAAUUUGAAUAUUGAUAUUUUAAAAAAAAACUAAUUUAAUAGAAUGAGCUUAAUUCCCAUAAAUAUUAGAAAGUUUUUAUAAAUAUUCUUAUUGCAUUUAGUUUUAUUGUGAGUCUAAUCAUCAUUAAAUUAAUUUAAAUAUUAAUUUAUUUCAUUUUAGUUAAAUAAUUUCAAAUUUAUAUUCAUUAACUAUAAAACCUUCUCAAAUAAAAGGGUUAAACCCAAUAAAUGUGGCUCAAGGCUCGAACAAGUGCUCAAAAUAGGCCACUUUUUUGUGGUCCACAAAUAAAUUAACAAAUUAUUUUUAAAUGAAAUAUAAGAUAAUUUCUAAUUUAAUAAAAAUGAAAAAUAGUUUAUGAAAAUAGAUUGUAUUGAUACAAACUAUAAAAAAAUUAAUAUCAAACAAUAAAAAAAUAAUUUAUUAGGAUUUUAUUUUAUUUAUAUCCAAUUUUUUUAAAAAAAAACUUUAAUGUAGCAACUUUAUGUCAUUAAUAUUAAUGUCAAUUUACCAUAAUUAAUUUAUAGAAUAAAAUUCUAAUAUCAAAAUUUGUAUAAGUUAACUUAAAAACAAAAAUUUUAAAAGUCAAUACAACUAUGACACUUCUCAGGAACGUCAUUACAUACCCAUCAAAUAAUGAUGCUUAUAAUAAGUGUCAAGGUAAAUAAUAAAACUAUGACGCUUCUUAUAAGCGUCAUUAUAUACACAGUUAUAAGGAAAAAGAUGACAUCAAAUAAUGACACUUAUAAUAAGUAUCAAGAUAAAUAAUACAACUAUGACACUUCUUAUAAGCGUCAUUGUAUACCCUCAAUAAUGACGCUUUUAGAAAGCGUCAUAAAAUAAAGCGUCAUUAAUUUCAAUUUUUGUAGUAGUGAUUCCACUCCCAUUUUACUUAUUCUUACGCAUGAUUCAUUUUAUUAUUUGAUCAUUUCCCUGAUAUCCAUUUAUUUACUUAUCAAUUAUCACACUUGCUUCACCUUAUCUAGUAGAGACCUUAUUAUAGGGCUUAGAGGGGUGCUACGACUCACCACCAUACCUUCUCAAUAGGUAACCUAACCCUCAGACUUGAUUUUGGUUUUUCACAAACCUGUUUUUCCUUCAAGAGUCACACUUAAGGUUUUUCUUUUUUAUUUUGUUUUUCCUUUAAAAAUAAAACAAAAAUUAGUAUUUUUCAAAAAAAUCAAAUUUUCACCAAAUAAAUAAAUAAAAAGCGAGUCACAUCAUCGAGUGGGAACGCAUCCAGCAAAAUGCAGGGUCCACACUUAUAUUAAAAACUUUUAUAUUAUCUAUACAUAAAUAAUAUCUUUAUGGAGAAUAAGUUGACAAAAUUAUUUUUUAUAUUUGAAUUUUGAAAUAAAUUUUAUUUUUGAAGAUAAUUGAGAAUUAUUUUUAAAAAAUCAUUCUUAAAAAUUAUUUUAAAAAAGUAUUUUUCAAAAACAUUCCAAUCAAGCCCAUGCUUAUUUCCACCAUAGGAUUCAUUUUGAAGAAAAUUAUUAUUGCUAAUAGAAAUUAAUAUAAAGAGUUACCUAGGGACUAUAGAAAAAAGUACGUUUUCCAUUAAAUAUGAACAGGUCAACUAACAAUAAAUAGGUGAACAACCCAUGUAUAAAUGUCUGUGGCCAAUCCCCAAAACCUAGUUGCCAAUUGGGGUACAACUUGGACAGGUUGGCCGGAACCAAUCCAAACCUAACCUAGUAUUAUGCGGGUUUGAGCAAAUAUUUUCAAUACUCAAGUCGAAUUUGGGCUAAGUUUUCUUAAUUUGAAUUUAAUUUGGAUUGGGAUCGGGCCAAGAUUUAACCAACCCAAACUCGAUUUAAUGUUUUUAUAAUAUUUAUAAUAUAUUUAUAUCUUAUAUAAUAAUAUUUAUUUUCAUUUUUAUUUUAAAGAAAAAAUAUUAGAUUGUAAUUAUAUCAUAUACUUUUUUAUUGCUUAGAAGGAUAUAUAAGUUUAUUUUUAUCCUUUAUUAUUAUCUUAAAAUUUUGUUUUAUUUAUUAUUUAAAUUUUGGUAUGAAUAUAUAAUUUUAAAAAAAAAUCAUUAUAAAUGGAUUUUGAAUCAUGCAAUCCAAUCAACCUGAUUAACUCAAAUUUAAUCCAAUCAACCUAAGAGUGUGUUUGUUUUUUUGGCUUUUUGCUGAAAGCAAUUUGUUUUCAGAAUUUAGGUUGUUUGUUUUUGUAUUUUUUUCAUGAUUUAUUAUAAACUUUUUAUUGAAUAGAAAAAACCAAAAUAUUUAGUUUUUUCUAAAUAGAAAAAAUAAUAUAUCGGUUUUUCUUUACUUUUUAAUACUUAAUAGAAAUAAAAUACUAUAAAAAUAAAUUAACAACCUAAUAUUUAGCAUUAUUAAACAUUAAGGUUCUAUUUAAAAUUAAGUAAAAAAAUAAAUACCACCUAAGUCUAACCUAAUUAUUUGAGUCUAAUCCAAUAACCCAAGUUUAAUUCGAUCAACUCAAACUCAAACUCAAACUCAACUUGAAUUUAGAAAAAUGAGGUUGAAUUGGGCUUGAGUUAAGUAUCAGGUUAGAGGUCAUGUUAGGUUGAGUUUGAGUUGAUUAUUUUUUAAUUUGUGUUGGUUUGGGUUCGGGUUAGCCAUUAAUUUGACUAACUAGCCCAAAUUGCAGCCCUAGUUGUCAGACAUCAUAUUUGAAUAUAUAUAUAGAAAAAUGCUCCAUAAUUAUAAUUAUUUUGCAUCUUUUUUAACAUUUUUUUUUCCCAAAAAAAUUAAAUUAAAUUUUAAAAAUUUAAAAUAGAAAGAAGAAAAGGAGAGAAAAACAAAACUAGAAGCUCUAUCUAUGUAUGAGGCUUCUCCACCAUACUCAAAAAACAUCAUAAGCUCCACAGAAUGCAUGCUUCCUCUUCUUUCUCUGGUUUUCAUACACUUGAGACUUGGCUAAGACCUCUCACUUCUUAUCCAACUCCUGAUCAUCAACCAUCAUGCACCAUCAUUCCACAGAAAAGACCAGCAUGGACAGUAGACCAACACUGGUUUGGCUCAUCUUUGUCUUGGUCACCACCAUUUCCUCAGGCAACAACCCAGGAUUGGUUGCCGGAAAACCCCAUAACACUGCCUCAACCUUCCCUCACAACCAUCCUUCUCCCUGGAGACUUGCUGCAGACACCCAAGGUAAGUUUUGUAACCCUCCAUUCUUCUCUGCAAGUUUCCACCAUCGUGGCUUAUGACCAAUGAGUCCCAAAUUUUGUGUACUGCUCUCUCUGAAUGAGUUUGAAUUUCUCGACCAAUUUUCCUGUGUAUGGACCCUACAUUUGCUUGCUAUGUUCCUGCAUCUUCCUCGACCAAUUUUGCAAUGGCAACAAUCCCUAGAUUUUCAACCACCUGCCUUGUUGGCCCCUCACAACUAUUAGUUUUGGUACAUUAUUCAAUUUUGUUUUACUGUGAUAUUGACAAGUCAAUAUAAUUCCAAAAUUUUGUUAAAAAAUGAAAAAAAAACAAAAAACAAAAAACAAAAAUUGAAGACUUGGUUGCUUUCUUAGUUUCAUAAUUACAAAGAAUCAUAAUACUUAAGUGGGUGUUCGGUUUUUAUCUAAAACUUGAAUAUAGGUCUGAAUUUGCUUCAAAUAUGAAUAGAAAUUAAUAUGAAAUAAUAACUAUAUUUUAAUUUUAGAUAAAAAUUAAAAAUGAAAUAAUUAAUUUAUUUUAUCAAAUCUACCGCAUACAGGCUUCCAAAUUAAUUUAGUCAAGUCUGCAUUAUCUUGUUUCGUACUACUAUCAUCAUUAAUAAUUAAAAAUUUGUUUUACUAUCAUCAUUAAUGAUUGGAAAAUUGUUUUACUAUCGAAUGAAGUUCUUUGGUAGGUAUUGAAAAACAAGGUUUCAUGUACAUUAAGCACACCCUAAUUUCCUCAAUAUGUUUCCUUCUCUUAUUUUCAAAUAAAUCCAACUAUUAGUAAUUUUCUACACGUUAGAUGGAUCAAGAAACUUCUUAUUGAAUACAUUUGAUGGGAAAGAUCAAAGUCAAUGAUGUGGAACUCUUGAAUUUCUAACGAGUUUCGAUUAUCCUUAUUGGUUUUGACUUAUGAAAAUCUUAAAUUUAAUUUAUACAUUUAGAAUAAUUUAGGCCACUGUUUAAUCUCUUUUUAAAAACAUUAAUCAACUCAUAACAACAAAGGGAACCCAAUAUAGGUUUGCUAAUUCACCUGUAAUUUCUUGCCUUUUUCCGGCCACAAUAAUUUCCAAAUUAAGCACAAAUUAAGGUGGUGUUUGUUUUUUUACUUAAUUCUAAAUAGAACCUUAAUACUUAAUAGUGUUAAAUAUUAAGUUGUUUGUUUUUAUAGUAUUUUAUUUAUAUUAAGUAUUAAAAAGUAAAGAAAAAUCAAUAUAUUAUUUUUUCUAUUUAGAAAAAGCUAUAUUUUUUUGUUUUUUCUAUUUAGUAAAAAGUUUAUAAUAUAAGUCAUGAAAAAGUAGAAAAACAAACAACUUAAAUUUUAAAAACAAAUUGCUUUCAGCAAAAGGCCAAAAAAACAAACACCACAUAAGUGUCAUUCAAAGUUAUUACGAAAAAUAUAAAAGAAAAUUAAAUAUAAUUAAAAUUAGUAAGAAAUUUAUAUAAUUUUAAAUUAUUUCAUCUGAGUUAAAUAAAUUAAAAGAGUUUUAAAAAGUAUAUAAUGUUGUAAAUUAAGGGAAAUGAAUGACCACAUUGAUGGUCAUUAUGAACUCCAUUUACUCAUCUUUAAGAUGAGUAAUGGGAGUUCAUAAUGUGAAGCCUAUAAAAGGCUUCUUACCCCUCCCAUGUAAUAGCAUCCCGAGAAAGAAAGAAAGUUCUUCCUCUCAUUCUCUCUCUCUCUCUCUUUCACUUUCUCAAUUCUCUUAUUUGAUUCCUUCUUCCAUAUUAUAUAUCAAAGUAAGAUAUAUUUUAUCUCUACUACUUUGAUUUGCAUUAUAUUUGUCCUUGUUUUACAACACGUUAUCAGCACGAAUUGCUCUAAAGGUAAUUCUCGUAUCUUAAACUUGAAGUUAUUUAUAUAGAAUAAAAUUUUACAUAUUUAUAUUAUUGUUGAUUUGUUUUAUUACAUAUUGUUAAAAGUUAUAAACAAAUUAUUUGAUUUUGUUUAUAAUCAAAGUUAUACCAAUGCUAUCAAGUUAUUAUAACUGAUUUUAAUAAUAUUGUUUUGUCAUAUAUAUGAAGUUAUUUGACAAUGUCGAAUAUCACAAAACUCGAAUUUGUGGCACUUGACAUUUCGGGAAAGAACUAUCUAUCUUGGAUCUUUGAUGCUGAAUUACAUCUUGAUGCAAUGAACCUUGGAGCUACGAUCAAACAAGGAAAUCAAGCAUCCCUGCAGGAUCGCGCAAAACCAUUGAUUUUCCUUCGCCAUCACCUCCAUGAAGGUUUAAAAAAUGAGUAUCUUACGGUAAAGGACCCUUUUACUCUAUGGAGUAAUUUGAAGGAAAGAUAUGACCACCAGAAAACUGUGAUUCUCCCAAAAGCUCGAUAUGAUUGGAUGCACCUAAGGUUGCAAGAUUUUAAAACUGUUAGUGAAUACAACUCUGCACUUUUCAAAAUUAGCUCUCAAUUAAAGCUGUGUGGAGAAAAAAUCAUAGAGGAAGACAUGUUAGAGAAAACUUUUACUACGUUUCAUGCCUCGAAUGUGCUCCUGCAGCAGCAAUAUCGAGAGCGUAGAUUUACAAAAUAUUCUGAAUUAAUAUCAUGUCUUCUUGUUGCUGAACAAAAUAAUGAGCUUUUGAUGAGAAAUCACCAGUCUCGUCCAACUGGAUCUGAACCAUUCCCUGAAGUGAAUGCAAUAUCGUCCCAAACUCGUGGACGUGGACGAGGACGAGGACGUGGUCGUGGUCGUGGAAGAAAUCCCCGAUACCAUGGUUCUUAUAGUAAUAAUUCUCAGAAAAUGAAAGCCUCAUUGCACCACCAGAAGUGGAACAAUACUGAGACAAUACAAGAAAAUGGGAAGCGUUUACAAGAUAAACCUCUUAAGAACCAUGAGAAUAAUUGUUAUAGAUGUGGUAUGAAGGGGCAUUGGUCGCGUACCUGUCGUACACCCAAACAUUUGGUCGACCUUUACCAAGCAUCAAUAAAAGCUAAAGGAAAAGAGAUAGAGAUGAACUUUACCGAUGGUGAUGGAUUGGACCUAACCUACUAUGACAUUGAUUUCUUUGGAGGUCCCAAUGAAAAAAUAGACCAUUUGAUAAAUGAUGAAAAAAUUAGCAUUGAUUGAUGUUACUCGAUAUAUAAAAUAAUAUAUUAUUAUGUCUUAUAUUUACAUCUUAUUUACUUUGUUAUUUACAUUAUGCCUUGUUUUUUUUGUUAUAUCUGAAAUCCAUGUGUUAUUUGGUCUCAAGAUGAAUGAGGAUGAUGUAUGUCUCGCAGACUGUGCGACCACGCACACAAUUCUUCGAGAUAAAAGAUAUUUCCUCGAAUUGACAUUAAUAAAAGCUAAUGUAAGUACCAUAUCUGGUACUACAAACUUAGUUGAAGGCUCUGGAAGAGCAAACAUAACAUUGCCAAAUGGUACUAGAUUCCAUAUAAAUGACGCGUUAUAUUCUAGCAAAUCCAGAAGAAAUUUGCUCAGUUUUAAAGAUAUCCGCAGAAAUGGAUAUCAUAUUGAAACUAUGAAUGAAGAUAAUGUAGAAUAUCUUUAUAUUACUUCCAUUAUAUCUGGCCAGAAGCUUAUAAUGGAAAAACUCCCGGCUUUUUCCUCUGGGUUGUAUCAUACAACUAUAAAGCCUAUUGAAUCAUAUGUUGUCGUGAACCAGAAGUUCAACGACCCAAAAGUUUUUGUCCUUUGGCAUGACAGGCUAGGUCACCCAGGGUCAUCAAUGAUGCGUCGAAUAAUCGAACACUCACAUGGGCAUCCACUAAAGAACCAGAAGAUUCUUUCGCCCAAUGAAUACUCAUGUGCUGCCUGCUCACAAGGUAAAUUGAUAAUCAGACCAUCUUUUACUAAAGUCAUAUCUGAGUCACCAAUCUUUUUAGAAAGAAUACAUGGGGACAUAUGUGGGCCUAUCCAUCCACCAUGUGGACCAUUCCGUUAUUUUAUGAUCUUAAUAGAUGCUUCUACUAGGUGGUCACAUGUUUGUCUUCUUUCUACACGUAACGUAGCCUUUGCUAGACUCCUUGCACAAAUAAUCAGAUUACGAGCACAAUUUCCAGAUUAUCCAAUUAAGACAAUACGUCUUGAUAAUGCUGGUGAAUUUACUUCUCAAACAUUCAUUGACUAUUGCAUGUCAGUAGGGAUAAAUAUUGAGCAUCCUGUUGCUCAUACCCAUACCCAGAAUGGUUUAGCAGAAUCCUUUAUCAAACGUCUCCAAUUAAUAGCUCGACCAUUACUAAUGAAAACCAAAUUACCUACUUCCGCCUGGGGACAUGCUAUUAUGCAUGCUGCAGCUUUAGUCCGUAUUCGACCUACAACUUACUAUGAAUACUCCCCUUCACAACUUGUGCUUGGAAAACAACCAAAUAUCUCUCACUUACGAAUCUUUGGUUGUGCAGUAUAUGUACCAAUUGCACCUACACAACGCACUAAAAUGGGUCCCCAACGAAGACUUGGGGUUUAUGUAGGUUUUGAUUCUCCAUCUAUCAUAAAAUAUCUUGAACCUUUGACAGGCGAUGUUUUUACAGCCCGCUUUGCGGAUUGUCAUUUUAAUGAGAGUGUUUUCCCAUCAUUAGGGAGAGAAAAGUCGAUUCCUGAAGAACGACAAGAAAUUAGUUGGAAGACAUCUACUAUGACCCAUCUUGAUCCUCGUACAAAUCAAUGUGAACUAGAAGUUCAAAGGAUCAUUCAUUUGCAAAAUCUUGCAAAUCAAUUACCAGAUGCAUUCAUUGAUACAAAGAAAGUGACAAAGUCACAUAUCCCGGCUGCAAAUACUCCAGCACGGAUUGAUGUCCCUGUAGGACAGUUAACAAAUGAAUCUAAGAUACGCCUGAAGCGUGGUAGACCUGUUGGCUCAAAGGAUGUAACUCCCCGGAAGAGGAGAACCCAAGAAAAACUUGGCACUCUAGAAGAGACCAUCAAAAUGACUGAUCAGUUUAAAAUUGAUAAAUCUAUAGCCCUAGAAGAGGCACAAAUAAUGCAAAAAGCCCCUGAAGAGGUACAUAUUGAACAAGAAACCCCUGAAGAUCCACAUAUUGAACGAGAAGCCCCUGAAGAGGCACAGGUACCUGAAAAUUGUGAGAUCUCAGUAAGUUAUGUACAAACGGGAGAAAAAUGGGAUCGAAAUAAUAUUGUUAUUAACAAUAUUUUUGCUUUCCAAGUGGCCUCUGAUAUCAUAAGAAAUGAUGAAGAUCCCGAACCACGAAAUGUGGAAGAAUGUCGACAUAGAAAUGAUUGGCCAAAAUGGAAAGAAGCUAUACAGGCAGAAUUAAACUCAUUAACAAAACGAGAAGUUUUUGGACCUGUAGUUCAAACACCUGAAGAUGUAAAGCCUGUUGGGUACAAAUGGGUAUUUAUACGAAAGCGCAAUGAGAAUAAUGAGAUCAUAAGAUAUAAAGCGCGAUUAGUAGCACAAGGUUUCUCGCAGAGACCUGGUAUUGACUACGAGGAAACAUAUUCUCCCGUCAUGGACGCAAUCACAUUUCGUUUCUUAAUUAGUUUGGCAGUCUCAGAAGGACUGGAUAUGCGUCUCAUGGAUGUUAUUACAGCAUAUUUAUACGGAUCCAUGGAUAAUGAUAUAUACAUGAAAAUCCCCGAAGGAUUUAAAUUGCCUGAUGCAAAUAAUACAAAGCCUCGUAGCAUGUACUCAAUCAAGUUACAACGAUCCUUGUAUGGAUUAAAGCAAUCUGGACGCAUGUGGUACAAUCGCCUUAGCGAAUACUUGCUAAAAGAAGGGUAUGUGAAUAACCCUAUAUGCCCAUGCAUUUUCAUUAAGAAAUCAGAAACCGGAUUUGCAAUUAUUGCAGUGUAUGUUGAUGACUUAAAUCUUGUUGGAACUCCUGAAGAGCUCACAAGAACAACAAAUUACUUGAAAAAGGAAUUUGAGAUGAAAGAUCUUGGAAAAACAAAAUUUUGUCUCGGCCUGCAGAUCGAGCAUUUUCCAAAUGGAGUUUUAGUACAUCAAUCAACAUACAUUAAGAAAGUUUUGAAGCGUUUUUAUAUGGAUAAAGCGCAUCCUUUAAGUUCUCCAAUGGUUGUCCGAUCACUUGAUGUGAAAAAAGACCCAUUUCGUCCUUGCGAAAAGGAUGAAGAGUUACUUGGUCCUGAAGUACCAUAUCUUAAUGCUAUUGGUGCACUUAUGUAUCUUGCCAAUUGUACACGUCCAGACAUUGCUUUUUCUGUCAAUUUAUUGGCAAGAUACAGUUCCGCUCCAACUCGAAGACAUUGGAAUGGUAUCAAACAUAUAUUGCGUUAUCUUCGCGGAACUACUGAUAUGGGUUUAUUUUACUCAAGGGAAUCAAAGCAACAAUUGCUUGGAUAUGCAGAUGCAGGAUAUCUUUCAGAUCCACAUAAAGGCAGGUCACAAACAGGGUAUGUGUUUAAUUGCAAUGGUACUGCUAUUUCAUGGAGAUCUGUCAAACAAACAAUGGUAGCCACAUCAUCAAAUCAUUCAGAAAUACUGGCAAUUCAUGAAGCAAGUCGUGAAUGUAUAUGGCUAAGAUCUAUGAUCCAGCAUAUUCGGGAAUCAUGUGGACUCUCCUCUAUCAAAGGUGGCCCGACAACAUUAUUUGAAGAUAAUGCUGCAUGCAUUGCACAAAUAACAGGGGGUUAUAUUAAAGGAGAUAGAACUAAACACAUUUCACCAAAAUUCUUUUAUACACAUGAACUCCAGAAGAGUGGUGAAAUUGAUGUGCAACAAAUACGCUCAAGUGAUAAUCUAGCAGAUUUAUUCACAAAAUCAUUGCCAACCUCAACAUUCAAGAAGUUAAUACACAGGAUUGGAAUGCGUCAACUCAAGGAUAUCGACAUGAGGGGGAGUAUGCUUGUAAAAGGGUGUUAGUGUACUGUACUCUUUUUUUCCUUCGUCCAGGUUUUGUCCUACUGGGUUUUACUGGCAAGGUUUUUAACGAGGCAGUCCUAAUAUACCAAGAAAAGAAUAUUGUACUCUUUUUCCUUCGCUAGGUUUUUCCUAUAGGGUUUUUUACUAGCAAGGUUUUAAUGAGGCAUAUUCUUUUAAUAUGGUGGUCAUCCAAGGGGGAGUGUUGUAAAUUAAGGGAAAUGAAUGACCACAUUGAUGGUCAUUAUGAACUCCAUUUACUCAUCUUUAAGAUGAGUAAUGGGAGUUCAUAAUGUGAAGCCUAUAAAAGGCUUCUUACCCCUCCCAUGUAAUAGCAUCCCGAGAAAGAAAGAAAGUUCUUCCUCUCAUUCUCUCUCUCUCUCUCUUUCACUUUCUCAAUUCUCUUAUUUGAUUCCUUCUUUCAUAUUAUAUAUCAAAGUAAGAUAUAUUUUAUCUCUACUACUUUGAUUUGCAUUAUAUUUGUCCUUGUUUUACAACAUAUAAAAAAUAAUUCCUUGAUUUUGAAUCUAUUUUUUAUUUUUCUUCAUUUUUUAUUUUCUUCUAUUUUAUUUUUCUCGCAUUUUCCUUCAAACUUUUAAAAAAACUAAUCAUAGCUUGAAAGUUCAAACUUUUAAAAAAAACUAAACAUAGCUUGAAAGUUUGGAGUUUUUCUUUUUCAAAUUUACUGUUUAAUCAGUCUCAAUAUUGCAUGGAAUGAGAAUAUUUCAUCCAUGCAUGAUGAAUUUCUCACACAAUUAGAAGCUGAUCAUGAGUCAUGGCAAGCCAAGGCAUCCGUUGUAAGUCAAUACCCUUUCCCAACAAACACGUACGUUGGAAGUCAGCAUGUCCAACCUUGGAGGCCUAGCAUACAAGGCUUUGUCUUUAAAGCUUGCUUCAGCUCCAUACUAUCCAUAUCUCCUCUUCCUUCCUUAAUCUUUAGACUCUUCAGUUUCAUCCAGAUUUUGUCGCCUUCUCUUAGUGUUUCAAGCUCUGAAACAACAUGGAUGGUAGACUAACGUUGACCUGGCUGAUCAUUCUUUGGUGAUUAUUUCCUUGCACAGCUCGGGAUGGGUUUUAGGGACCUUCCAUGAAAACCAGUCUGGGCAGUGGAAGCUUUCGGCCGAGGAAGGUAUGCAUUCAUUUUAUAUACGUCAUUAAAAAUAUAAACUCAAAUACUACAUAAUUAUUAAAUAUGUAAUACAUCAUAUAACCUAUUUAAUAACGAGGUAUUCAUGUUUAAUAAUUAGGUUUAGUUAAAUUUUACAUAAGUCUGUUUUUAAUAUCUUGUUAUUUAUUUAAAAAUAAAUUUAAAAUAAGUCAAAUAUUGAUUAAAUAGUUUUAAGUUAUAAUUAAAUUUCCUAUUAUAUAAGUUGAUUUAAAAAUUACCUAAUGUAUUAAACAAGCAAGUAAACACGAGUUUGACCUACAGACGAUUAUGCUCAACCCGUACCCAUGAAAAACCUAUUUUGUCACCUCUAAUUUUUAUACAAUUUGGCAGCAUCUCGCAACACCAUGUUUUCCUUCGUAAAUUCAAGAGCAACUUGUAGUGCAGAAAAGCAUAUUUACAAGGGCUGUUUUGAAUGAGUUUGAAACUUUGUAGGGUUCAUAAGCAUCAAUUGUGGGAUAGCUCCGGGCUCUGAUUAUACAGAUGAUGAAACCCAGAUAUAUUACACUUUGGAUGCAAAAUUCAUAGAUACUGGAAUCAAUUAUAAUGUUUCCAAGGAAUACGUUGAUGAGGAUACCGAUCAACUCAUGGACGUUAGAAGCUUCCCAGAAGGAGACAGGAAUUGUUACGCCCUACCACCAGGACAAGGCAAGAAUCAUAAGUAUUUGAUCAGGGCUUGGUUCAUGUAUGGGAAUUAUGAUUCCAAGAAUCAACCUCUAGUCUUCAAACUAUAUCUGGGUGUUGAUGAAUGGGCUACGGUGAAUAUAACAAAUGCCUCUGUUAUCAUCAGAAAGGAAAUCAUACACAUUCCGACAACAGAUGACAUAGAUGUGUGUCUAGUAAACGCAGGUUCCGGGACGCCAUUCAUAUCGGUGCUAGAGCUCCAACAGCUUAAUGAUUCCAUUUAUAGUCCAACUGAACCAGGAUCCCUGCUACUCCAUGACAGAUGGGAUUUUGGUACACAAAAAGAGAAGUGGAGCUUAAUCAGGUGGGGCACUAAAAAGACGUUACCCUUAUUUCUAUUUCUCAAAUCAGACAACUUUUCUGGUUAUCAGAAGUGUUUUUUUUUCUCUUUCCUAAAGAAUAGAAAACUAUUUUUAGAAACAAUUACAAAUCAGACAUGUUUUACUAGUUUCUUUUUCAGCUUAAUUCUCUAUGUAUAUUGAACUAACAAGUUAUGUAAACAUAAAUUGUGAUCAUAUAGGAGCAAAGAUGAUGUUUACGACCGGAUUUGGAGACCAUUCACAAAGUCGUCUUGGGAGUCCAUUAAUUCAUCAGUUGUAAGAUCUUCCUUUAGUGUCUCUGACUAUAAACUGCCAGGGAUUGUCAUGGCGACUGCUGCAACACCUGCAAAUGAAAGUGAACCCUUGCGAAUCUCUUUAGACAUAGAUGAUGAUCCUUCUCAAAAGUUAUACAUUUACAUGCACUUUGCCGAGGUUAAGGAAGGCGUGUUCAGAGAAUUUACUACCUUCGUGAAUGAUGAUGAGGCAUGGGGUGGGACUGUGCUUACUACAUACCUUUUUUCCUACACGGCAGAGAGCGACUAUUCCAUGAGCGGAAGUACCACAAAGAAAUUGUCCUUUUCACUAAAAAGAACAAACAGAUCCACGCUUCCACCAAUUAUCAAUGCUAUGGAGGUUUACAUAAUAAAAGAAUUCUCACAAGCAUCAACUCAACAAAACGAUGGUAGGUUCUCUUAUUUUCGUUAUAUGUUCUAAUUUAGUUACUGAGCAAGGCCUGAACAUGAUCCAGCUUUAUUUAAUUCCUUUUUUGUUUUUCUUGGAAAAUACUAGUUGAUGCAAUCAAGGGGAUCAAAUCAGAGUACGCAGUGAGCAGGAACUGGCAAGGAGACCCAUGUCUCCCCAUCAAAUACCAAUGGGAUGGCCUGACUUGCAGCCUCGAUAUUUCCCCUGCUAUAAUCACAUUGUGAGUUUGGAAUUUCGAACUACUUCAUGUUUGCAGGGACUUACUGGUGAAAAUGAUUAGGGGUUGCAAAGUUUGAUACAACUCCUUAACACGACUCAAACCCACCAUGUUUUUCAUAGAUUUGGGUGAAAUAUAAUUGGGUUUAGGUGAAUUUCGUGUCAACUUGCAUAACAUAUUUAAUAAAUAGAUAAUUUAUGGUUUAACUUGUACGUACACCACAAAUUUAAUCCAAAUUGACUCAUUUAAUAAUCUUGUUAAUUAACUUCAUUAUAAUUUUAGGUUAUUUAAUUUAUAUUUGACUUAUUUUAAAUUUGUUUUUAAAUAAAUAGGUCUAAAAAAAUAUUUGGUUGAGACAUAUAUCAUAUAUACUUAUACAAGACCUAACUUAACCCAAUUAUUAAAUAUGAGAACUUGAUUGUUAAAUAAAUUAAAUGGGUUUCACAAUGGGUACUACCUAUUUAAUAAUUAGAUAUUAUUUGGGUUUAUAUUUUUAACAUGAUUUUUAUAUUGGUUUUGGGUUGGCCAAUAUAGCAGAACACUUAGGAUUUACUAAUAUAUGCCACUCUACCUAGCAAGCAGGAACCUCUCAUCCAGCAAUUUGGCCGGGAAUAUACUUACUUCAUUUUCGGGUCUCAAAUCUUUACAAAAUCUGUAAGUAUUAGUGGCCUUAUGAAUAUCUUCUCUAUAAUCUGAUGGAGGCCUUUUCUCAAAAGCAACUCAAACUAUAAUUUCAGGGAUUUAUCAUACAACAACUUGACUGGACCAGUACCAGAAUUUUUUGCAGACUUGCCAUCUUUAACAACCCUGUAAGUAAUUAACUUUUAGGUUUGGGAUAUUUGAAUUCUUUAGGAUAUAUAUGCAGGUAAUCUGAGUAUUUGAUGUUGUCUUUGCAGUAACUUAACGGGGAACAACCUAACAGGUUCGGUUCCACAGGCUGUUAUGGAUAAGUUGAAGGAUGGAACUCUGAGGUUUGCUUAAUUAUCGUUUCUAGCACUUGUUCUUAAUGUUUGUUUAUAGAGUUCUUGACUUCAAUAUCCAUAUAUUUUGAUUAUCAAGUUUAUUAAUUAGUGGACGCACCAUGUUCUAUUUUAUGGAAGUCUUGGCGAAAAUCCAAGUCUUUGUCAGUCAGCCUCGUGCCAAGGAAAGGAGAAGAAGAAGAGCAGGUUCCUUGUUCCUGUUCUCAUAGCCAUUCCGAAUGUAAUUGUGAUCCUGAUCCUCAUAACUGCCCUUGCAAUGAUCAUCCGGAAGUUCAGAAGGAGAGAAACCAAAGGUAUUUUCUUCUUUCAUUUUCAUUUUUUUUCUCUUUAAGUGAGGAUUUAACAUUUUAUUGCUCCAUUUUAAUUGUGAUUUCCUUUGCUACAACCAUAGAGAAGUCAGGGAAUUCCGAGUUCACUUACUCUGAGGUAGUGAGUAUCACCAAUAACUUUAGUCAGACCAUCGGUAGAGGAGGAUUCGGACAAGUUUUUCUAGGCACUUUGGCAGAUGGCACUCAGGUUGCCGUCAAGGUGCAUUCUGAAUCAUCAAUACAAGAAGCUAAGGCAUUACAAGCUGAGGUUAGACAAAGCAAUAUUCCAUCCAUGCUAAGUUAAUUUCUACAAUAGAAUUUCUCCAUCUGAUGUCAGACACUAAAAAAAUUUGAAAUAUUGCAGGUGAAACUCUUGACGAGAGUUCAUCAUAAAAACUUGGUUCGUCUAAUUGGGUACUGUGAUGACGGUACAAACAUGGUUCUCAUUUAUGAAUACAUGUCCAAUGGAAACCUGCAACAGAAGUUAUCAGGUAUAUAUAUGUAUUGACCACUCUUGAUCACAGGUAUAUUACUGUCAAUGGAAGCUACUUGUGGACCCUAAUGUUAAUGCAUUUGCUGCAGGGAGAGAAGCCGCAGAUGUUUUGAAUUGGGAAGAGAGACUUCAAAUUGCAGUAGAUGCAGCACAUGGUCAGCAAUUAAGCGGAUCUUCCACAUUAUAAUUAAUUUGCAUUCAAAUAUUUAUUUAAUUUGUGAUUCUUUUCUUGCUUAAUUGUGUAGGAUUGGAGUAUCUACACAAUGGCUGUAAGCCACCAAUAGUCCACAGAGACAUGAAAUCUUCCAACAUUCUAUUAACUGAAACACUGGAAGCGAAGAUAGCUGAUUUUGGGAUGUCCAGAGAUCUUGAAAGUGGUGCUCUCUUAUCAACUGACCCAGUAGGCACACCUGGAUAUCUUGAUCCUGAGUAGGUGUUAAUUAACGAAAUUAUUCCUUACAAUUUUUACAUAAUUGCUUCCUUAUGGAUCAUCAAAUAUUAAUUACUUCCUAAAAUAUGCAGAUACCAGUCAGCGGGUUUGAAUAAGAAGAGCGAUGUUUAUAGCUUUGGGAUUGUUUUGUUGGAGCUACUCACCGGCCGGCCUGCAAUAAUCCCUGGGGGCAUUUAUAUAGUUGUAUGGGUUAGUCAUAUGAUUGAAAGAGGGGAUAUUGAAAGCAUUGUUGAUCGAAGGUUACAAGGAGAGUUCAACACCAAUUCUGCCUGGAAAGCAGUAGAGAUAGCCUUAGCAUGUGUAGCAUCAACAGGAAUGCAAAGGCCAGACAUGAGUCAUGUAGUGGUAGACUUGAAGGAAUGUUUGGAGACAGGGGUGGCUUCCAGGAGAAUUAAGAUGGUAGGUAGCCAUCUAGAAGAUGUUCCCGUGGUUCUUAGCACUGAAUCGGCUCCCCAUGCUAGGUAGUUGUUGGACGCUACUAUUUUCAGUUAGUGAGAUAGAUUUGCUUAAUGUUAGCAUGUGGGAAUAUGUUCAACCCCCUUUAUUUCGAAUUGUAUUCAUCAAAAAUUCUAUAUUGGGUAGUUGCACCGACUUUAAUCGACCCUUGUUUCAAGCUACUAUAUAGCUAUGAUAUUUCCUUAUCUUGGGGAUUGGGAACAGUUGAUGGGAAAGAUCAAGUCAAUAAUGUGAAAAUUCAUGAGUUCAAUUCUCUUGAGUUUGCAAUGUCCAUAUUGGAUGUGAAAAUCUUAUAUUUUAUACAUCCAGAAUAUUUUAGGCCACGGAUUAAUCAUUUUUUUUAAAACACUAAUCAAUUUAUAACAACAAAAGAAGAUAGGUGAAGUUCUGUACACCGGGCGGGCAAAACUUGAUACUAUUUGUCAACAUGACUCUGGUUCAAUAUAUUUUUGACGUGUUUAAGUUGAGUAGAUUUCUGUUUAGAUCAAAAACCAAUCUGGUCAGCGGGAGCUCAUGGCCAGGGAAGUAGGCAUUCAAUUUUUAUACAAUAUAGAACCAUCUUGGCAAAUGAGGUAGCUUUUAACUCCCACUUCAUAUGUUGACAAAUUUUGUUAUUGCAUGUAUUGGGGUAAAACAAUUUCGCUCUUAAAGUCAAAGAUAAAUCACUCAAAUGAUGAUUCUUAAAAUAGAUCCACGAGAUGUGAUGUGGAAUACUAUAAAAGGUUUGGUUUACCUUUAAUGAAUACCAAUUGUUUUCAAAUAAGAUAAUCAAAUCUCAACCCAAUAAAUACACCUCAUUUUCUCACCUAUCUUAAAAUUGUGAAAACCUUGCAACACAAAUCUCCCACAUGUGGUUAGAAGGGUUUUUUUGUCUCAAAUUUUUCAACCGGUAUACAUUCUUUUUUUCAAAGAAUAUUAUAUAACAUAUUUCCUUGUUAAAUUUUUAAAAAAGUGAAAAUAACAUAAAAGAAAUAUAAAUAUUUAUUUAUCAAUAAUACUAAAAAAAAUAUGAUUUUUUUCCUCUCUUUUUUGUUAACAUUAUCAUAUUUUCCUUUCCCUUUAAUAGAUCAAAAUAUAUAUAAUUGGCCGAUCAAUUCCCCGAUAUAUUAAUAUUUGUAUUACAUUAGAAAAAUGAAAUUUUCUAUUAUAUUAUUAAAUUAAUUAAUAGAUAAAAUAAAAAUAAAUAUAAUUUAACUAUUUAAUUAUUUUUCAUGUAAAAAAAUCAACAACAAAUAAUUCAACACAAUUGAUCAAUUCCUUCAUUAAACAUAAACAUACUAUUUUUUUCUUACUAUACUAUUAAAACAACUACAGGAGAAAAGAAAACAAAAAUAAUAAUGGACAAAUAUAAUUUGAAUAUUUUAGUAUAAAAAACAAUUAGUACCAAAAAAGUUUUUUUCUCAUCUUGCUGGCUCUCACAACUGUUAGUUUGGUGAAUCAUUCAAUUUCAUUGAUAGUGUGAUAUUGACUAGUCAUUAAAAUUUUAAAAUUUUGUAAAAAUAAAUAAAUAAAUAAAUAAAAAUAGAAGGGUUGGUUGAUUUCUUCUUUUCAUAAUUAUGGAAAGUUAAAUUUAUUUUCAAAUUGUUGUAAGUAAAAUUCAUCACAAAGAAUUAUAAUAUUAAAAUAUAAAAAAAAAUUAGAAAAAACCAACUAGAGGCUCUAUGGAGAAGGCUUUGGCAUGGUCAAAACUGGUUAAGUUCCACAGUAUGCAUGCUUCCUCUUGUUUCUCUGGCUUUCAUACACAUGAGACUUGGCCAAGAUCACCUCUCACUUCUUAUCCAACUUCUGAUCAUCAAUCAUCAUACACCAUCAUUCUACAGAAAAGACCAGCAUGGACAGUAGACCACCACUGGUUUGGCUCAUCUUUGUCCUGGUUACCAUCAUGUCCUCAGGCAACAACCCAGAAUUGGUUGCCGGAAAACCCCAUCACGCUGCCUCAGCCUUCCCUCACGACCAUCCUUCUCCACGGAGACUUGCUGCUGACACCCAUGGUAAGUUAUGUAACCCUUCAUUCUUCUGUACAAGUUUCCACCGUCAUGGCUUAUGAGCAAUGAGUCCCAAAUUUUUCAUACUGCUCUCUCUGAAUGAGUUUGAAUUUCUGUAGGUUUCAUAAGCAUUGACUGUGGGAUAGCUCCAGGUUCAUCUUAUACAGAUGAUAGAACCCAGAUACAUUACACUUCUGAUGCAGAAUUCACAGACACUGGAAUCAAUUAUAAUGUUUCCAGGUCUGAAAAUCCUUCAAAGCAGCUCAUGAAUGUUAGAAGCUUCCCAGAAGGAGCCAGGAAUUGUUACACCCUAGAACCAGAAAAAGGCAAGGGUAAUAAGUAUUUGAUCAGAGCUUUCUUCAUGUAUGGGAACUAUGACUCCAAGAAUCAACUCCCGGUCUUCAAACUUUAUCUGGGUGUUGAUAAAUGGGACACUAUCAAGUUCAAAAAUUCAAACAAAAUUGUAAGGAAGGAAAUCAUACAUAUCCCCAAAACAGAUUACAUAGAUGUGUGUCUAGUUAACAAUGGCUCUGGGAUACCCUUCAUAUCUGCAUUAGAGCUUUGACCGCUUGAUAAUUCCAGUUAUCAUAAAACUGAACUGGGUUCUCUGCUACUCUCUAACAGAUGGGACUUCGGUUCAGAGCAAGAAAAGUUUCAAGUCAGGUGAGUCACAUGAUUUGGUAGAUCUCUAACAUGACCUGUUGGCUGAAAUUUAUAACAUUGUGAACAAUUCUCAUAAAAAUGGACCUUUUUUAGGUACAAAGAUGACGCUCUUGACCGCAUUUGGAACUCCUACAAGAAUGCUUUUUGGGAAUCCAUAACUGCAGGAUUUGAAAGCUAUUCCUACAGUGACAAUCCCUUUAAACUUCCGGGAAUAGUCAUGUCUACUGCUGCAACACCUAAAAAUGAAAGCGAACCCUUGAGCUUCUUCCUGGAUAUGGAUUAUCCUUCUCAAAGAUUUUAUUUGUUCAUGCAUUUUUCUGAGGUUUUGCAACUCCAGGGCAACCAGUCCAGAGUAUUUACCAUCUGGCUGAAUGGCACCUUAUGGAACGAUCCUGUGGUUCCCAAACGCUGUAGCUCUACCAGAAUAUUUAGAACAAAUUCUGUAAAGGGAAGUAGAUUGUUAUUUUCACUUGUGAAGACAGAUGAAUCCACGCUUCCCCCCAUUAUCAAUGCCUUGGAAGUUUAUGUGAUAAAGGAAUUCUCACAAUCAACAACUGACCAAGAUGAUGGUAUGUUCUUAUCUUAUGUGUUGUAUGUUCUGAUUUAGUAAUUGAGCAGGUUUAAGUGCCUACUAGAAUCUGUUCAAUUGUUGUUUCUCCUUCGUUGAAAUUAUAGUUGAGGCUAUCAAGAAGAUUAAAUCAGUGUACAUGGUGAGGAGAAACUGGCAAGGAGAUCCAUGUCUUCCAAUGGAUUACCAAUGGGAUGGCCUGAAAUGCAGCAAUAAUGGUUCCCCCACUUUAAUAUCAUUGUGAGUUUGGCAUUGGAAAAAUAUUUCUGUAUAGGGAUAGUGAAAAUGACAAAACAUCUACUAAUUAUGCUAUUCUAACUGGCAAGCAGGAACCUCUCAUAUAGCAAUUUGACAGGAAAGAUACAUCCUUCAUUUUCCAAUCUCAAAUCAUUACAAACUCUGUAAGCAUUAAUGAAGAUUAAGUACAUAAUUUGAUGGAGUUCUUUAUUCCAAAAGUGUAUUUUAAAUUGUUUCAGGGAUUUAUCUCACAAUAACUUGACUGGAUCAGUGCCAGAGUUCUUAACUGAACUGCCAUCUCUAACGUUCCUGUGAGUGAUCAAUUGGCCUUUUGGUAUUGCAGAGUAUGGUUUCUUGUAAAGUAUGCAGGUAAUAUAGUAUUUGAUGCUGUGUUCGCAGUAAUUUAGCAGGGAACAACUUGAAAGGUUCAGUUCCUCAGGGGCUUAUGGAGAAGUCUCAGAAUGGCACAUUGUACUUGAGGUUUGCUUGUUUUUCAUAUCCAAGAAUUUGAUCUUUACUCCUGAACUCACUUAUAUUUUGAAAGCUAAUUCUGACAAUAUGAUGAAAAGAUCAUUAGUCCUAUAACAGUUCAGAUAUGCUGAUGUUUAACAUGUUCUGUUCAUGCAAGUCUUGGAGAAAAUCCAAAUCCUUGUGUGUCAGUCUCAUGCAAAGGAAAGCAAAACAAGAACUUCGUUGUUCCAGCUCUCGCAUCCGUUAUAUCAGUUCUGGUCCUGUUCCUUCUAAUUGCUGUUGGUAUCAUUUGGAACUUCAGAAGGAAAGAAGACAGGUAUUUUCUUUCUUUCAUUCCCCUAGAUUUCGUAUGAUUCUGCAUUUCAUUGUAGAGGUGUGACCACUACUGGCCUUGUUAUAGAACCUGUCUGAAAGGACUUCAAACUCAUUGAUUUCAUAUGAGGUGCAGAUCAAGGGAAAAAAAAGAGAGGAUGUGAAGAGAUGACCCACUUCUAAUUCAUGAAAAUCACAUGAAAAAUACAUUUUUGUUGAUACAUUUCUGCUCGUUGCAAUUGUGAUGAUUUUCUUAGCUAUGAAGAUGGUCACCAGAGAAGGAUCAUUGAAGUCAGGGAACUCAGAGUUCACUUACUCUGAGCUUGUGACUAUUACCCACAACUUCAGUUCCACCAUUGGACAAGGAGGAUUUGGAAAUGUUCAUCUAGGCACUCUGGUAGAUGGCACUCAAGUCACGGUCAAGCUGCGCUCGCAAUCAUCAAUGCAAGGCCCCAGGGAAUUUCAAGCUGAGGUUAGACACCAGCAGUCCAUCCAGGGUUCUCUAUCACCAUAAAAUCUAUCCAUCUGAUGUGGAAAUGUGAUUAUAAUAAUAGGACAUGCCAGUAUGCCACUGAACAAUUUUGCAUUGCAGGCAAAACUCUUGAAGAGAGUCCAUCAUAAAAACUUGGUUCGCCUUGCUGGGUAUUGCAAUGAUGGUACAAACACGGCCCUCAUUUAUGAAUAUAUGUCUAAUGGAAACCUGAGACAGAGGUUGUCAGGUAUCACCAUCUUUAUGUUCUUAGGACUUGAUCACUAGAAGUCAGGGACUUGACCUAACUACAGAUAUGCUAUAUAAAUUUUCGAUGCAGCGAGAGAUACGGAUGUUUUGUAUUGGAAAGAGAGGCUUCAAAUUGCAGUUGAUGUAGCACAAGGUCAGUAAGCAGAUUUGCUGCAUUACUAUUCUCCUUCAAAUACCUUUUUCUGAUCAUUUUCUUACUUAAAAGUAAGGUAAUGAUGGCUUAUUGGAACUGUAGGAUUGGAGUAUCUGCACAAUGGUUGCAAGCCACCAAUAAUCCACAGAGAUGUGAAGACUUCCAACAUACUAUUAAACAAAAAACUGCAAGCUAAGAUAGCUGAUUUUGGGCUGUCCAGAGACCUUGCAAUUGAAAGUGGCUCUCAUGCAUCAACUAUUCCUGCAGGCACACCAGGAUAUCUGGAUCCUGAGUAAGUGUUCAUAUAUAGAUUUCUUGGAAAUUCUACACAACUGCUUCUUUAUUCUCAUAACCCCUUUUUAGGUAUUACUCAUCUGGAAAUUUGAAUAAAAGGAGCGAUGUUUAUAGCUUUGGGAUUGUCUUGUUGGAGCUGAUUACUGGCCUGCCUGCAAUAAUAACCCCUGGGAACAUCCACAUAGUUCAAUGGAUUAGUCCUAUGCUUAAAAGAGGGGAUAUUCAGAACAUUGUUGAUCCAAGGCUACAAGGAGAUUUCAACACCAAUUCUGCCUGGAAAGCUCUAGAGACAGCCUUAGCAUGUGUACCAUCAACUGCAAUUCAAAGGCCAGACAUGAGCCAUGUACUGGCAGACUUAAAGGAUUGUUUGGAGAUGGUGGGUCCCAUGAGAACUCAGAGGAUAGAUAGCUACAAAAUGGGAUCAAGCAACUCCCUUAAAAGCUAUGCGGUGGAUCUUGAAGGUGAAAUGGCUCCCCAUGUUAGAUAGUUAUGGAACACCGUUAGCUUCCAGUUCAAAUUUGCAGUCAUUAAUUAUCCCAUUUUCAUGUGACAAAUUUGCAUAAAGUUGGUCUGUUGUAUUAGGCAGUUCUCUCAUCCUUGAAUUGUAUUAGUGAAAAAUGGUAAGAUGGAAUACUAUUCCAACUAAUUCUCAACUUCUCUGGCGGCGCAAACCCGCCUUCAAUUUAUUUUGAGAUAGCAACACAAGCCUAAUUUCUUGUGUCACCAUCUCUAGUAUAAUAAGAAGAAACAGAUCAAAUCUAUAUUUGUGAAAUACGCGUGAUCGUUUAGUUGAGCAGGUGGAAAUGGUGAGGAUCUAAGACUACUACAUUAAUUAUGCCCUUUCAUUCAAGGUGAUAAUGUCAUUUCCAUAAUUCCAUGUCCAAGAACAUUUAUGAGAGUUCUGUAAGUUUCAAAAUGUUAACUGCAUUGGAGAAUUUUAGAAUGGAGUCUUUAUCUCAAUGUAUCUACCAGACAACAUUGCAUUGGCUUCUGGAGAAUUUUAGAAUGGAGUUUCCAGGAAAUAUACUUUCAGAAACCAGGGCAUAAUCUGAACAGAACCCAGAAAAUCUAGGUACAUUGCAGCCCAGAAGUGAACCUGUACUACAUCUCUUGAUGACAUUUUCUCUGGAAAAAAAUCUAACAGAAAAGGCCGAAAAUAUGAGCCCAAAAUCAUAUGACCAUUCAAAAUGAUCUCAAUGCAUGAUCAGCUGAACCACACAACAGAUCUUCCAGGGUGAAAAAAAAAGGGGUAUUAAUUUAGGUUUUCAUGGAUAAAGACUGGCCUAGACUAGAGAUAUUUUCCGAUAAACUUGGGUACAUAUGCAAAAGAUCACACUACUUGAGCCAAAUAUCUUUGAACCUGUCAAGUUAAUUCGGCCAUUCUACAUGGGGUUCUGUCCGCUGGCCUUGAAUGGUCGGCAAAUGUCAACUACCAACAUUACUCAAUCACAUGCAACUUUCUCGUGGCUUCAACUCCCAAUGCGUGUGCAUUGUCCUCCCAACCACCAUGUUCCCUUAGUAGUUGGAUGAACAAGACUUCAUUAUUGUGGUUUUUAUGCAAUGUGUGUUAUCUCUAAGAAUGAAAAAUUUUAUGGAUGUGAGCUAAUUGGAGAAGUUGGUUACAGCUAUUCAUUAUACAAGCCUUGAAUGCUAUAUAACAACUUCAGAGACUGCAUUAAUGCUAUUCUGCUUCCAUUUAUCCUCCAUGGACACGAACUUCAAUCAUGUCGUUUUCAGCGUUUCUUAUAAGAACUAGAGUCCUGGCUCAGCCCCAAGCACUGUAAUCUGAGAAUGGGCAUCCAUUGUUGCUGGGCAUUGUUUUUGGCCUUGGCAUUGGCAUUGACCUUUGCCACCAUCGGCGAAGCUCAGGACGCAACUCUUGUUCCAGCCAUCAUAACUUUUGGAGACUCUGCUGUAGAUGUUGGGAAUAAUGACUAUCUCCUCACCAUUUUCAAGGCCAAUUACCCUCCUUAUGGAAGGGACUUCAUCAACCAUCAGCCUACAGGGAGGUUCUGCAAUGGAAAACUAGCCACAGACAUUACUGGUAAUCAGCUUAAAGCAGUGAUCCAAUGCCAUUGAGUUUGGUACCUUAUCAAAUUUAUGUACUAAUCAUGAUUGUAAUCCCAUUUACAGCUGACACUCUUGGCUUCAAGACUUACCCCCCAGCAUACCUUAGCCCCAAGGCAUCAGGGAAGAACCUUCUGAUUGGAGCCAACUUUGCCUCUGCUGGCUCUGGUUAUGAUGACAAAACAGCCAUCUUAAGUGUAAGAAAAUUCCCCCAUUCUCUAGUUUGGUUGCCAAGAAAACAAAAUUUCCAAUCAUCAAACAUUGUUCCAAUACACUUUCAACACACAGAGUUUUCAUAUUAGUAUUGUGAUCGCAAGAUAAUCACUCAUAUAGUCUCCUCUUUCUCGGCAUUUUUCUACUUCAAAUCUUGUUGCAGCAUGCAAUUCCAUUGUCUCAACAAUUAGAGUACUACAAGGAGUACCAAGCUAAGCUAGCAAAGGUAGCAGGUAGUCAAAAAGCGGCCACCAUUAUCAAGGAUGCACUAUAUGUAGUGGGAGCUGGUAGCAGCGAUUUUAUUCAGAAUUACUAUGUCAAUCCUUUCCUUAACAAAGUAUACACUCCUGAUCAGUAUGCCUCAAUCCUCGUUGGCAUAUUUUCGAGCUUCAUCAAGGUAUUUUUCUGUUCUAAAUCAAUCAGUAGGGGUUCAUAUAUACUUCACACUUGCUUUAGUACUAUUAGGAUGGUGUUGAUUAACUACUGUCUUUGAAAAUAGGACUUGUAUGGCUUGGGGGCAAGGAGAAUUGGGCUGACUUCACUCCCACCAUUAGGCUGCCUGCCAGCAACAAAAACUUUAUUCGGGUUCCAUCAGAGCGGUUGUGUAUCCAGGCUCAACACCGACGCCCAAGGCUUCAACAAGAAAAUCAAUUCAGCAGUCUCAAGUCUGCAGAAGCAACUUUCAGGCCUCAAAAUUGCUGUGUUUG